rnacentral:lncRNA from 1 species
AACUUCUUCUGUCUCUGCCAAUAUAUCCAAAUUAACAAUAAUAAACAUAACAACAACAAAAGGGGACAAAAAAAGUUAUGACAAGAAAACUAUUGUGGUGGUGCUUGAGUCAUAAUGGUUUGAUAAAUUUAUGCCAAAUUAAGAUGUAUAAGACAUAGAUUCAAAGCAGGACCACUCUUUCACUUGCUAAUAGAAAUGGAAAAAAGGCAGAGCAAUACGAGAACAUUCUUUUGCAUAAAACUACAACAAGAAAGUUCCAGUAAAAGGAAUAUGAUAAAAUACCAGAAAAGGGAAUCAAGUACAAGUAACAACAAACGACCAAACAAUCCAACAUCAGAAUUUUUUUCUCCUAAAAGGGGUUUAGGAAUAUUAUUAAAAAAAUAUAUAUUAAGACCGUUUCUCACUGAUUCUAUAUAACUAUUUAAGUUAAUUAUAACGAAAACAAGUAUAUUGUUACCAAAAGUAUAUAUAUUCAAUCAAGUACUAAAGCAGUGAACAACCAUGUUACUUAAUAUAUAUAUAUAUAUAUAUAUAUAUAUAUAUAUAUAUAUAUAUAUAUAUAUAUAUAUAUAUAUAUAUAUAUUUUGAUUGUUGUAAAAGCUGACAAAAUAGUAUUUUCUGAGGCGUGUAGAGUCACUGUCUUUAAAGACUUAUUUGCGGUGUAUUGCGUAAGUCUCACAGGAACUUCUCAGAAUAUUUAUGAGGAUCUCAGAACUAGCAAAGAUCUCAAAAAAAAAUAUAAGAAUAACCCACAAUAAUUUUAGAAAGAAAAAGAAACAAAGGAUGAAAUUUAGAAGAGAAGAGAAUGAGAAAAGAUUGAUUUUUGGUGUGUCUUGGAAUGAGGGAAAUGCUUUCUAUUUAUAGAGUUAGGAGAGAAUAAAGGAAAUAAAAGAAAAUGAAAAACAAUAAAGGCAAAACAAAUUAAUGUUGGAGCAUUAAAAAUAUUUUGAUCGUUGCUAUUAAAUUUUUAAAGGUUGCAAUUAGUAAAAUAUUUUUUUCCGUUGCCAACACCAACGUUCUAAACAAUUUACGGCUUUAACUUUUGCAAUAUCACUAUAAUUAUAACAAUCCCCCACAUAUUGCAAAAGUGAGUUGAAAAAAAAAAUCUUUGACUCAAAUAGUUCAAACAUAGAAAGAAUGAUAAGAAACUUUUAUUCUGGGUCUCAUAGGAUGUAAUGCAUCAAAGCUGGUAUAGCAAGCUAUAUGAACCAGUCUUAGAUUGAGAUACUUAACACACAGUGUAGUUGGUAUAGCAAACUAUAUGAACCAAAACACUUGACAUGUGUUAGAGGUUUAUCAAUCACAAUACACCCCCACAAUCCUUGUUGUUAUCGCUGUGUUGCGCUUACUAGACCAUGCGUGUGCCCGAUAUUGUGCUCUAGAGAUCAUGCCAAGAUCUCAUGCAAGCGGCCCCACUUGACACUCAUAUAGGUGAUUUCAUCAAGUGUAUGCUGUAAAUCAUACACCACUAUUGAGACUUUGGCAAGUGUACCAAAUCGUUUCAAGUAAUAAAACUGGUAAGACCGGAUAUCGUUUCCCAAGAGACUCAUUUCACUAGACAAUCGUAUGAUUUCCGACUAACUUAGACUAAAGAAUGCUUCCAUAAUUUGGGUGUUUGUGCAAUUAAAGUAAACAUGAAACAUAGAUAGUAAAAGUGAUCUUUGGCACACAAACACUCGGAAAUGGUAAGAUUAGAAAUGAUAUGGAAUGGUAUUGUUGGGGGUAUGAUUUCACCUACUUAACUCUUAUGUAUAUAAAAUCACUUCCUCUUCAUUAAUAUGUCAAUGUCAAUCUACUAAGUUACUCAAUCCUCAAUCCCUUGGUAGAAAGAGCCUAGACUUCCUCAUUAAGCUCCAAUCCCUUGGAAAACCUAACAAUUAUUUCUGCAUUAAGAAAUGAGAUUUUGAGACAACCAAAGGUCCUAGUUCUAUCCCUAUAUAUUAUUUCCUUUAGGUGUUUAACCCAAGUCUAGAUUUACCCAACACUUCCCAAUAUUAAGUAAACCCUAGAAUCAUGCCAUGGGUAGCAACUUCACAACAAGCAUUAAGAAAAGGAAUUAAACACUAACAAUCAAUGAAAAAUGCAUAUAUUCAUUCAAAAGAAAGUGAUUCACACAAAAGUUUAGUGGCUACAUCAAUCUCCCAACAACAAUGAAACUAGCUUUCCAUGAAUGGAGAGCUCAAGCUUACAACAAUGGUGGAAAUGGAAGAAAGAAGAGAACCCAAGGAAGAAGAUGAAUUGUUUCCACAGCUUCUAGCUCGCCUCCAAGAGCUCCCAAUGAGAGGAAUCGUGUGUGGUUAGCAAAAGAUUCAGAGCCCCUCGCGUAUUAGGCCUCAAAAGACCUAAUUUUUCCACAUCAGCAUUGCCCCCGCUCAACUGCAGCCUAGCGGCAGCUUUCUAGAGAGCUGGGCGCUCAAUUGCACCCCAACUGCACCCCAACGACAACCUUCCAGAGAGUAGGGCGCUCAGUUGCACCCUAGCUACACCCCAGCCACAACAUUCCAGAGGAGAAUAGGGCUCAGCUGCACCCCAACGGCAGCAUCAGUCUUUGCUCAAUAUUUCCUCUUUAACAUUCAUUCUUGCUUUUGUGGUUCUUCCAUUCGUCGGUUUGGCCAACAAGCUUCAUAUACAUGAUCUAACAACCAAAAAGUGGGGAUUAGUGAUGAAAUUUAAAUCAAUACAACUCAAGAUGUAGCUACUUAAAAACUUAACAAAUUGAGGCAUAAAGAAGGUAUAAAGCUAAGAAAGAGUUGAAAUUUUCUCUCAAUUCACUACUGAAAUCAUAGUAAAAUAUGUCAUUAUCAACCACCCACAAGGGAUAUGAAAAUCAUUAAAACUUUUUUUAAGCUAAAAUUCUUUCACCACAUAGAAUUUUAAUGACAAAGUUUAACCUCUCAAUAAUGCAGUCUCUAGCACUUUCACACAUACACACACACCAUAGGAAGGGACAUAAUUGAUUAAAAAAUCAAUUUAGUGCUAUCAGAACUAACAAGUGACUUGUUUUUACCUAUAUGAACCUUAUUCAUGGGAUCUCCAAUCACAAAGGUUGUGUUACCAUCACUUGUUUGUUUGCAAGUGGCUUAAGUCCUAUUCCCCUCAAUGUUUCUAAUAUCAUUUGUCUUCCCAGGAUUUUUGUCAGAGGAUCUACUAGAUUCCCUUCUGACUUCACAUAAUCAAUGGAAAUAGUUCCACUCUUUAGAACCUGCUUCACCAAAUUUUGUCUAAAUUGUAUAUGUCUAUUAUUUCCAUUGUAAUUCUUGUUUUUAGCUAUAGCUAUUGCCGAUUGGCAAUUACAGUGUAUUGAUACCGAUGGGGUUGGAUUCAUUCCUAAUGGAAUGUUCGCUAAGAAGUUUUUCAACCACUCAGCCUUGUUACCAGCCAUCUCAAGAGCAACAAACUCAGAUUCCAUUAUUGAUCUUGCAAUAAUAGUUUGUCUGGCUGAUCUCCAUGUAAUCGCACCACCCCCAAGUGUGAAUACAUAACCACUAGUGGAUUUUGUCUCGUCUGAAUCAGAGAUCCAGUUAGCAUCAUUGUACCCUUCUAGUACAAUAGGAAAUCCACUAUAUUCAAUGGCAUAAUCCAUUGAACCUCUUAAGUAUCUCAUAAGCCGAGCAAGUACAUCCCAAUGUUCCUGAAUUGGACAUUGAGUGUACCUACUCAGUCUACCUACUGCAUAAGCAAUAUCAGGUCUAGAAAAGCUCAUUAAGUGCAGUAAGCUCCCAAUAAUUUGGGCAUACUGAGGCUGAGAUAACAAUUCUCCUCUAUUUUUCAUUAAAUUAGAAUUAGCAUCAUAAGGGGUACUCACUGGUUUUAAGUCAUAAAACGCAAACUUCUAGAAGUUUCUCAAUGUAUUGUUCUUGAGGUAGUAAUAUACUAUCUCCCUUCCUUAUGAUUCUAAUACCUAAAAUCACACUGGCUUCACCCAUGGCUUUCCUUUCAAAUUUUGAUCCUAGAAACAAUUUAGUUCUAGCGACAAUCUCAUUGCAUGUACCAAAUAUUAACAUGUCAUCCACAUACAAGCAUAUAAUGACACUAUCACCAUUUUUCAGAUUUAUAGCACACACAUUUAUCAGCAUCAUUAGGUGAGAAACCAUCACAGAGCAACACAUUAUCAAGUUUUUCAUGCCAUUGUUUUGCUGGUUGUUUCAACUCAUACAAGGAUUUUAAGAGUUUACAAACUUUAUCCUCUUGACCAGGUACAACACACCCUUCAGGUUGAGUCAUAUAAAUUUCUUCCUCUAAAUCGCUGUUAACGGAUUGGCAAGCAUACCAAAUCGUUCAAGUAAUAAUAAAAUGGUAAGUCCAAGUAUCGUUUCCCAAGAGACUCGAAAGGCCUUAUCGUUCGGGUAAAUUAAAAGAGUAAGACUUGAAAAUAAAAAUUAAUUAAUUUGAUUUGGGAGCAAAAUAUAAACAUGCACAAAAGAUUGAUUCAAUUGACGAGAAGAAAACAAUGGAUGAAUGGAGUUGUUGGGGGUUUACAAUUUCAUCUUAUCCCCUCUCUCCUAUUUACUCCUCUUGAUUAACUAGCUUGAUUAUCUAAUUUUCAUGCAACUUUCUUGGCCUACCCUUAACCCGAUCCCUCGGCGAAAAGAGCCUAUUACUAAUUAGUAGCUUGCUAUCCCUAGNNNNNNNNNNNNNNNNNNNNNNNNNNNNNNNNNNNNNNNNNNNNNNNNNNNNNNNNNNNNNNNNNNNNNNNNNNNNNNNNNNNNNNNNNNNNNNNNNNNNNNNNNNNNNNNNNNNNNNNNNNNNNNNNNNNNNNNNNNNNNNNNNNNNNNNNNNNNNNNNNNNNNNNNNNNNNNNNNNNNNNNNNNNNNNNNNNNNNNNNNNNNNNNNNNNNNNNNNNNNNNNNNNNNNNNNNNNNNNNNNNNNNNNNNNNNNNNNNNNNNNNNNNNNNNNNNNNNNNNNNNNNNNNNNNNNNNNNNNNNNNNNNNNNNNNNNNNNNNNNNNNNNNNNNAUAUGAAAAUCAUAUAAAUUAAUCAAGAGUUUUAAUAGAAGAAAGUAUCAAAAGAUUACAUUGUUUCCCCCAACAACAAUAGGGUUUAGUUCACCAUAGUCAUGGUGAAUCUAGAUUAGAAAUGGAUGAAGAAUGGAAAAACAAACCCUAGAUAAGAAGAAAUGGAGCCUAAGCAUCCAAGAUAUCCUCUCCAGAGAGUGAAAUUAGGUCUGGUCGCCCCCUUAUGUCAAAAGAAUGCAUUUGAGAUCGCAACAGGGCUAUUUAAAGUUGAGGAGCGUCACAGAAAACAGGCCCAAGCCCAGCAGACAACUGCCCGACGCCACACCUAUUCCGCCUGGCGGUUUCCCUCAAGUCGCGCUUCCGCCCGGCGGCAGGGGUCUACCGCCCGGCGGUUUGCCUCUAGUCGCAAAUUUGCCCAGCGUCCAUGCCUGGUGCCAACUCCUCGCACUGGACAGCCCAACGAUGUAAUUUACCGCCGGGCGGUGCGUCGACUCUUCAUUUCUUCAUUUCUUCAUUUUUCUUCCCGUUUCUUGAGUCUAUACCUUCAUCUUCAACUCCAUUCUUCACUUUCCCAAAAAUGCUACAAAACAAUGCAAAACAAGCAUAAUAUUGCUAAAAAUAGCUUUUGACUCUCUACAGACUCGUUUAUUGAGUUUUGCUUGAUUCUAAGCUCAUUCUAAGCCUUGAAGAGUGUAAUUUGGUCUAAAUUGACAUGUGAAAAUAACUGUUUUUCAACCGUUAACAACACCCCCAAACUUAAAUCUUUGCUUGUCCUCAAGCAAACAAAACAAAACAGAAAACAAAACAGAGCUUGGCUUUAUACUAUUUCAUCCAAUGAUUCAACACUCCUAAAGUACAUGACAAACACUACUCAAUUUCAAAUCUUCAGUGAAAUCAAACUACGAUGCAUGCAUGCUUUCAAUCCAGAGAUUGCACAUUAUAUGUUACACAUUAUGAAUGACCAAUCCACUAAGCAAAAAAAUCCACUCAUGAAAAUUAACAAUUCAAACCAAGCAAGUGUUUCACUCAAUCACUCAAGUGUUUAGGGUGACACUCCAACUCUCUAUCAUUCACAAGUCACAUGAAACAAAAUUGCCAUUCAUCUUAAACAAUCAACAUCUUUACAUGCAAAUGCCAUCAAAAGGACUUUUCCAAGGCUUGUAAUGAGGUUGGGUUAACAAGAAAAAUUGGUUUUUCUGGAAAACACAAUCCUUGAGUUAAGAGAGCUAUCAUAAUAUUCAACAUUUAAGCACAACUCUCUUCCUCCCAAUCUCUCUCAUUCCCAACUUUUUCCUUUUUUCUUUUCAUUGAGCUCAUCUUCAUGCUUUUUCUUAUUUUUUUCUUUUUCUCAUGUAUUUUUCUUUUUCAACAUUUGAGCUCAAUGCUUCUUAACAAAUUUUCAAUUUCCCCCAUGCAACCCCAAACUUGAACCUUUUCAUCACAUAUAGUUAAAAGCUCAUCCCAACUCAAGCUAAAGAAUUUCAAGACAAGGGUUCACAUCCUGUUUAAGGCUAAGGUUCAAAAAGGGUAUAAUAUUUUAAGCUCUGCGGGUGAAAAUUUGGCUAGAGAAGGGUUUUCAAAAAUGAUCUUGAUCAUAUGACAUUCACAUGCAAUUCAAUCAAUCAUCAAGAUUAAGGCAAUAUCAUUCAUGUUUUCCUGUGAAUAAUACAUACAACAAUGAAAACUCUGGAGCUCAAUACCUCACACAACAUGCUUUCUCACACAAAAUUCAUACAUACACCCUGCUUAGCAUCAUAAUCACAAUCAUAAUUUACUAUACACCUGUUUCACUGAAUAUCAAUAUGCAACACAACCCAAUUAUCAAUCACAUCAGAUCAUCAUCAAAUAAGCUCAUCAUGCAAAUUAGUCAGUCAAACAUCUUCUGAAAAGUAUUUAGGCCAAGCAUACACACUGAAAAAUAAAAUUCAACCUAUUCUAAGAAUUAAAAAUGUAAAAGUAAAAGAGAGAAAACUAGGUUGCCUCCUAGUAGCGCUUGUUUAACGUCACGAGCCUGACCCAAACCUGUUUAGCACUUGUCAGUAAGUGUAAUUCCUUCCACCACCCAUCAGUAGGUGUGCCUUCCUAGAAUCCUUCAGUCGAUUCAAGAAAAUUUUAGCAUCCCUCAGUAGAUGCUACCCAAAAAUUCCAAAAAUUACAUGUUCCAACGAAAGUAAAAAUGAAAAUGACAAAAAAAAUGAAAAGUGUUCAUAAAAAAAACAAAAAGUGACUUUUAGCAAAUCAACUCUUUUUCUUCACUUUGGGAUCCUCAUCGUCCCACCGGCUCAAUUGUCUUCGGUCUACUCUCUUGACUGCUGUGGAAUAUGGCCUUCUAAUCUCCACCAUUCCUUCAUCUUUUAGCUUCCUGUUGAUAAUCCACUUCCUGUUUUUAAAUCGCACUGAAAAGCGCCUCAGGAAAGGCGUGUCCUCUAAGAGAGUUGAUUCCUCCUUGCAAGCCUUCCCUUUUUCAUGAAUCUGCAAAACAUUACAAUUGUCACAAAAAUCAAUACCUGUGGAGUUUUCUUCCUUUGCAGUUUCUCUCUUGGCCAUUUUAUAUUUGAAUCUCUUUACUGCCCUCCGUGUAGUUUCUUCAGAGCCAUAAACCAGCACUUGGUCAUUAUCCCUUAACUUUAUUCCUCCAUCAUGGAUACGUAUAACCAUCUUAGAAGUCCGCAUGAACGGUCUUCCUAAGAUUAAUGGAAUUCUUCCCUCAUUGGUCAUAUCCACAACUAUAAAGUCAACCAAAAAUUCCUACUCCUUAAUCCGGACAAUUACAUUUUCCACCAUUCCAACUGGCUUCUUCCUAGAUCCAUCCGCCACUGUCAAGAUCGACUUGGUGGGCUUUAAUUCUAGCCCUCCAAUCUUCUUAAAAUCACUAAAGGGCAUCAGAUUAACGCUUGAUUCCGAAUCAAUCAUAGCUUCCCCUAAAUUUACAUCAUUUAUGACGCAAGGAAGAGUCAAAGCCCCUGCAUCCUCCAUUUUUUGCGGAUGGUCCUUCUUUCUGGGCUUAACCAGCUGCUCUUGAUCUUCUUCAUGACCCAGAUCAAUUAACCUCCCAAGGUAGUAUUUGAUCUUCUCAUCAUACUCAGAGGUUUGUGAAAAUGUUCUAGGGUUAAUGGGUGCCUCAUUAAGAAUAUUACGGAAUGAUUCUCUAAUAUUUUCCUGCUCUUUUUCUCUUUCUGUUUUCUUCUCUUCGCAUCUCUUAUGCUUAUUACGAAUCCUCUCCUCCUCUUCAUCCUCACUACUUCCAAUCUCAAUUAUUUCCUCCUCUGGCUUCCUUUUACUUCUGGUUAUAACAACUUUGCACUCCUCUUUUGGGUUAACUUCAAUGUUAGCCCGAAAUUGAUUUUUCUCCGUGGUUUCAACCCUCUUCGACAACUGUCCAAUCUGUGUCUCCAGUGAUCUAAAGUUGGCCUGAUCACUUGCUUGUUGAGACUCAUAAACUUUCAAAAAUUUGUCAAAUCUGUCAGUUAAUCCUCUGACUGUCUUUGUCAAGCUGCUUACUUGCUGCCAUAGGGGGGAAGGUUGUUGCUGCCCGAAGUUACCCACUUGUCCAGAUGAAUUUUUCUGACUCUGCCCAAUACUGGGGUGAUUUUUCCAACCUUGGCUAAAAUUCCCAUGGUUGAAAUUGCCUUGCUUAUUUUGAAAUUGGGCUCUCAUGCAAUUAACAUCCUACUACAUCUCCUCCGUGAAAGCACAUUGACCAUUGAUAUGGUCACCACCACAUAAAUCACAAAGUUGUUGUGUUUGAGAAAUAUUUAUGGUUCCCCUAGGAAGUUCAGAGAGGACCUUCGUCAAUUUAUCUAAUUUCUGGCUGAGAAGAUGAUUCUGAGCAGCUGCAGCAUCUUCAACAGGAAGAUGCAAGAGUCCUCCUUUUUGUAUGCCCCUCUCACUCUGUGCUACUUUAGUUAAGGCCAUCUCUUCAAUCAAGUCAUACGUCUCAUCUUCCGUUUUUCUAUUAAUACUACCUCCAGCUGAGGCAUCUAGCAUCAUCUUGGAAUGAGCACGUAAACCUCCAAGGAAAGCAAGUAAGUAUGACGUCUUAUCGAACUCAUGAACUGGGGUCUUCCUCAAUAAGCCUUUAAAUUUGUCCCAUGCUUGCCCGAGAGUUUCCUCCAUCCCUUGCUUUAAUGAAGAGAUCUCCAACUUCCCUUGAUUAAUUUUUGGAGCGGGAAAGAAUUUAGUUACAAAUUGCUCUGCCACGACUUCCCAAGUCCUGAAAGUUCCUUCAGGGAAAGAAUGCAACCAAUCCUUUGCGUUUCCUCCCAGAGAAAAAGGAAACAAACUGAGUCUAACUCUGUCAUCCGACACUCCAUGAAUCUUCACGGUGUUGCAAAUCUCACCAAAGAUGGUCAAAUGGUUAUAAGGAUUCUCAUUCGACAACCCAUGGAAUUGAUUAUUCUGCACCAAUUGGAUGAGCACCGGACUCAUCACCAUGCUGGUUGCGUUAUCAGUUGGAACUGUUAUAUUGUUGAAGUUUAAGGGGCCCACUGUGUUAGUUGCAUCCCCUAGUGUACGUCUGAGAGGAGGUUGGUAGUCAUCUCCUCAAUAUCUGGUGCAGGAAUCACAAAUGAAGACUGCAAAAAUGCUUCAGGAGAAAGAGAUCUCCCAAGUGAAGUACGUCUCCUUCUCCUCCUGUCCGGUAGUCCUUCUAAGAGAGGUUGCUGGUCUUUUCUGCUUCUAGUAUGUAUUUCUUCCUGCAUACACAAGAAACAAACCCUAAAAGCACUUUUACAGAAAAAUAAAAUAAAACACAAAUAACAAAAUAAAACAAAAAUAAUUACAGCCAAGUCAAAUUCAGUCGAUCCACACUACUAGAAAAAGUUAAACCUCGAGUCCCCGGCGGCGGCGCCAAAAACUUGUUAACGGAUUGGCAAGCGUACCAAAUCGUUCAAGUAAUAAUAAAAUGGUAAGUCCAAGUAUCGUUUCCCAAGAGACUCGAAAGGCCUUAUCGUUCGCGUGAAUUAAAAGAGUAAGACUAGAAAAUAAAAAUUAAUUAAUUUGAUUUGAGAACAAAAUAUAAACAUGCACAAGAGAUUGAUUCAAUUGACAAGAAGAAAACAAUGGAUGAAUGGAGUUGUUGGGGGUUUACAAUUUCAUCUUAUCCGCUCUCUCCUAUUUCCUCCUCUUGAUUAAUUAGCUUGAUUAUCUAAUUGUCAUGCAACUUUCUUGGCCUACCCUUAACCCGAUCCCUCAGUGAAAAGAGCCUAUUACUAAUUACUGGCUUGUUAUCCCUAGCCUCCCCUAACAAUUAAUAAUGCAUUAUAGAAUAGAAGUGACAAACAAUUGAUCGUCCUACCCCUAUCCCUAGGUGGUAUUGCUUAAUCAAGGAAUUACUCACCAGUUCAUGACAGUGUUGUACGUCCCCGUAUCAAUAAAGACAAACAACAGUUAUCGAAUGAGUUAAACAAUAAAAGCAUUAAGCACAGAUGAGAACCCAACAAUUAAUAAUCAACGCAUAUGAAAAUCAUAUAAAUUAAUCAAGAGUUUCAAUAGAAGUGAGUAUCAAAAGAUUACAUUGUUUCCCCCAACAACAAUAGGGUUUAGUUCACCAUAGUCAUGGUGAAUCUAGAUGAGAAAUGGAUGAAGAAUGGAAAAACAAACCCUAGAUAAGAAGAAAUGGAGCCUAAGCAUCCAAGAGAUCCUCUCCAGAGAGUGAAAUUAGGUUUGGUCGCCCCCUUCUGUCAAAAGAAUGCAUUUGAUAUCGCAAUAGGGCUAUUUAAAGUUGAGGAGCGUCAUAGAAAACAGGCCCAAGCCCAACAGACAACCGCCCGACGCCACACUUAUUCCGCCUGGCGGUUUCCCUCAAGCCACGCUACCGCCCGACGGUUUUCCUCUAGUCGCAAAUUUGCCCAGCGUCAACGCCUGGUGCCAACUCCUCGCACUGGACCGCCCAGCGGUGUAAUUUACCAUCGGGCGGUGCAUCGAUUCUUCAUUUCUUCAUUUUUCUACCAUUUUCUUGAGUCUACGACCUUCAUCUUCAGCUUCAUUCUUCACUUUCCCAAAAAUGCUACAAAACAAUGCAAAACAAGCAUAAUAUCGCUAAAAAUAGCUUUUGACUCUCUACAGACUCGUUUAUUGAGUUUUGCUUGACUCUAAGCUCAUUCUAAGCCUUGAAGAGUGUAAUUUGGUCUAAAUUGACAUGUGAAAAUAAUUGUUUUUCAAUCGUUAACAAUCGUCAUUCAAAAAAGUUGUCUUAACAUCCACCUGAUGUAUCACUAGUUUAUGGAUAGCUGCUAGAGCUAACAACACUCGAAUAGAGGAAAUCCUAGUCACAGGAGCAAAAGUAUCAAAGUAAUCUAUGUUGGGUUUUUGAGUAAAACCUUUUGCUACUAAUCUUGCCUUAUAUUUCUCUGUGGAUCCAUCAGGAUGAUACUUUUUCUUAAAGAUCCACUUACAACCUAUGGGUUUUGCUCCUUUAGGAAAAUCUACUAAAGUCCAAGUAUUGUUUUUCUGAAUUGAUUCAAUUUCAGUACUAAUGGCCUUAUCCCACUGUUUUGCAUCAGGAGCACUAGUAGCUUCUACAAAGCUUAUUGGAUAACUAUCACCAAGAUAAGUAUAAAAGUCAUCUCCAAAGGAAGUUUCCUUUCUCUGUCUUUUACUUCUUCUCAAAUCCUCAUUCAUGGUAUCACGAUUAUUAUUAUCAUUAUCAUCAACAGGUUGAGACAUUUCACUAACCUUUAAGGGAAACACAUGUUCAAAAAACUCAACAUUUUUCGUUUCCAUUAUAAAGUUUCUCUCAAGUAUGUUACUUUUAACAACUAGAAACCUAUAGGCAGCACUAUGUUUAGCAUAACCUAAGAACAUGCAAUCAAUGAUUUUAGAGCUUAUUUUCCUUUUCUUAGGAUUGGGUAACAUUACCUUAGUUUAGGCACCCUCACACUCUUAGAUAUUUAAGGUUAGGUUGGUAACCUUUCCACAACUCAUAAGGAGUUUUACCUGUUUUCUUAUGAGGUAUUCUAUUUUGUAAAAAACAUGCAGUAAGCAAGGCUUCUCCCCAAAGGUUAUCAGGUGCACUAGAACUAACAAGCAUAGCAUUCAUCAUUUCCUUAAGGGUUCUAUUUUUCCUCUCAGCUACUCCAUUAAGCUCGGGUGAAUAUGGUGGGGUCACUUCAUGGAUAAUUCAUUCUUUAACACAAAAGUCAUUAAACAAAACAUACUUACCACCUCUAUCUAAUCUAAUCCUCUUAAUUUUCUUAUUCAAUUGAUUUUCUACUUCUGCUUUAUAGGUUAAAAACACAUCAAAGGCAUCAUAUUUGUUUUUGAUUAAGUAAACUUUGGUGUAUCUAGAAAAAUCAUCUAUAAAGGUCACAAAAUAAUUUAUACCUCCUGUAGACAUUGUUUGUUUCAUAUCAGCUAGAUCAGCAUGAACUAACCCUAACAGUUCAGUUUGGCGUUCUACGGAAAAACAUGUCUUCUUUGUUAAUUUAGAUUCUAUACACAUAUCACACUUACUACUCUGUUUAUCAUGUAUAUUAAUCAAUCCUAGUUGUUGUAAUUUCAAAACAUACGAGGAAUUCACAUGACCUAAUCUAGCAUGCCAUAUAUCAUACGAGUCAACAAUAUAAGCAGAAGAACUAGAUUCAUUCAUAAUUUCAGAAAUGUUAAGUACAAAGAGACCUUGAUCACAAUAUCCAUUCCCCAUAAAAACAUUAUUUUUUUUCAUAAUGAUAUUGUCAGACUCAAAUGACACUUUAACCCCCACCUUUCCCAACAGUGCUACAGAGAUUAAAUUAACUUUGAUUUAUGGCACAUGUAGCACAUCACUCAAGGCCAGAGUCUUUCUAGAUGUGAGUUUGAGAAGAACUUUUCCUUUUCCUAGAACAGAAGUUGUGCUGGAAUCACCGAGAUAGACAAGUUCUUCUCCAUCCCCUACAUUAGUGUAAGAGGUAAAGGCACUUUUGUUUGCACAGAUAUGCCUGGUAGCACCAGAGUCUACCACCCACUUGCUCACAUUGGUCAUCAGAUUUGCUUGAGAAACUACCGCAGCAAUAAUGUCAUCUCCUUCAGCUAUAUAUGCCCUAAGAGGAUUAUCGUUUCUUACUUUACGCCAGGUGGGUUUAGAUUCAUUGGGACGGGAUUUAAGAAAAAUAUUUUUCUUUUGUGAUCAGGUUUGUGUGCGUAUCUUUUGGGAGUAGCAGCAACUUCAUACAUGUCUAAAAGUGUGGAAACGCGUUCUUACCAGCGUCGGAAGUUUUGUCCAGAGAAGACCUCAAUUUUUGGCACGUCCAGAAGUGAUUUUGCGAAGACUGUCUGGGUUCCGGAAACAAUAGUUUGGCUCUCCAAAGGCAUGCUGUUGACGUCAGCCAUAAGUCCUUAAGAUUAUUGUAAAAGCUGACAAAAUAGUAUUUCCUGCGCGUGUAGAGUCACCGUUUUUAAGGACUUAUCCACGAUGUAUUGCAUAAGUCUCCCAGGAUACAAUAGGAACUUUUCAAAAUAUUUCUAGGAAUAAAACUUAGAAGAGAAGAGAAUGAAAAAAGAUUGAUUUUUGGUGUGUCUUGGAAUGAGAAAAAUACUCUCUAUUUAUAGAACUAGGAGAGAAUGAAGGAAAAAAAAAAUCAUAAAGACAAAACAAAUUAAUGUUGGAGCAUUAAAAAUAUUUUGAUUAUUGCUAUUAAAUUUUUAAAUGUUGAAAUUAAUAAAAUAUUUUUUUCCGUUGCCAACACCAACGUUCUAAACAAUUUACGGCUUUAACUUUUGCAAUAUCACUAUAAUUAUGAUAUAUAUAUAUAUAUAUAUAUAUAUAUAUAUAUAUAUUCAGAAGAAACAGUAAAUGAAAAAACACUUUUUUCUCAAGUAAUUACGAAAAAGAAUAAUUUUUUUUCUCUCAAGAUAAUAUCACUAAAGCACCCUUUGGAAUAAACAAAACACAGUUCCUCGAAGAAUUGGUUAAAACAAAACAAAAAGAUAAAUAAAGCAAACAAAAAUAUGCAGAGAGAUUCCAUGAACACAGAUUUCAAUUUUUUUUUCUGCAAUCAGUUUUUCUACCAACCAAAUACAACUAACCCCAAUUUCCAGAACAUGAUAACAUGACAAGAAUCAACAUAACACUAUCUUAGUCUCAACCAAACCAAAUCAUGACAACAUAAGAUUUUAAAAGUUUGAACAAUUAGAGUUUUAAAAGGGGAGAUUAUGUGGUAAGGAUGAAGGACAAAUCAUUUUUUUUUUUUUGAUAAAAAUUCCACUCUUUCUGAAAGUCGUUUUUUUACGUGUAAAAUGUAACAUAUGUGAAAAAUAGACAGAAGCUUUGAAAAAUAAAAAUUAUAGUAAACCAGAAAUGUAAAAUCUACACAUGCAUUUUACACAAAUUAACUUUUUAAAACAAUUGAAAAUGAAAACAAAAUUUAAAAAAAAUAUACAAAAAUCUUUAUAAGUUAGGCAUUUGUAUGAGUUGUAUAUUUAUUAUUCUUUCUACACCUUAGAUUAUUCCACCACAUAAGAUAAAAACUUUUAAUGUGAUUGGUUCGCCUAAUAAUGAUAUUUGAGUGAGUGACUGCUAAGUAAAUGGGAGAGAUAAUACAUUUAAUGUGAACUUGACUAUUUAUAUAGUCUUUAAAAUAUAUUAUAAUAUUAAUUUUAAAAAAUAAUUAUUUGGUUGUCAAUUAGUAAAAAUGAAGUUAAAUAAAAUAAUAACAUAUUAAAAGUGAUUUGAGGAGUCAAUAAAUUCUAAAAAUUAUUUUGAUAAAUAAAGUUAACAAAUUGUUUAAAUAUAUAGUUUAUUCUUUCAUGCAUUUGUAUAAUAGGUUAUUACAUGAGGAAAAUCAAUAAUUAGAUCUCUAAAAUAGUUUUAUUUUAUGAUUUAUGUGUGGUGUUCUAAUUUUGUAAUCCAUAUAGUGGAUUAGACUUUAAAAGUCUUUUUGAUUUCAUUUUCUGCAUUUCCUUGUCAUAAUUUGAUAUACCAUGAAAUGGGUUGGACUAGUUCUAUUUUUUUUUUUCUUUAGUCUCUUUAAUUUUCUAACUUAUAAAAUGGAUGAGGAAUAAAAAAUGCAUGCAUUUAAACAAGGCUUUCAUACAUUUUUUGGUCGUCUCUCUAAUUAAAUUUUAGCACCUAAAUUACGUUUCUUCUUGUCUAUUAAAUUGGUAGACUUUAAAAAAAGAAUAAUAAAAAUAUAUUACUGUUUUUGACAACUCAAUUUGAUUUUAUACUAUAUAAAAUUUAAAUUGUUUACUUUUUGUGUUUUCAUAUAGAUUUUGUCACUUUGUCACUUUUCAAAAUAUGAAUACUCUAAAUUCCGAUAAAAUUAUUAAACAAUAAAAGAAAAAAAAAAGGAUAAAUUUAAUGAAAACGGAGAAAAAUAGCUGGGCAACAGUAUAAAUAUUAGAAGUUUUAUAUACAUUGUUUAACUCGUUUAGGUUAAAUUGCAUAGUUUAAUUGAAAAUUAGGCAUUUUUUGUCAUUUAAUUUUAUAUAUUUGGUAGUUGUAUUGAGUUUUCUGUAUUUAAUGUUUUGAAUUUAAGUUGAAACAAACCAUUUUUAUUUAAAAAAAAAAAAACAACUUUUUUGCAUCAGAUAUUGCCAAGUCUAAUGAAAAUUUAUGUGGACAGUAUCAUAUCCCUAACUGCAUAGAAUAUCUUACCAUAUAAGUUAAAAAAAUGUGAUGGCUUUGUUUAACAAUAACAUAAAUACGUGAGAUUGAGUGGCUUAGACAGCGUCAAACAAUUAGCUGGCCUUUUAUUGAGCUCAAAACCUGACUAAGUCUUUCAAUUUUAAUACAAAAAAGAAAAAGAAAUUAAAGAUAAAAAUAAAAUGAGAGAACUUAGGUAGAUAUUUGGUGAGAACUAAAUGAUCUAUGGAGACUCUCUUUACAAUGAAAACGAAAAUGAAAAUAGUUAGAAGAUAGAUAGCGUAAACAUAAAAAGGCAUUGCAGCACUAUAUAUAGCUUAUUUCCUAUCCAUUACCCUAAGCACUUGUUUCUAAUGAAACAAAAAACACUUGUAAAAAUGAAUUCCUUCCUUUUGAUCAUCGUCUUUCUUCAUCUUUGUUGGGUUUCUCUAAGUCUUAGUGCAGAGACAGUGUGCAUUGAGAGUGAGAGAGAGACACUGUUGAAGUUGAAGCAUAAUCUUAUUGAUCCUUCAAAGAGACUUUCUUCUUGGAAUGCUUCUCUCAAUCCCAAUUGUUGUCAUUGGUAUGGAGUUCUCUGCAACAACGUCACAUCCCACGUUGCAGAGCUUCACCUCACCACUCCACUUCCUCUUUAUGAUGAGAUCCUAGGUCGUGUUGUUUAUGAAGAAGCAUACGAAGAGUAUAAUAGAAGGGCAUUCAGUGGAGAGAUAAAUCCUUGUUUGGUUAAUUUGAAGCAUUUGAAUUACUUGGAUUUCAGCGGCAAUCUUUUUCAAACUCCAUUUCCUUCUUUCAUAGCAACAAUGACUUCCUUAACUCACCUCAACCUUUCUAAUGCUGAAUUCAUGGGGAACAUUCCUCCUCAGAUUGGAAAUCUCUCCAAUUUGCUCUAUCUUGAUUUAAGUGAUGCUGCCAACGGAACAAUUCCUUCCCAGAUAGGGAAUCUCUCCAAUUUGUUGUACCUUGACCUCUCUUAUGCAUUCAACGGAAGAAUUCCUCCUCAGAUAGGGAAUCUCUCCAACUUGCUCCACCUCGACCUCCAAGGAAUAUAUUAUGAUGAAGAAUUAUUUUAUGAAAAUGUUGAUUGGCUGUCAAGUCUUUCCAAGCUUUCUUAUCUUCACUUGACCAACAUUCAGUCACUUGUAAGAGGUAUGUCAUUUCCUUCUUUUCUUGGCUCAAUGACCAACUUAAUUCACUUGGACCUCUCUUUUUCUGGAUUUAUGGGCAACAUUCCUUCCCAGAUUGGUAAUCUUUCCAAUUUGGCGUAUCUAGACUUAAGUUAUGCUGCCUAUGGAACUAUUCCCUCUCAAAUUGGAAAUCUUUCUAACUUGCUUUACCUUGACCUACAAGGUCGUUAUUUUGUUGGAAAUGUUUACUGGUUGUCAAGUCUUUCAAAACUUGAAUAUCUUGAUUUGGGAGGUACAAACCUAUCCCAAUCAUUUCAAUUGCUUCACACCUUCCAACUUCUUUCUUCUUUGAAGCACUUAUAUUUGUCAGAAUGUACACUCUCUUGGUAUAAUCAACCAUCCUUUCUUAACUUUUCGUCUCUCAUCACUCUUGAUCUUUCCCAUAUUUCUUAUUCUUCUACAAUUUCUUUUAUUCCAAAGUGGGUAUUUGGACUGAAAAAUCUUAUUUCUCUUUUCUUAUAUGAAAACAACUUUGGAGGUCCAAUUCCGGAUGGUCUUAGAAACCUCACACUUCUUGAAAAUCUUGAUUUGGAUGAAAAUUUAUUAUCAUCUUCUAUACCUCAUUGGCUUUUUGGUGUUCUUUCUCAUCUCAAGUUCUUGGACCUAUCACAUAACAACUUACAAGGAGUUAUUCCUAAUAAUUUAGGAAAUGCUACUUCUCUUAUUACACUUUAUAUGGUACGUAAUCAACUUGAAGGUCCAAUUCCAACAUCAUUAGGAAAAGUGGCUUCUCUGGUUAAACUUGAUCUAUCAUACAAUAAACUUGAAGGUCCAAUUCCAACUUCUUUGGGAAAGGUGACCUCUCUAGUUACACUUGAUUUAUCACACAAUCAACUUUCAGGCAAUCUAAAACUAGAUUAUUAUGGCAGCAACGUUGAUGGUGAACAUCCAAAAUCACAUGGAAAACUUUCAUCAUUGAGAGUUCUUAAGUUGUCUUCAAAUCAUCUUGGUGGAAAUCCAUUUAAAAGUCUUGGAUCACUCUCUAAAUUGGUACACCUUGACAUUGAUGACAAUCAUUUCCAAGGAGUUGUCAAUGAAAGUCAUCUUGAAAAUCUUACAAGCUUGAGAUAUUUUUAUGCAUUAGGAAACAAUUUGACUUUAAAAGUGGCUCGCAAUUGGCAUCCUACUUUCCAACUUAUCCGUUUGGGUAUGAGCUCUUGGCAAUUAGGUCCCAACUUUCCAUCAUGGACUCACUCACAAAAUGAACUUGAAGAUUUAGAGAUGUCUAAUACAAGGAUUCUAGAUUAUAUUCCCCCUUACUUUUGGAAGGCUUUUUAUUCUCUAAAAUAUCUAAAUCUCUCUAAUAAUCAUAUUCAUGGUAAGAUUGAAAAUUCAUUGGCAAAUCCAUUAUCUUUUAUGAUCAUUGAUCUAAGCUCAAAUCACUUGCAUGGAAAAUUACCAUUUUUUUCUAGUGAUGUUAUAUUGUUAGAUCUCUCAGGUAAUUCAUUCUCUUCCAUGUAUGAUUUCUUAUGUUGCAAGCAAAUCAAGACAUUUGACUUGAAUCUUNUCAAUCUUGCUUAUAAUAACUUAUCAGGAAAAAUACCUGAUUGUUGGAAAAAGUGGCCAAAUUUGAUAAAUGUAAAUCUACAAAGCAACCUUUUUGUUGGGAACAUGCCCUUGUCCAUGGGCUCUUUAGCUCGAUUACAGUCUUUGAACAUCCGUAACAACUCAUUAUCAGGAAUAUUUCCUACUGCUUUGAAGAAGAUCAACAAUUUGAUAACCUUGGACAUUGGAGAAAAUAAUCUUUCCGAAACUAUUCCAACAUGGAUUGGAGAAAAGUUGCCAAGAAUUAAAAUUCUUCGCCUUCGAUCAAACAAUUUUUCAGGUCAUAUUCCAAAUGGCAUAUGUGAUAUGAUAUUUCUUCAAGAUUUUGACCUUGCACAAAAUAGUUUGUCUGGAAAUAUUCCAAAUUGUUUAAACAACUUUACUGCCAUGUUCCAAAAAAACAAGAGUACAGAUUUAAUUAUCCAUACCAAUGACACAAGAUCAAAUGCAAUCAGUAUUAUCGUAUGGACAAAAGGAAGGCCUUUAUUGUAUAAUAGUAUUCUUGGCUUGGUGACAAAUGUUGAUCUUUCAAAUAAUAAGUUAUCAGGAGAGAUACCUAGAGAAAUUACUAGAUGGUUUAAUAUAUUUGAAUUUAUCUGGGAAUCAAUUGUCUGGCCAAAUUCCACCAAGUAUUGGCAAUAUGAGAUUAUUAGAAUCUAUUGAUCUAUCAUGGAAUCAAUUAUCAGGAAAAAUCCCUCCAACCAUAUCAAACUUGAGCUUUCUCAACAACCUAGAUUUGUCUCAUAACCAUUUAGAGGGAGAAAUUCCAACAGGCACUCAAAUUCAAAGCUUUGAAGCAUCAGACUUUGUGGGAAAUAAUUUGUGUGGUCCACCCCUACCCAUCAAUUGCACUUCCAAUCACCAAAUUCCAUAUAUUGACCGCUCAAAAACACAAAAUGGUGGGCAUGGAGUGAAUUGGUUCUUCGUGAGCUUCACAGUUGGAUUUAUUGUGGGAUUUUGGAUAGUUAUUGCUCCUUUGUUAGUUUAUAGAUCAUGGAGGUAUGCAUAUUUUUCCUUCCUUGAUAACAUGUUCUAUAAAGUACAAUCAUAUUGGUGAUUGUUGAUUUGUAAUGUAACACUUGUUUUAGUUGAUGGUCAUCUAUCUCUGUAUGAAUGUGUGGUCUACAUUUAUGUUUGUGUUAACACAUGUUUUUGUAUUUUCUUCAUCUUAUAAAAUGCCAAAAAGUUUAUGUUUUUCGUGUUUAUUUACAUUAUUAGUGUUUCGUAUUUCAGUUUAUUUAAAUAAUCUAAUUCUUAUUUUCUUCUCUUUCAUUCCUCAUGCCAUUAAAGGAUAAAUGUAUUUUCUUCUAAUAGUUCUACUAGAAUAAAAUGCAAUACAUAUAUUUUGUCUCUGCUAUUGUUUUUGGGAUGCACAUAUCAUCCACACCUACGUGAAAGUUUUAUUAAUUAUAUAAAGAUUAUUUUAGGAUAUCCUAUUAGGUCACAUUUCUUAUUAAACGAAUUUAGGAAAAGUUGCUUAUCUUUUAUAAAAUUCUAAAAAAAAAUAAAUAGAGAACCUUAUAUUUCUUAAAAGAAAAAGACAUAAAGUUGAUUAAACCAAUUUUUUGAAACUUUGCUAAUUCUUUUUGUCAACAUUGUUGUUAGUUGUGUGGGGCCUCAACUUGCUCUUGUAGUUGCUCUUGUAGGCUGUAUCAAUUAGUACUAUUUAUAUUUCCAGCUAGCUUACCUUGUGAGUAUCUAGAUUAUUUAAUUAUUUAUGAUCCUUUUUUAUAUUAGUUUACCUUAUUAUUUCUUUUGGUGUUUUUUGUAUGUUUGUUAGUUUGCUUUGCGAUUAUCACUUUAUUUGUAUGAGCAGAUGAAGUAUAAACAUUGAAGCAUAUCUAGUGAAGAUAGUGAUGUUGUAGAGUAUUCUUCCUUAUCAUCACUAGUGCAAAAUUAGGUUUUAACGUUACGCAAUAGACGUCAGUUCAGAAAACACCCAACGUAAAUUAUUGACCGGUGGUAUUUUCAUAAAUAAGUGGACAUAUAGACGUCGGUUAGGAGGAGUCCCAUAGACGUCGGGCCCCUACUAACUGACAUCUAUAUGUCUGACAGGUAGGUGAAAAGUCAUUUCUUUCUACCUUAUAGAUGUCAGUUAGAAAGGGCACCGACGUCUAUAAUAUUAUUGACAUCGGUGUCCCUCUAACAUGACGUCUAUAUGUCUGAAAGGUAGGUGAAAAGUCAUUUCCUUUCGCCAUCCAGACGUCUGAUCCCGUCACACCGAUGUCUAUGAUUAUAGACGUCGGCUCCCCCUACAUCUGACGUCUAUAUAUACCACAAAUAUUAAUUUUUAAAUCAAAUGAACGUCACAUUAGUGAGGACCUGACGUAUAUUCUAGAAUAGACGUCGAGAAACCGACGUCUGAUAUCAUGUUAAAUAAGUCACUCGCAGUUACACAUACUUCAUUGUCUUCCUUCGUUUUUCUCUUUGCAGCAUUGCAUUUCCAGGUGCGUUUUCUCUUCGAACCAUUUAAACUUAUGUUUACUUCGAUUAAAUUAAUUUUUGAUGUUUUAUCUUUUGUUUGAACCGAUCAAAAUGAGUUUUAAUUGUGUUUUGGUGUGGUUUUUCUUGUGUCUAUAGGUAGUGUAGUGCACCUCCUCCCUUUGCUAGCUUCCUCAUAAGAAAAGCUUACGUCUUUUGGGUCUCUUAUGGCAUUUCAACUUGAAGCCGAACUUGGGUCCUUGCCUAAUUUCCAUGUCACCGUACUCUUGCGGUUGAAAUGGAACCAGGCAACGACCCAGGUUCGAUUUUUGGUUGAAAUGCCAUAUGAGAUCCAAAAGACAUGAUUUUUUAUUACGAAGAAGCUAGUAAAGGGAGGAGGUGUUACAACGCUACCCAAAGACACAAGCAAAACUGCAUCAAAACACAACGAAUACUCAGUAAACGUCAGUUAAUGACAUAUCCAACGUUAAUUGUGCCCUUAGAUGCCAGUUAGGGCUAUGUAUGACGUCUUUAUAGUGCCCUUAGAUGUCGGUUAGUGACAUGUCUGAUGUCUUUAUAGACGUCGGACAUGACAUUUAACCGAAGUCUUUGUAGACGUCGGAGAUGCAAAUUCUGACGUCCCAUUAACGUCACUCAUAUAGACAUCGGUUCUGGAUGUGACGUUAAAAGCCCAAAAUAACUGACGUCUAAAGCUCUUUCUACACUAGUACGUCUAGUAAUUUUCCUUAAUUGCUUUAGAUAUAUUGUAUUAUUGCGGUUGUUGUUUUUAUAGAUAAUUGUAUUAAUACCAUGUAUUUAUAUGUUGAGACACUCUAUUUUGUUCAUCAAUUUUAUAAUGUCUUAUUUGAUAAGUUGUAAGUUGUUAAAAUUGGGAUAUUAGAAAACCAUAAAAUAUAAAAUUUACACAUUCAUUUUAUACAAAUAAAUUUUUUAAAAAAUUGAUAAUAAAAAUAAAAUUUUAAUAAAAGAAUAUAAAAAUAUCUUUAUAAGUUAGGUAUUUAUAUGAGUUAUAUAUUUAUUAUUCUUUCCUACAACUUAGAUUAUUCCAAAGAUAAAAACUUUAAAUGUGAUGGAUUGGCCUAACAAUGAUAUUUGAGCGAGUCACUGUUAAGUGAAGAUAGAGAUAAUACAUUUAGUGUGAACUAUAAAGAGUGUUUAAAAUAGAUAUUAAGAUUAAGUUUAAAAAAUAAUUAUUGGUUGUCAAUUAGUAAAAAUGAAGUUAAAUAAAAUAAUAACAUUAAAAGUGAUUUAAGGAGUCAGUAAAUUUUAAAAAUUAUUUUGAUAAAUAAAGUUAACAAUUUGUUUAAAUAGAUUAUUGUCGUUUAUUUCUUUCAUACAUUUUAGUAUAAUAUGUUAUUACAUGAGGAAAACCAAUAAUUGGAUCUCUAAAAUAGUUCUAAUUUUGUAAUCCAUAGGACUUUAAAAGUCUUUUUGAUUUCAUUUUCUGCAUUUCCUUGUCACGAUGUCAUAAUUUAAUAAACCAUAAAAUGGGUUGGACUAGUUCUAUUUUUUUCUUUAGUCUCUUUAAUUUUCUAACUUAUAAAAUGGACGAGGAAUAAGAAAUCCAUGUAUUAACAAGCCUUUCAUACAUUUUUUUGUCGUCUCUCAUUUAAUUUUAGCACUUAAAUUACGUUUCUUAUUUAAAAAAAGUUAAAAAAUAUGAUACUGAUUUUGGCAACUCAAUCUGAUUUUAUGCUACAGAAAAUUUAAACUUUGAUUGCCACCAUUGGAGCAACGUGUCUUUUACUUUGCAUCAUUAUUGCUAAAAAUCAAAACUGGCUUCAUUAAAUUCUCUUAGAGUUUGAUUUUCAUUAUUUUCAGUUGAGUGUUUCACAUCCAAAUACAUACAUACAUACAUAUAUAUAUAUAUAUAUAUAUAUAUAUAUGGGGUUUGUUAACACGCGUACGCCUGUUUUUCAGUUGGUACGUUUUAACAAUGUGUACCGGAUUAUAGUAGACAAAAUUACCCUCAUUUAUCAUGAAUUCAAGUUUUAAGGUCAAGGAUAUUUAAAUAAUUUUCAUUCUCAAAACUAAAAAAAAAAAGAAACCCCCAAACCCUUACUCACUUCCCUCAUUCCUCUCAACCCUUCCUCUCUCAUCUCUCUCACUCCAACAUUUUCUCUGUCAUAUCUCUCAUUCCAACAUUUUUUCUGUCAUCCCUACUUUUGCCCCAAUUGAAAAAAAAAAUCAGAAACCCUUUGUCAUCAGAGAUAUUUUCUCUCUCAUCUCAACAUUUUCUCUGUCAUCAUUCCAACAUUUUUUCUCUUAUCUCAACCCAAUUGAAGAUGGUGGUAACAAUUUGAAUUAGAGAUAUUUUUUAAAAAUUGAAAAAGUUUACUCUUUUAUAUUCAUUUUAUAUUUAUUAAUGUGUGUAAAAUGAAUAUAAACUUUGUCAUUUUAUGUUACUCUUCCCAAAUCUCAAAGGUAAAAAAUGAUUUUACUGGUUUUUAUCUUGCACAGUGGUUAAAGUUUAUUCUAAACGCCUGUAGAAGUUGAUUCAGUGAUAAAAAAUGGAGAUAAGGGAAUUAAAGAAAUUGAUAUAGAAGAAUUCCCUAGGAGUACAAUUCUUUCAAUUCUAGGUUGUAAUCUUACAUCAUGUAUCCCAUACCAANNNNNNNNNNNNNNNNNNNNNNNNNNNNNNNNNNNNNNNNNNNNNNNNNNNNNNNNNNNNNNNNNNNNNNNNNNNNNNNNNNNNNNNNNNNNNNNNNNNNNNNNNNNNNNNNNNNNNNNNNNNNNGAAAAUUAUUUAAAUAUCCUUGACCUUAAAACUUGAAUCCAUGAUAAAUGAGGGUACUUUUGUCUACUAUAAUCCGGUACACAUUGUUAAAACGUACCAACUGAAAAACAGGCGUACGCGUGUUAACAAACCCCUAUAUAUAUAUAUAUAUAUAUAUAUAUAUAUAUGAAUUACCAAAAUGAUAUUUUAACAUCAUUUUUUGACACCAUUUUGACAUUGCACAUGUGUCAAAAUGUGAUUGGACGAUUUCAAAUUAAAAAAAUUGAGGUAAGGGUAUAUUUGGAAGAGAAAAACCAAAAUUUAUUUUUUUAAUUUGAAAUCGUUCAAUCACAUUUUGACACGUGUGCAAUGUCAAAAUGGUGUCAAAAAAUGGUGUUAAAAUAUCAUUUUCCUAUUAAUUAUAUUCUCCUCUUGAAGUCAAAUUAUGAUAUAUCAUACGAACACUAAUUUAUUUGCUUUUUUAAUCAAAUGGUAGAAAGGUCUUAAAAAUUUCUUCUUCAUUUACUUAAAUGGUUUCUGUCAACCUUCUCAAAUUUAUCUAUCAUCAAUAAUUGAAUAAUUCACAAUUUACUCGUUUUUAAAGUCUUAAUUUGAAAAAUAAGUCUUAAUUUGAAAAAAAAUCUUAAUUUACAUAUUUUCAUAAGUUGAUUGUUCUUAAUUAUAUGCAUAUGUACCUACAAAAUUUCAAUAUCUUCAUUAUAUCGUAUUUACGAAAUUUGAUUCAAUGGUAUAGUAUAAAAUGAAUUAGGUUAAAUCAUGUAAUUUGUUUCUAUUUUUUUAAGAGAGGUAUCAAAUUGGUCCUUUUCUUGGUUUAAUCAUUUACAACAUCCCUAUUUUUGAGAGUUUUCUCAAUUAGGUCCUCGUUUGGUAAAAAUACUCAAUUAAGUCUCUGAAUGUAAAAUAUUGUAUCAAUUAAGGGUUUGUCGUUAAUUUCGAUGGACGGCGUUAAAAUUCGAUGGACGGCGUUAAAAUUGAAUGUGCGUGACAAGGUGAUGUUACUAAAGUGGCAAUGUAUGGUCAACUAAGUUGCAUUUUUUUAUUUACAAAUUAAAUUUUAUUGAAAUAAAAUUAUUCAAAACCCAACGUUUAAAUAAAAAAAAAUUAACAAAUGAAAACGUUGUGCUUUAAUUGAGUGAAGACUGAUUAGAAGAAAGGGAACCCAGAACACAAAUGGCAUGGUCGCACCCAUCAGCACCACUCGCACAACCAUCAUCAACCACCGCGGGAACCCAAAACAGUCAUCCUCAACCACCACAGGAACCCAGAAUAGGGAGAAACCCUCAACGCAAAAAAAAACAAAACAAUGUAGAAAGGAAGAACCCAAAAAGAAACAUCAAGAGCACAAGAAAUUCCCAUAACUCAAACUCAGAUUCCAAUUUGAAAUCCCUAAAAUCCUAGAACAAACAAAACCCUAAAUCGCAGGAACCAAAACCCCAAAUUCACAAUUUUAGAAACCCUGACCCCAAUGUUGCAAAAUAAGAACUCCAAUUCGCGUUCCAAUCUAUAAAAAAUAAAGCAAAAGCAACCCCUAGAUCGCGAGCCCAAACACGUUCUCCCUUCGCCGAUAAGAUGCUGGAGGGUGAGAUCCUCGCGUCGCGAAACGUCGUGCUGGAGCCCCUUGAAACUCGUCUCUCCUUCCCUGUGAGAAAACCCCAAACAGAACCAAGGAAGGGGAAAUGAGAAAGAAAGGAAUGAACAACACGCCAUUACGAUCUACUCGGAGAAUACGAAGACGUUGUCGAGUCGCACUCUUUCCAUACUGUCAUCGUCACCGCCAUUUGUCCCAGCACGAAACGCAUAAGCCCUCUUCUCUUUGCAAGACAAACCAGAGUAGAGGAGAGAAAGGAAAACAUUACCUUCCUCUUUGUAAGACGAACAGAACACAAUGAAAUAAAAACAUUGCGUUUUAAUUUCAUUCAAGUUUUUUAAAUAUGUAAAUAAAAGAAAGCCAGUUCAGUGUCCAAUGUGUACCACGUCAAUAAAACUUGGUAAUCUCAUUCUGUCAGGUAUAACAUUUUUUAAUGUCGUCCACCCAAAUUAAUGGCAAGCCCUAAAUUGAUCCAAUUUUUCACAUCCAGAGACCUAAUUGAGAUAUUUUACAAUACAAUGACCUAAUUAAGAAAACCCUACAUAAAUAGAGAUGUUCUAAAUGAUUAAAUUUUUUUAUAUAUGUUUCAAUUUGUUUCUUAUUUUAAAAAAUUUGAUACAAUAAAAUCUUUUAUAUUAGUAUUGUACAAACAACAUUAACGAGGUACCAUGUUUCAGUUCAUAGUUUUUUCACUUUUUUUAAUUUUUUUAAAAAAAUAAAAAAAAUUACAUCGUGCAAUAUGGUUGUGAUAGUGUUACAUGUAACUUUCACACUAUAUAUCAUUGUUUUGGUCUCAUUUUACUCUCUGUAUUUUUAUUUUGUCUAAAUUUAAUUCCAAUAUUUUUAAAAUCAAUCAAUUUUGUCCCUCUUUAAAUUAAAAACAAAUUUAAUUUUUAUACAAAUGUUAUACGAAUAUUUUUAUUAAAAUUGAUAUUUUUAUUAAACAUUUUUAACAAGAUUAAGUUUAUUUAUAUUUAUAUUUUAUUUUGAAUUUUAUUAAUUUUUUUUUAAAUUUUAAAUUUGUUUGUUUUAAAUUAAUAUAAAAUUGUUUAAAAUUAUUUUAAAAUUUUACAUUUGUAUUAAUAAAAUUUUUUUCAAAGGGUUUAUUCUCUUGAUGAAACUUUUUUAACUAGAAAAUUUUAAGUUUUUUCUAAACCAUAUGGAAUUGUGUGAGUUUUUUCUCCGUAUAUUUAUUUAUUUUUAUUUUUUAAUAUUAUUGUCCCUUUCAAAAGUUAUUUCUUAGUUUAUAUUAGAUAUAUAUUUUAAAGUUAUUAUUCUUUCCUACAUGUCAUACAACUUAGAUUAUUCCAGCACAUAAGAUAAAAACUUGAAAUGUGAUGGGUUGGCUAACAAUGAUAUUAGAGUGAGUGACUGUUAAGUGAAUGGUUAAGACUUUGUCAAACAAUGAGUUUGGUUUUUAAAGUCAAGACAGAGAUAAUACAUUUAAAAUGAACUUGACUAUUUAUAAUCUUUAAAAUAGAUUAUAAUAUUAAUUUUAAAAAAAUAAUUCUUUGGUUGUCAAUUAGUAAAAAUGAAGUUAAAUAAAAUAAUAGCAUUAAAAGUGAUUUAAAGAGUCAGUAAAUUCUAAAAAUUAUUAUGAUAAAUAAAGUUAACAAUAGUUUUAAUUACAUUAUUUUCGUUUAUUUCUUUCAUACAUUUUCGUAUAAUAGGUUAUUACAUGAAGAAAAUCAAUAAUUCGAUCUCUAAAAUUUUGUUUUUGUGAUUUAUGUGGUGGUGUUCUAAUUUUGUAAUUCAUAUAGUGGAUAGGACUUUAAAAGUCUUUUUAUUUCAUUUUCUGCAUUUCCUUGUCAUAAUUUGAUAAACCAUGAAAUGGACGCGGAAUAAGAAAUCCAUGUAUUUAAACAAGCCUUUCAUUUUUUUGGGCGUCUCUCUAAUUGAAUUUUAGCACCUAAAUUGCGUUGCUUAUUGUGUAUUAAAUUAAUAGAUUUAAAAAAAAAUACAAAAUAUAUGUUACUGUUUUUGACAACUCAAUCUGAUUUUAUACUACAAAAUCUGGAAUUGGACUUUUUUAUGUUUUCAGAUAGAUUUUUUAUUCCAUUCCUAAAAAAACAUUCAAACCAUUUCUUAGAUUGUCAUCUGUCAAAAUACGAAUGUUUUAAAUUCCGGAAAAAAAAAACAUAAAACAAUAGAGAAAAAAAAAACAUAAAUAAAAUGAUUUAAGGAGUUAGUUAAUUGUAAACAUUAUUUUUUGGUUAAAUAAAGAUUAACUAUUUAUUUAAAUAUAUGAUUCUCAUUUAUUUCUUUCAUACAUUCUCAUAUAUUGGAUUAGAUCAUGAAAAUCAAAACUCGCGAAAUAGUUUUGUUUUUAUUUCAUACAUUCUCAAAUCGACAAUCUAUUUAAUUUUAAGCCAAUUCCUUUCACUGCAACAAUCACUUCCUUAUAACUCACCUCAGCCUUUCUAAUGCUGGAUUCAUAGGAAACAUACCUCCUCAAAGUAAAAAAAAAAAUAAUAAUAAUAAUCAUUGGAAAUUAUUUAAAGAAUUAGUUAAUUGUAAACAAAUUGGUUAAAUAAAUUUUAACUAUUUACUUAAAUACAUUAUGCUUAUUUAUUUGUAUCAUACAUUUGAUUAUUUCAUACAAUGGAGUACGUUAGGCAUGUCAAUAGAAAUAGUUAUGUUUUUAUUAUUUUUGUGUAAUGUAGUUUUCUAACCCACAUUAUGGGUUCAAAGAUCGAUUAUUCAAAGUCUUUUGAUUUAUUGAUUUUUCAUCUAUAAAUAUUUUAUAACCCAUAAAACGGGCAUGACUAGAAAGAUAAGCAAUAUAAAGUCUUUGGAGUAGUUUCAUUUUUCUAACCCAUAAAAUGGAUUAGGUGAUAGAAGUACAUGAAAAUUAAUUCACUCAUCUUAUUAUUAAAAAAAGACAACAUAUAUGAUGAUUUUUUACAACUAGUUUAUAGUUUUUUCUUUAAAGAAAAACGUGGGUGACCAUGUUUUCAGAUUUUAAUAAUUUAUAGUGUUUUUUAGACGCUAUUAGAAGUACAGAUUCUUAAAAUCUAAUCUUCUCACUUUUAUAUUUAUUUAUAUUUCGUUUCAACAUUUAUUAAGUAUUAAAAAACCCUUAAAAUAUAUAUUGUGAAUAAAAAGAUGUUCAAAGUUUAACUUAUAUUUAUCAAAUACUAAUAAUUUAAUUAGUUAUAUCAACAAGUUUUUAGAUAUAAGUUAGUUUUUAUGAAUUAAUUAUGAUCGAUAUAUUUCAUAUAAUACAUAAGUCCUUCAAGUCGAAGGAAGUUCUUUAUUGAAAGAAGUGCUUAGAGAUUAUUACUAUGAGCUUUAAAAGAGGUCGUUCACGUUGUAUUUAGGGAGUCUAUUUUCGAUACGCUUUAAGUCUUCAUUCCUUUUUGUACCAAGCGACUCUAAGAGUUCUCUUUGAAAUUGUUCCCUAGACUAAGCAGAAAAUACUAGGAGUUCUCUUUGGAACUUUUUCCUGUGCAAGAAAAUUUCACUCCAAAAACAUGCGUUUAAAUAAAAUAAAGUAAAUACUUCAAUAAUUUAUAAUUUAUUUUUAUAAUAAAAUGGCAUUGGAACUUGACAAAGUUGAACGUAGGUGGUCAGAGUAAGAAGGGAUUGAACCUGUUGGAUAGUCUACUGAUAGGAAUUCUUUUUCGAAUUUUCUGCAUUGUGCGGAGAAUUCUGAAGUCCUUUUUCGGACUUCCCACCGAGCGGCUUGAGGCAGGAGUUAUUUUUCUAAUUUCCUACGUUGAGCGGGGAUUUUUGAAGCCUUUUAUCAGACAUCCCCGAACGGCUUGAGGCAGGAGUUAUUUUUCUAACUUCCUACAUUGAGCGAGGAUUUUUUAAGCCCUUUUUUGGACUUCCCUCGAAUGGCUUAAGGCAGCAGUUCUUUUUCUAACUUCCUACGUUGAGCAGAGAUUUCUGGAGCCCUUUUUCAGACUUCCCCUGAGCGGCUUGAGGUAAGAGUUAUUUUUCUAACAUCCUUCGUUGAACAACAAGUUGUAGAGGAUUGAAUCUUUAUGUGCAAAAUAUUUUCUCACAAAAAGCAUGCGUUAAAGCAAAAAAUUUUAUAAUCUAUUUUUAUAAUGAGAUGACAUUAGAACGUGACAAGGUCGAACGUUGGUCUGAACCUUUGCCUGUGCAAAAUAUUUUUACUCACAAAAAUGAGUUAAAUAAAAUAUUCAACAUUUUAUUUUACAAUGAGAUUGCAUUAGAACCUAAUAAGGUUGAACGUUCCUCUGAACCUUUUCCUGUGCAGGAUAUUUUUACUCAUACAAAUAUGAGUUAAAUACAAAAUAUGAGUUAAAUAAAAUAUUCAACAUUUUAUUUUUACAAUAGGAUGACAUUAAAACCUGAUAAGGUUGAACAUCGGUCUGAACCUUCCUGUGCAUAUGAUAUUUUUACUCAUAAAAAUAUGAGUUAAAUAAAAUAUUCAAUAUUUUAUUUUAUAAUGAGAUUACAUUAAAACCUAAUAAGGUUGAACGUUCGUCUGAAUCUUCUCCUGUGCACAAUAUUUUUAUUCACAAAAAUAUGUUUUAAAUAAAAUAUUCAACAUUUUAUUUUUACAACGAGAUGACACUAGAAUAUGAUAAGGUUGAACGUCGGUUUGAACCUUCCUGCACGUGAUAUUUUUACUCACAAAAAUGAUUUAAAUAAAAUAUUCAAUAUUUUAUUUUUAUAAUGAGGAGUCAUUAGAAUCUCACAAGGCUAAACGUUAGACUCUUGCACAUGAUAUUUUUAGUCACAAAAAUAUGCGUUAAAUAAAAUAUUCAACAUUUUAUUUUUAAAAUGAGAUGACAUUAGAACGUGAUAAGGUUGAACGUUGGUCUAAACCUUCCUGCACAUGAUAUUUUUACUCACAAAAAUAUGAGUUAAGUAAAAUAUUCAAUAUUUUAUUUUAUAAUGAGAUGACAUUAGAACCUGAUAAGGUUAAACAUUCGUUCAAACUUUUUCCUAUACAAGAUAUUUUUACUCACAAAAAUAUGUGUUAAAUAAAAUAUUCAACAUUUUAUUUUUACAAUGAGAUAGCAUUAAAACCUGAUAAGGUUUAACAUAGGUCUGAACCUUCCUGCACAUGAUAUUUUUACUCACAAAAAUAUGAGUUACAUAAAAUAUUCAAUAUUUUAUUUUAUAAUAGGAUGACAUUAGAACCUGAUAAGGGGUUGAAUGUUCGUCUGAACCUUUUCCUGUGCAGGAUAUUUUUACUCACAAAAAGAUGACUUAAAUAAAAUUUUCAACAUUUUAUUUUACAAUGAGAUGACAUUAGAACUUGAUAAAGUUGAACGUUGGUUUGAACCUUCUUACACAAGAUAUUUUUACUCACAAAAAUAUGAGUUAAAUAAAAUAUUUAUUUUAUAAUGAGAUAACACUAUUUGUAUAAACCUUCCUGCACAUGAUAUUUUUAGUUAUAAAAAUAUGAGUUAAAGAAAAUAUUUAUUUUUAUAAAAAAAUAUUCGACAUUUUAUUUUUACAAUGAGAUGGCAUUAAAACCUGACGGUAGACUAAAACUUCCUGUGGAGGAUAUUUUUACUCACAAAAAUAUAUAAGUUAAACAAAAUAAAAUAAAUGCUUCAACAUAUUAUAAUUUAUAAAUUAUAAUAAAAAGUGAAACCUGACAAGGUUGAACAUUAAACUAAACCUUCCUGUGGAAAAUAUUUUUACUCACAAAAAUAUGAGUUAACAAUAUAAAAAUUAUAAUUUAUAAGUUAUAAUAAAAAGUAUUAGAACCUCACAAGGUUGAACCUUAGACUGAACCUUCCUGUGUGGAACAUAUUUUUAUUCACAAAAAUGAGUUAACACUAGUGGAAAAAUGAUUUUCUAUAACGACUUAUAUUAUAACGUACAAAAAUUCUCUGUUAUAAUAGAUAUAUAUUAUAACGUAGUUUUGUAAAUCAGUUAUAAUAUCAAACGCGGUGGCAAACUUGUAAAUAAGUUUAAGACAUAUUAUAACGUAGUUUUGAAAAUCAGUUAUAAUAUGAAAUGCGGUGGCAAACUUGUAAAUAAGUAGAAAAUCUAUUAUUAAUGUAUUAUAACGAAAUUUUAGAAAUCCGUUAUAAUAUCUCUUCCUCUCCGAUUCUCACAUUCCUCAUCUGAGAGAGCACUUUCAUUUCUCAAUUAGAGAGCCUCACUCUCAUUUCUCUCCAUUUCGGCGCGUCGUUCUUCUCCAGAUAUCUCCUCGCCGCACACCGUUCAUCAUCACGGUAAGCCUUCUUCACGGAAUAAUCUCAUUUCUUCUAUCCUUCAUUUUCCACCGAAUCAUUCAUAGAUCUAAACCCUCCGUUGGGGUUUCUUCUCAUUUUCACCAUUUUCCUUCGAUUCCACCGAUUAAAACCUUGUUUUCACCGUUUGAAACCUUUUCCACCGAUUCAACUUUAAUUUACACCGAUCAAUCGGUCUAGAAUAGGUUUCCUUCUUCUUUUAGGGUUUCUAUAAGGUUUAAUCCUCUGUUUCUUAUUCUUUUUCGAGUUUUUGUCAUCCCACUGCGAAAACCCUAACUACCUCUGAGAUUGAGUGAACUGGGAAGGGAAGCAAGAGCGAAUGAGGCAGAAACAGCGAGGAAGUUCUGAUGUCGACAACGAAGUGAAGAAAUGACGACGUGUCGGUUUCUCAGUAAUAGGUGAGUUUCACUUAUUUUUUAGUGCUUGUUGUGUUGAAUUAUUCAUUUCACGGGGGGGGGGGGGGGGGGGUGACGUAUAUGAAUAUUUUGGUCGGGUUUUCAUCUUUAGUUUUUGUGAUAAUGAUUGUUCUCUGAUGCUGUAUAUUCGUCUAUUGAAGUGAUUCUGCUCGUUGCAAAUCUACUGCUGCUGUUUGCCCUCUAAUUAGUUUGUUUGCUCGUGUACGAUACCAGAUGAAUCUGAUUCUAUCGUGUUGGUGGCAGCUUGGAGGAAGAGGCACAUGGAAUUGCCCUCUGAUGCGUCCUGUUGUUUAACUUGGAUGAUGUUGCAGAUGAACUCUCAGAAAGCAGAAGCAGAUGUUGCCCCAUAGCAAACAGUUCAGGUAAAACCUUCACCUUCUUAUUUCUUAAUGUCUUAUACUCACUAGUACAGGCAGGGGAAACGACAGCGAUUGUUUCCGCCCUUUGGCAGCGGUUCCCGAACCGCGGCAUAGUAAGCCGCGGUAAAAAGUCUGGGACUUUAUGCCGCGGUUGUAACCGCGGUAAAAAGUCAGGAAUAGACCGCGGUUCGUACCACAACCGCGGCCUAAACCUUAUUUUUUAAUAAAAAAAAAGUCUAGCCACAACCGUACUUUGAUGUUUUCUCCUAGUGCAGCCACAGUUUGCUUCACCAAGUCUUUCACUAAAACACUGUCAUCCUUGAUAAAAGGCUACCCUAAAAGUGCAAGCUCCCCAGAGCCUUUUAGAGACCCUUCCCUCAACAAUUUUUUCUCUGAUGUUCUCUGGUUUUGAAAGAAGGUCCUCUCUCUGUCUUUCAAGUUCCUUUUCUUCAAUGGAUACAAACUGCACCUGUGGGCUGGCCACCACUUGCAUUGCAAGAUCACCAACCAAUUCCUUGAAUUUCUCACCUCUACCUACAAAAUCAGUUUCGCAGUUCACCUCAAUUAGAACGCCAAUGCGUGAAUCGUGAAUGUAUGAACCAAUUCUGCCUUCUGCUGCUAGCCGGCUUGAUUUCUUGUCGGCAGAGGAAAGACCCUUUUUUCUCAGGUAUUCUUGGGCCUUUUCAAGAUCCCCUCCAGUUUCAACUAGAGCUUUCUUGCAGUCCAUCAUCCCUGCUCCAGUUUAUUUCUUAGUUUCAAUUUAUAUAUAUAUAUAUAUAUAUAUAUAUAUAUAUAUAUAUAUAUAUUAAAAUUAUUAUUCUUUCCUACAUGUCAUACAACUUAGAUUAUUCCAGCACAUAAGAUAAAAACUUGAAAUGUGAUGGGUUGGCUAACAAUGAUAUUAGAGUGAGUGACUGUUAAGUGAAUGGUUAAGACUUUGUCAAACAAUGAGUUUGGUUUUUAAAGUCAAGACAGAGAUAAUACAUUUAAAAUGAACUUGACUAUUUAUACUCUUUAAAAUAGAUUAUAAUAUUAAUUUUAAAAAAUUAAUCUUUGGUUGUCAAUUAGUAAAAAUGAAGUUAAAUAAAAUAAUAACAUUAAAAGUGAUUUAAAGAGUCAGUAAAUUCUAAAAAUUAUUAUGAUAAACAAAGUUAACAAUUUGUUUAAUUACAUUAUUUUCGUUUAUUUCUUUCAUACAUUUUCGUAUAAUAGGCUAUUACAUGAAGAAAAUCAAUAAUUCGAUCUCUAAAAUUUUGUUUUUAUGAUUUAUGUGUGGUGUUCUAAUUUUGUAAUUCAUAUAGUGGAUAGGACUUUAAAAGUCUUUUUAUUUCAUUUUCUGCAUUUCCUUGUCAUAAUAGUUAUGUUUUCAUUAUCUUUCUAGUUUAUGUCCAUUUUCUAACCCAUAAAAUGGGCAUAACAAAAAAAAUAAGUAAUAUAAAGUCUUUAGAGUAGUUUCAUUUUUCUAACCUAUAAAAUGGAUUAGGUGAUAGAAGUACAUGAAAAUUAAUUCACUCAUCUUAUUAUUAAAAAAAGACAACAUAUAUGAUGAUUUUUUACAACUACUUUAUAGUUUUUUCUUUAAAGAAAAACGUGGGUAACCAUGUUCUCAGAUUUUAAUAAUUUAUAGUGUUUUUUAGACGCUAUUAGAAGUACAGAUUCUUAAAAUCUAAUCUUCUCACUUUUAUAUUUAUUUAUAUUUUCUCGUUUCAACAUUUAUUAAGUUUUAAAAAACCCUUAAAAUAUAUUUUGUCAAUAAAAAGUUGUUCAAAGUUAACUUAUAUUUAUCAAAUACUAGUAAUUUAAUUAGUUAUAUCAAAGAGUUUAAGAUGUAAGUUGGGUUUUAUGAAUUAAUUUUUCAAAAUUAAAAAAUAGUGAGAAUGAUAAAAUAAGAAGUGUCAUCUUGAGCAAUUGAUAAAGAAGGGAAACGUGUUGAAGAUGUUGAGUAAUUGAUAUUAUAUUUGACUUCACACUGAAUUAAAAGUAGAUAAUCAAGGAAAUUAUCAAGAAAAAAAUAAUACUAUUUGAUAAGAAAAAAGGUAGAAGAAGAAUGUUAAUAUGUUAUUGUUGUCUGCUGUAGGUAUUAUUAGAAAAUUCAACUGCAGGUAAACCAAAUGCAGAAAGAAAGGACAGACUUUUGAACUGAACUCUUUCUGUUUAACAGCAGGUAGAAUUUAAAGUCUAUCAUGCUUUUUUAUUGGGUCCCUCCCUAAUUAAGUGUUAGCACCUAAAAUCACGUUCCUCCUAGUCAAUUAAGUUGUUAAAUUUAAACAAAAAACAAAUAUGAUAGUGAGUUUGAUUUUAUGAAUUUAGUAUAGAAAAUGAAAAUAGUUAGAAGAUAGAUAGCGUAAACAUAAAAAGGCAUUGCAGCACUAUAUAUAUGUUAUUUCCCAUGCAUAACCCGUAACCACAUAUUUUUAACACUUGUUAAAAUGAAUUCCUUCCUUUUGAUUAUCGUCUUUCUUCAUCUUUGUUGGGUUUUUUUAUGUCUGAGUGCAGAGACAGUGUGCAUUGGAAGUGAGAGAGAGACACUGUUGAAGUUGAAGCAUCAUCUCAUUGAUCCUUCAAAUAGACUUUCUUCUUGGAAUGCUUCUCUCAAUCCCAAUUGUUGCCAUUGGUAUGGAGUUGUCUGCAACAACAUCACAUCUCAUGUUGCAGAGCUUCACCUCAACACUCCACCUCCUCUUUACGAUGAGAUAAUAGAAGCAUACGAAGAGGAUAAUAGAAGGGCAUUCAGUGGAGAGAUAAAUCCUUGUUUGGUUAAUUUGAAGCAUUUGAAUUACUUGGAUUUCAGCUGCAAUAAUUUUAAAGGUAUACCAAUUCCUUCCUUCAUUACAACAAUGACUUCCUUAACUCACCUCAAUCUUUCUCAUGCUGGAUUCAUGGGGAACAUUCCUCCUCAGAUUGGAAAUCUCUCCAAUUUGCUCUAUCUUGAUUUAAGUUAUGCUGCCAACGGAACAAUUCCUUCCCAGAUAGGGAAUCUCACCAACUUGCUCCACCUCCAACUCACAGGAUAUUAUUAUCUAUUUUAUGAAAAUGUUGAUUGGCUGUCAAGUCUUUCCAAGCUUUCUUAUCUUCACUUGAGCCACACUCGGUUACUCGUAGGAGGUAUGCCAAUUCCUUCUUUUCUUGGCUCAAUGACCAACUUAAUUCACUUGGACCUCUCUUUUUCUGGAUUUAUGGGCAACAUUCCUCCCCAGAUUGGUAAUCUUUCCAAUUUGGCGUAUCUAGACUUAACUAAUGCUGCCAAUGGAACUAUUCCCUCUCAAAUUGGAAAUCUCUCCCACUUGCUUCACCUUCGUCUUCCAGGUGAUUAUUUUGUUGGAAAUGAUGAUUGGUUGUCAAGUCUUUCAAAACUUGAAUAUCUUGAUUUGGGAGGUACAAAUCUAUCCCACUAUCGACUUAAGUAAUUUUACCUUAUAUUUUUUUGAAAAUAAAAGAAAAGAGUGAAAGAAGGAUAUGUGUUGAAAAUAUGUUUAAGUUGCUAUUCUUCAGUCCUGAAAAUAUUCUUAGAAUAUUUCACCAUAAAGAAACAAAAUGAGAAAGACUUUUGAGGUAAAUAUUUUGUGUUGACGUAGAAUUUAAAAAACUUUUCACACUUCUUUUUGGGUCUCUCUAAAAUUUUAGCAUCUAAAAUCACGUUACUCCUCGUCUAUUUUCUAACCCAUAUAAUGGGGGCAGAACUUUAAAAUUCAAGCAUAGGUUGAUGAAUUAUUUUAAACUUUAUUCAUUUUUUUUGUGUAAAGAAUUCUAAAUUUAACUUCACAAUCUUAAAAAUAGACAAUGAAGGAAUUUAUCUGAGUUGACUGAAACGUAUUUGAAAAUAAAAUAAAAAGUGUGGAAGAAGAAUGCUAGUCUCUGUAGGUUGUUAUUGUUUACCUCCAAAGACAGAAAAAAAAAAGGAAAAAAUUCAUCUUUGCGUGGACGUAGAAUUUAGAAAAUUCUUUCACACUUCGUUUUAGGUCUCUUAAGUGAUUUUUAGCACCUAAAGUCACGUUGCUGAUUUUGACAUGUAAAUUCAAUUUUAUAAAUUUAGCAUAUAAAAAUUAAAUUGUUGGAUAGAUAGCGUAAUAUAAAAUUUCAGGGGAGAACAAAAAAAACUUGACCCUUUUCUAUAUAUGUUUCUUCUUCUUUUUUUUAAAGGAAAAUAUUACUACAGGUAUGUUCUUCUCAUAUUUGAUUUUGAUUAUCUUACCAACUUAUGAUAAUGAUUAUGCUGAGAUUUAUAAUUUUCAUUAUAUUGGAUAAUUUUGUUCGUGUACAAAAUAUAAAUUAAUCUGGCGUUUCUAUAUUAUGCCUACGAGAUUUUCUUUAUCACAUGUAUAAUAAUUUGAUGCUUUGAAACCUUUUCAAGAAGAUAAACCGGUAUACAUAACAUCAUUUUAAAACACUCUACAUAAUAUAUUUCUAGCAUAAAUAAGAUAAAUAAUCAACGAAACAUGAGAAAAAAACACAAAGUCAUGAAAGAAAUUUAUAUUAUAUAUGAAAAAAUAUAUUAAAUUUAAAUACAUUAUAUCCAACCUCAAUUAAUAAGAUAGUUACACUAGUGCAAAAACGCUGUUUAACGUCACUCAAAAGACGUCGGUUCGAGAGAAGCCCGACGUAUAUGUGCGGACAAUGGCAUUACCGUAAAUAAGUUGGUAACCUAGACGUCGGUUUCGAGGGAAGGCGACGCCUAUGAGAUUGUAGACGUCCGCUCUGCCUUACACCGACGUCUAAUGGCUUGAGGUAGGAGAGAAGACAGUUUAUUGACGUUGGUUUUAAUGGGGGGCCGACGUCUACGGGGCUGCAAUUAAUGUUCAUCACCUGAUUCCAGAUGCUUAGACGUCAUGUAGUCAAAAAGCGACGUCUAUGGCCUGUCUGAAAGAGGGAAAGACAAAAAUUUCUGCAAUUUAGACGUCGAUGUUUAAGGGGAGAGACGUCUAUGUGCCUGUAAUUAAUUAUGUUCACCAAACUCGGACGUCCGGCAGAAGGGCACCAACGUCUAAAUUAUUAUAGACGUCGGCGCCCCUUCACAACUUUCAUCAACAUCCUUGACAAUAAAUGAAACGUCAAUCGGUUCAGCUUCCUAAACUUCAGCUCCCCUUUAAACUGACGUCUACUGGGCAUUCAAAAAGACAAAUUAAAUAUUAUCUUGGACGUCAAAUUAGUUAGAUAACCAACGUCUAGAUGACUAUAGACGUCGGUUUCUAGAGCAACCGAUGUUCCAUUUCAUUUUAAAUAAACCGUAGACUCUUUGCGGCAUUGCGAUUUCUGAUAUCGUCUCCCUCUUCUCCUUUUUCUCUUGCGGCACCUCUUCUUUUUCUCUCUUGCGGCAUUACAUUAUUGUUUCUGAUAACAUCAUCAUCUUCCUCCUCUCUUUUUUCUCUCUUGCGGCAGAGCAUCCUAGGUGCGUGGUUUCUUAUGGUUAUCGUUUAACCUUUGUCGGUCUUUCAUCGAUUAUCUUCUGGUUCAACUGAUUAAAACUUGUUUUGUUUGUGUUGUGUUUUAGUGCAGUUUUGUUUUUUUCUUGGGUAACGUAGUACCACAUUCUUCCUUUGCUAGCUGCCUCCAAGAAAAAGCGGCGUCUUUUGGAUUUAUUGUGACAUUUCGACCCAAAAACGAACCUGGGACGUUGCCUAGUUUUGAAAAUGGAACUAAUCAACAACCAAGGUUCGGUGUUGGGUUGAAAUGCCAUUAGAAAUUCAAAAGACGCAUGCUUUUUUUUUAGGGAAACUAGCAAAAGGAGAGUGUGCUACUAGGCUAUCCAAAGACAGGAACAAAACUGCACUAAAACACAACAACUAUAUUAGACGUCGGUUAAUGCAUUAACCAACGUCUAUAGUGACCUUAGACGAUGGUUAGUGACAUGUUCGAAGUCUAUAUAGUGCUCUUAGACGUCGGUUAAUGCGUAGUCCGACAUCUAUAUACUGCCUUUAGACGUCAGUCAUGGCACUGACGGACGCCACUACAGACAUCUGUUGGGUGUCUGUCCGACGUCCCAUUGACGUCACCGGUAAUGACGUCGGUUGUUUAGUAGAUGUUAAAAGCCCAAAAUAACCGACGUUAAUGAGCGUUUUUCCACUAGUGUUAGAUACUCCUACAUGUGAGUGACACAGAAAUGGAACAAAAUAAUGAAUUAGAUGAAGAUGAAAGUGAUUUUUGAAAAAAAAAAAAAGAAAACUCUCUUUUUCGUUCAUAUUAUAGCGAAAAGAUGCAACAGAUAAAACCAUAAGUAAUUAAAAUUAAGUUAUUUUCAAUCAAAUGUUUGUAAACUAUUAAUUAGUUUAUUUAUCCUUCAUACUUCAACUAUUGUUCAUAAAAACAUCCAAAUAGACACACAAACUAUUAAAUAAAAAGUUUAAAUUUAUUACAAAAUUGACUAGUAAUCCUAUAUGAAUAUUUUUUUUUCUUUGUAAUUAAGAACGUCUUUCAGUGAGAAGGAAGUCAUUAUUUUGAUUUUAUGUAUCUAUUGGUUAAUUGUUUAGCCCAUAAGAUUAGUUUCAACAUGCCAAAAGAGCAAUAGCAAAGUCUUUCAAAUGGUUUAGUUUGUAGACAUUCCAAUUCCAGAUAAUUGGUGUGCUAAUUUCCUAACGCAUAUGGAGAAGGAAUUCCAAUCGCUGUCAAUGGAAUAGCAUUACAUCUGGUGGUGCUGAGCUUCACCUUAGCAUUCAAUUUCCUUCUUCCGAUGAGAGUGUAGGUNNNNNNNNNNNNNNNNNNNNNNNNNNNNNNNNNNNNNNNNNNNNNNNNNNNNNNNNNNNNNNNNNNNNNNNNNNNNNNNNNNNNNNNNNNNNNNNNNNNNNNNNNNNNNNNNNNNNNNNNNNNNNNNNNNNNNNNNNNNNNNNNNNNNNNNNNNNNNNNNNNNNNNNNNNNNNNNNNNNNNNNNNNNNNNNNNNNNNNNNNNNNNNNNNNNNNNNNNNNNNNNNNNNNNNNNNNNNNNNNNNNNNNNNNNNNNNNNNNNNNNNNNNNNNNNNNNNNNNNNNNNNNNNNNNNNNNNNNNNNNNNNNNNNNNNNNNNNNNNNNNNNNNNNNNNNNNNNNNNNNNNNNNNNNNNNNNNNNNNNNNNNNNNNNNNNNNNNNNNNNNNNNNNNNNNNNNNNNNNNNNNNNNNNNNNNNNNNNNNNNNNNNNNNNNNNNNNNNNNNNNNNNNNNNNNNNNNNNNNNNNNNNAUCUGGUGGUGCUGAGCUUCACCUUAGCAUUCAAUUUCCUUCUUCCGAUGAGAGUGUAGGUUAUCCAUUCAACAAAGAUGUUUUCCAAGAAGCAUCAAGAAGCUAAAUUUUCUAACAUGUAAAGUGACCUAUGAAUUAGAGUUCGUGUAAACUAAUCUUUAUCUUAUCAUAUAAUUUGAAAAUGAAUAAUGGAAUAUUUUUUACUUAACACAAGAUUUGGUAUUAGAAAGCUAAAAAAGUGGAAAGUAGAAAGGUAUUAAAAGAAUUAACUGUAAAAAUUAAUUUCAUUAAAUAUAAUUUCAAUCAUAUAUUUUAAAUGUAUGAUCAGAAUUUAUUUCUUUCACAUCUGACACUUGUUCAUGUUUCCGUAUAUUAUUGUGAAAUUGAAAUUGAAAUAUUUUAUCUCUUUACCCAACAAAUAAAUAUAAGAGGUCUUCUCCUUUCAAAUAUAAAAUUGUAUGAAAUGUUUUAGUAAAAAAAAAUUGAACAAUUAGAGUUUUAAAAGGGAAGAUUAUGUGGUAAGGAUGAGGGACAAAUCAUGUUUUUGAAAAAAAAUUCCACUCUUUCGGAAAGUUUUUUUUUUCGUGUGAAAUGUAAAAUAUGUGAAAAAUAAACAGAAGCUUUGAAAAGUAAAAAUCAUAGUAAACCAGAAAUUGUAUAUACACAUGCAUUUUACACAAAUAACUUCUUAAAACAAUUGAUAAUGAAAACAAAAUUUACAAAAAAGAAUAAAAAAAUAUCUUUAUAAGUUAGGGAUUUGUAUGAGUUGUAUAUUUAUUAUUCUUUCUACCGCUUAGAUUAUUGCACCUUUAUUAUCAAGCCAAUUCUUAAAUUUUAAGCAGUCUUUCUUCAUAUGUAUCCUUUCUUUUUAAAAAAGAAACAGCUGGACUCCUUCUUAAUAACUGUCUUAGCAGGAAUCUUUCCCUUCACAUUAACUUGGUUCUUCUUAUUCUCAAAAGAAGUAUUCAAUUUCACCCUCUCCCCUUCUUCUAUUAAUAGCCUUUCUUCUUCUUGAAAACACAUGGUCAAUAAUUCAUUAAUAGACCAUUUAUCUUUAUGUGUGUUGUAAGAGAUUUUGAAGGGGGCAUAAUGGUGAGGCAAAGUGCACAAAAUAUAGUGUACCAGGAAAGAAUUAGACAUGGUAACUUCCAAAGCUUUUAGUUGUGCAACAAUGUCCCUAAUGCGCAUGAUAUGAUCACGCACUCCCUUAAUUCCAGUGAGCUUUAAGGAUGAAAACUGCAUUAUAAGGGUGCUGGCAAAGGAUUUAUUGGAUGUCGGAAACUGCUCAUCAAGAGCCCUUAGUAAAUCUUUGACAUUCUCAUACUGGUCAACUGAACCCCGGAUACCAGCGAAAAUAUUGGUUUUUAUGAACGUAACGGAGAGACGAUUUGACCUCUCCCAUUUUUCAUAAAGAUCAAUGUCAUCUUGAGUGUUGGUCUCAUUAAUACUUGAUGGUUCUGGUUUUCUAAUAGCAUAGUCAAUGUCCAUCCAGCCUAAAUGAAGAAGAACUCUUUCCUUCCAAAUCUUAUAAUUAUCUCCUUUCAACUUGGGAAUACCACACUUGAUAUCAGAAAAAGUCACAGAUUGAGAAACUGCAAAUUCAAAAUUACAUGCUUAUUAUAUAUUUUGAGACUAAAAAUAAAUGUCAUGUUUUACCAAUGUAAACAUGUCUUUACCAAUGAGUUUAUUAACAUAAAACUUGCCUGUGGGCUAAAGUCUUACUCAAUUAAACUCAUUAUCUUAAUGAUAAAACUAUCAAAUUAUAUGUCAUGUUUCACCAAUGCAAAACAUGUCUUUACCAAUGAGUCUAUUAACAUAAAACGUACCUGUGGGCUAAAGUUUUACUCAAUUAGACUCAUUCUCUUAAUGAUGAAAUUAUCAAAUUAUAUUUCAUAUUUCACCAAUGCAAAACAUGUCUUUACCAAUGAGUCUAUUAACAUAAAACUUGCCUGUGGGCUAAAGUUUUACUUAAUUAGACUCAUUUUCUUAAUGAUAAAAUUAUCAAAUUAUAUGUCAUGUUUCACCAAUGCAAAACAUGUCUUUACCAAUGAGUCUAUUAACAUAAAACUUGUCUGUGGGCUAAAGUCUUACUCAAUUAGACUCAUUUUCUUAAUGAUAAAACUAUCAAAUUAUGUUCCUUUUCUUAAUUCCUAUGGGUAAAUUAAGAAAUAUAAUUUAAUAUUUUAUCCUAAUUAAUCAUAUAAAUAUGAAAAAAAAUUGUGGGUAGAUUUUAUCAUAUUAAAUAUAAUUAUUUACAACUAAUGUUUCUCAUGUAGCAAAACUCUAUAUACAAUUUUAAUUGAUUAAAGAUAUUGUGACUACUCUUUAAUCUAUUAACACUAUAUUACUACUAAAACAUUAAUAAUAUAUAAAUAUUUACAUAAAAUUCUUAAUAUGUAAAUAUAUUAAUAAUAAUGCAUAUUUAAUUUGCACAUAUAACAACAAAUAUAUCCAUACAAAUAAUACCCAAAAAAAUAUAUAUAAUUAUUAAUCAAAAAACAUUUAAACAUAUAUAUAUAUAUAUAUAUAUAUCACGUUCAAGGAUUAAUUACCUUUUACCAAGCCUACAAAUUUUCCUAGAGGGAAAGAUGAUGGGAGACACGAUGGUGUGUUUUCUAAAUAGAAGAGUAGGCUUAAGUGAUCAAAACUAAGAGUAACUCAUUCCUUAUACAUAGAGUCUAACCAUCACAAGUUCAAAAUAAUGGAUUGGACUUUACCUUUAAUCAAUAUAAUAACUUCUUCAUAACCUCUCUAUACUGUUAAAAACAGAUAAAAAUAUUGGCUUAAUGGAUUUAUGUUCCUUAAAAAUAGAAAUUUAAAAUGCUAUAAUAUUUAUUUUAUAAUUAAAAUAAUUCUAACAACUUCAUCUUCUAAGAUUUUCCAAAACUUUUUUAAUUUUAAAAUUUUAUAAUUUAUCCAAACAUUAAAAAUAACAAAAGUAUGAAACCCCUUCUCACUAACAGUAUUUUGAUAAAAAGAAAAUAUAUUUGUAUGCAAUAUUAUUAGGUAAUUUAUAUUUGAAUUCUUAAAUAUUUAUGUAUUAGGAGUAAAAAUAUUUAUAAAUUUUAUAUAUUUUUUGUAUUUAUGAGUAAAAAAAACAUUUAUAUGUAAUACAGUAUAUUAUAAUUUUUUUUUCAUAAUUUGAUAAACCAUAAAAUGGGUUGGACUAGUUCUAUUUUUUUUUCUUUUUAUGUAUUUAAAGAAGCUUUCAAACAUUUUUUGGUCGUCUCUCAUUUAAUUUUAGCUCCUAAAUUACGUUUCUUUUUUUUUUUAAAAAAAAAGAUACAAAAUAUGUUACUGAUUUUGACAACUCAAUCUGAUUUUAUAUUAUAGAAAAUUUAAACUUUGAUAUAGGUUCAUCUCUACUUCUGCCAUGUCACCAUCAUCAAUUGGAACAACUUCUCUUUUACUUUGAAUCAUUAUUGCUUAUCUAUCUCCACACUAAAAAUCAAAAUUGGUUUCAUUUCUCUUGGAGUUUGAUUUUCAUUAUUUUCAAUUGAGUGUUUCACAUCCAAAUACACAUAUAUUAAUUAUAUUCUCAUCUUGAAGUCAAAUUAUGAUAUAUCAUACGAACACUUCAACAAAUUUAUUUGCUUUAUAACUUCAUAAAAUAGUUCUAAGCUUAAUAAUUUGAUGGAUGAUUUAAUCUAAACUUUUUUUUUAUCAAAUGUUAGAAAGGUCUUAAAAAUUGCUUCUUCACUUACUUAAAUGCUUUUAGUCAACCUUAUAUCUUUCUCAAAUUUAUCUAUCAUCAAUAACUGAAAUUCACAAUUUACUCAUUUUUAAAGUCUUAAUUUGAAAAAUAAAUCUUUAUAUUUACAUAUUUUCAUAAGUUGAUUAUUCUUAAUUAUAUGCAUAUGUACCUACAAAAUUUCAAUAUCUUCAUUAUAUCAUAUUUACGAAAUUUGAUUCAAUGGUAUAGUAUAAAAUGAUUUAGGUUAAAUCAUAUCAUUUGUUUCAGUUUUUUUGGAGAGAUAUCAAAUUAGUCCUUUUUUUAUACAUCUCAGUUUGUUUCUUAUUUUAGAAAAUUUGAUGCAAUCAAGUCUUUUAAAUUAGUAUUGUACUAACAACGUUAAAGGGAUAUCAUGUGUUAGUUCAUAGAUUUUUUAAUUUUUCAAUUUAUUUUUUCAAUUUUUAAAUUUUCUUUUAAAGGUAAAAAAUUAUUUCAUGUCAAACUAAUGUCGGAUAACAUAACAAUAAUAAUUUCACGUGUAUAUGUAUCAUUGUUUUAGUCACAUGUUAGUCCCAGUAUCUUUAUUUUAUCUAAAUUUAAUUCCAUUUUUUUUUUUAAAAAUCAAUCAAUUUUUCAUUUCUCUUUAAAUUAAAAUCAAAUUUAAUUUUUAUAUAAAUGUUAUAUAAAUAUUUUUAUUAAAUUUGAUAUUUUUAUUAAAUUUUUUUAACAAUAUUAAGUUUAUUUAUAUUUAUUUUAUUUUGAAUUUUAUUUAAAAUUGUUUUUAAAUUUUAAAUUUGUUUGUUUUAAAUUUUUAUAAAACUAUUUUCAAAUUUUACAUUUAUAUUUAUAAAAUUGUUUUCAAAGGACUUGUUCUCUUGAUCAAACUUUUUUUAACAAGAAAUGUUAAGUUUUUUCUAAACCAUAUGGAAUUGUGUCAGUUUUUUCUCUAUAUAUUAUAUAUUUUUAUCUUUUUAAAUUAUUGUCCCUUUCAAAAAUUAUUUCUUAGUUUCAAAUUGAUGUAUAUUUUAAAGUUAUUAUUCUUUCCUACACGUUAUACAGCUUAGAUUAUUCCAACACAUAAGAUAAAAAACUUGAAUGUGAGGGGUUGGCCUAACAAUGAUAUUUGAGUGAGUGACUGUUAAGUGAAUGGUUAAGACUCUGUCAAACAAUGAGUUCGGUUUUUAAAGUCAAGACAGAGAUAAUACAUUUAAUGUGAACUUGACUAUUUAUACUCUUUAAAUUAGAUUAUAAUAUUAAUUUUCUUAUAAAAUAAUUCUUGGUUGUCAGAAAAAGGAAGUUAAAUAAAAUAAUUAAAAGUGAUUUAAGGAGUCAGUAAAUUCAAAAAAUUAUUUUGAUAAAUAAAGUUAACAAUUUGUUUAAAUAGAUUAUUGUCGUUUAUUACAUGAGGAAAAUCAAUAACUCGAUCUCUAAAAUAGUUUUGUUUAUGAUUGAUGUGUGGUGUUCUAAUUUUGUAAUCCAUAUAUGACUUUAAAAGUCUUUUUGAUUUCAUUUUCUGCAUUUCCUUGUCAUAAUUUGAUAAACCAUGAAAUGGGUUGGACUAGUUCUAUUUUUUUUUCUUUUUAUGUUAUUAAUCUCCUUAAUUUUCUAACUUAUAAAAUGGACAAGCCUUCCAUACAUUUUUUGGUCGUCUCUCUAAUUAAAUUUUAGCACCUAAAUUACGUUUCCUCUUCUCUAUUAAAUUGGUAGACUUAAAAAAAAUACAAAAUAUUUUACUGUUUUUGACAACUCAAUUUGAUUUUAUACUACAGAAAAUUUAAAUUAUUUACUAAUAUUGCUGGAUCUGAAACCGGGCUUUUUUGUGUUUUCAGAUAGAUUUUUUAUUCUAGUUAUAAAAAACAUUCAAGUCACUACAUAAAUUUUGUCACUUUGUCACUUUUCAAAAUAUGGAUACUCUAAAUUCCUAUUAAAAUAUUAAACAAUAACAGAAAAAAAAAAAAAAAAAAAAACUUGUUAGAUAUAAAGCGUAAACAUAAAAAGGCAUUACAGCAGUAUAUAUAGGUUAUUUCCUAUGCAUAACCCGUAAGCACUUUUUUUUAUAAUGAAACAAAAAGCACUUGUUAAAAUGAAUUCCUUCCUUCUGAUUAUCGUCUUUGUUCAUCUUUGUUGGGUUUCUCUAAGUGUGAGCGUAGAGACAAUGUGCAUUGGAAGUGAGAGAGAGAUACUAUUGAAGUUGAAGCAUGAUCUCAUUGAUCCUUCAAAUAGACUUUCUUCUUGGAAUGUUUCUCUCAAUCCCAAUUGUUGCCACUGGUAUGGAGUUCUCUGCAACAACAUCACAUCUCAUGUUGCAGAGCUUCACCUCACCACUCCAUAUCCUCUUUACGAUGAGAUCCUAGAUGAUGUUGUUUAUGACGAAGCAUACGAAGAGUACAAUAGAAGGGCAUUCAGUGGAGAGAUAAAUCCUUGUUUGGUUGAUUUGAAGCAUUUGAAUUACUUGGAUUUCAGCGGCAAUCAAUUUUAUGAGAAGUCAUUUCCUUCUUUCAUAGCAACAAUGACUUCCUUAACUCACCUCAACCUUUCUAAUGCUGGAUUCACGGGGAACAUUCCUCCUCAGAUUGGAAAUCUCUCCAAUUUACUGUAUCUUGAUUUAAGUGAUGCUGCCAGUGGAAGAAUUCCUCCUCAGAUAAGAAAUCUCUCCAACUUGCUCCACCUCGACCUCGGAGGAUAUUAUGAUUAUGAAGAUGUUGAUUGGCUGUCAAGUCUUUCCAAGCUUUGUUAUCUUGACUUGGAGAACACUAAUCCACUUGUAGGAGGUAUGUCAUUUCCUUCUUUUCUUGGCUCAAUGACCAACUUAAUUCACUUGGACCUCUCUUAUUCUGGAUUUAUGGGCAACAUUCCUCCCCAGAUUGGUAAUCUUUCCAAUUUGGCUUAUCUAGAUUUAAGUUAUGCUGCUAAUGGAAUUAUUCCCUCUCAAAUUGGGAAUCUCUCCAACUUGCUUUACCUUGAUCUUCAAAGUGGUUAUUCUAUUGAGAACACUUUGUUUGUUAGAAAUGUUGAUUGGUUAUCAAGUCUUUCAAAACUUGGAUAUCUUGAUUUGAGAGGUGCAAACCUAUCCCAAUCAUUUCAAUUGCUUCAUACCCUCCAACUUCUUUCUUCUUUGAAGCACUUACAUUUGUCAGGAUGUACACUCUCUUCGUAUAAUCAACCAUCCUUUGUUAACUUUUCGUCUCUCAUCACUCUUGAUCUUUCCUAUAUUUCUUAUCAUUCUACAAUUUCUUUUAUUCCAAAGUGGGUAUUUGGACUCAAAAAACUUGUUUCUCUUUUCUUAGAUAAUAACUACUUUGAAGGUCCAAUUCCCGAUGGUAUUCGAAACCUCACACUUCUUGAAAAUCUUGAUUUGCGUGGAAAUUCAUUAUCAUCUUCUAUACCUCAUUGGCUUUUUGGUGUUCUUUCUCAUCUCAAGUUCUUGGACCUAUCAAGUAACAACUUACAAGGAGUUAUUCCUGAUGCCUUAGGGAGCUUGACUUCUCUAAUUGCACUUUAUAUGGAAGAAAAUCAACUCAAAGGUCCAAUCCCAACUUCUUUAGGAAAGGUGACCUCUCUAGUUACACUUGAUUUAUCAUACAAUCAACUUUCAGGCAAUCUAACACUAGAUUAUUAUGGCAACAACGUUGGUGGUGAACAUCCAAAAUUACAUGGAAAAAUUUCAUCACUGAGAGUUCUUAGGUUGUCCUCAAAUCAACUUGGUGGAAAUCCAUUUAAAAGUCUUGGAUCACUCUCUAAGUUGUUAUACCUUGACAUUGAUGACAAUAAUUUUCAAGGAGUUGUCAAUGAAAGUCAUCUUGAAAAUCUUAUAUGCUUGAGAUCGUUUCAUGCAUCAGGAAACAAAUUGACUUUAAAAGUAGAUCGUAAUUGGCAUCCUACUUUCCAACUUACCAAUCUUGAUAUGAGCUCUUGGCAAUUAGGUCCUAAUUUUCCAUCAUGGACUCACUCACAAAAUGAACUUCUAUAUUUGAAGAUGUCUAAUACAGGGAUUCUAGAUUAUAUUCCACCUUAUUUCUGGGAGGCUUGUUAUUCUCUUGAAUAUUUAAACUUCUCUAAUAACUAUAUUCAUGGUAAGAUUGAAAAUUCAUUGUCAAAUCCAAUAUUAUUUGAGAUUGUUGAUCUAAGCUCAAAUCACUUGCAUGGAAAGUUACCGAUUUUUUCUAGUCAGGUUGGAUGGCUAGAUCUCUCAGAUAAUUCAUUUUCUUCCAUGAAUGAUUUCUUAUGUCGCAAGAAAAUUAAGAAAUUUAAUUUGUAUUAUCUCAAUCUUGCUUUGAAUAACUUAUCGGGAAAAAUUCCUGAUUGUUGGAUAAAGUGGCCAUAUUUGUUAAAUGUAAAUCUACAGAGCAACCUUUUUGUUGGGAACAUGCCCUUAUCCAUGGGCUCUUUAGUUUGGUUACAGUCUUUGAACAUCCGUAACAACUCAUUAUCAGGAAUAUUUCCUAUUGCUUUGAAGAAGAACAACAAAUUGAUAUCCUUGGACAUUGGAGAAAAUAAUCUUUCGGGAACUAUUCCAACAUGGAUUGGAGAAAAGUUGCCAGAAAUAAAAAUUCUUCGCCUUCGAUCAAACAAUUUUUCAGGUCAUAUUCCAAAUGGCAUAUGUGAUAUGAUAUUUCUUCAGGAUUUUGACCUUGCACAAAAUAGUUUGUCUGGAAAUAUUCCAAAUUGUUUAAACAACUUUAGUGCCAUGUUCAAAAAAAACAAAAGUACAUAUUCAACUAUUGAUACCAAUGAGGUGAUUCCGGAUGUAAUCAGUAUUAUCAUAUGGACAAAAGGAAGGGCUUUAUUGUAUAAGAGUAUUCUUGGCUUGGUGACAAAUGUUGAUCUUUCUAAUAAUAAGUUAUCAGGAGAGAUACCUAGAGAAAUUACAUAUCUAGAUGGUUUGAUAUAUUUGAAUUUAUCUAGGAAUCAAUUGUCUGGCCAAAUUCCACCAAGUAUUGACAAUAUGAGAUCAUUAGAAUCCAUUGAUCUAUCGAGGAAUCAAUUAUCAGGAAAAAUCCCUCCAACCAUAUCAAAUUUGAGCUUUCUCAACAACCUAGAUUUAUCUCAUAACCAUUUAGAGGGGGAAAUUCCAACGGGCACUCAAAUUCAAAGCUUUGAAACAUCAGACUUUGUUGGAAAUAAUUUAUGUGGUCCACCCCUACCCAUCAAUUGUAGUUCCAACCAGGAAAUUCCAUAUGUUGACCGCUCGAAAACAGAAAAUGGUGGGCAUGGAGUGAAUUGGUUCUUAGUGAGCUUCACAAUUGGAUUUAUUGUGGGAUUUUGGAUAGUUAUUGCUCCUUUGUUAAUUUAUAGAUCAUGGAGGUAUGCAUAUUUUUCCUUCCUCGAUAACAUGUUCUAUAAAGUACGAUCAUAUUGGUGAUUGUUGAUUUGUAAUGUAGCACUAUUGUUUUAUUUGACAUUCAUCUAUCUAUCUCUGUAUGAAUGUGUGGUCUACAUUUAUGUUUGUGUUAACAUGUUUUUGUAUUUUCUUCAUCUUAAAAUGCCAAAAAGUUUAUGUUUUUCGUGUUUCUUAAUUGCAGUAUUAGUAUGUCGUGUUUCGGUAUUAUUUUAAUGAUCUAAUUCUUAUUUUAUUCUCUUUCUUUUCUCGUACCAUGGUUAAAUGUAUUUUCUUCUAAUAGUUCUACUAGAAUAAAAUGCAAUAGAUAUAUUUUGUCUCUGCUAUUGUUUUUAGGAUGCACAUAUCAUCAUCAUUAUUUUAGGAUAUCCUAUUAGGUCACAUUUUUUAUUAAACAAAUUUAGGAAAAGUUGCUUAUCUUUUAUAAAAUUCUAAAAAAAAAAUAGAAAACCUUAUAUUUCUUAAAAGAAAAUAGCACAGUCUAAAAUAAAUUUAUAAAUUUGCUAGUUUUUUUUGUCAACAUUGUUGUUAGUUGUGUGGGCCACAACUUAUGCUUGCAGGGCUGUAUCAAUUUUGACACGGCGUUUUCUAUUUGUAGGUUUAUAAGUUUAUAUACUCAUACAAGAAAAUUUCCAUUUUAUCCUUUUUAGUACAAUUUAAAUUAUGUGAUUGAUCGUUCUGAUAGAAAUGAUUUCUUAAUUUGACAAAGGAAAAAAAAAAAUUAUAACAAUGGAUAUCUAUCUAUAUAUACAUAGAUUAAAAAAAUACAUAUAAAUAGAAAAUAUAAUAAAAAUAUAAAUAGUGCCUCUUAUCUUUAACCAAUUAUUUGCUAAAAUUUAAUUAUAGGGGUAAAAGCUGUAACUUGUUUUCAAUAUUCAGCAUCUUGAUUAAAUUAACACUUCGCAACUUCUGAGUCUCUUUGUUGAAUCACAUGUUUUUUUCUAGAAAAUAGGUGAACUAAUUCUUUUCUUUAGAACUAUAUUGGAAAAUUUCUUGAUCCAUAUGACUCAAUUGUUUCCAUAUUUUACUUCUACAUAAAAACUCUGACUAUGUAUAUAUAUAAAAAAAAUACUUUUGAAUUGCGUAAUUCAAAGUAUAAAAAAUAUCAAAUUGUAUAUGGUUCAAAAGUAAUUUAAUAAAGACAAUCUCAUACUUAGGUAGUAUGAUUUGAACUCUUUUAUUUUUUAAUUUUGUAACAUUAGCACAUAUUUGUCUUUUUAAUUAGUUUUAUAUAUUUUUAUUUUAAAGAAAACCAAACAUACAAAGAUAUAGUGGUAAUUUUAUAAAUUUUAAGAACUUAUUAGCCCCAAUUGCACGGGAACCGAAGCUAUAUACCCAUUUGGUAUCGAUUAUUAAAAAGUCGAGGCUAAAAAGUAAGAAAUUUUCAAAAUUUUUUUAAAUUUCACUUUUUUUUAAUUAUUUUAUAUGGGAAAGGAAAUUUGGUUUCGAUUAUCAAAUAAUCGAAAUCAUACACCCUUUUCUGCCUCGGUUACCCACCAAUUAAGGUCAAUAGGUAUAUGAAAUUUUCAAAAUUCCUGCUAUUCUUUUAAUUAUUUUAUCUUAAGGAGAAAACUUUUUUGCUUCGGUUCUCAAAUAAUUGAAGUAACACACAUCCUUUUUCUACUUUGUGAAUUUUUAAAAUUUUCAUUAUUUUUUUAAUUAUUUUAUUUAUAGGUAGAGAUUUGGCAUAAUUUUCUAUUUCAAUUCUCCAACAAUCAAGGUAGAAAGAUGUGUGAAAAUUUUCAAAAUUUUAAAAAUAUUUGAUUUCGGUUUCUUUAAGAAUCAAGGCCAAAUAUUCUAUUUUUCCUUGGUUCUUGUAAGAAUUGAAACUAUACAUCAUGUUCUACUUUAGUUGUUAAAGAAUCGAGAUCAAAAUGUGUCAAAAAAAUUUCAAAAUUUUAACAGUAUUUCACUAAAAAUAAAACAUGUAUUAUAUACAAUCAAAUUCUAUCAAAUGUAAAAUUUGGCGGUAAUAACUUUCUUCGAUGAACUGAAAUUUGUUAGUAAAAAUGCAAUUAGUAAACAUUCAAUUAGUAAAACCACUUCAUCUUCAUUCCCAUCACUUUGUUUUUGUCAAUUUUUGUGUUCUCCUAGGAAUAACUAAUCUUUAAGGUGACGGAUUUUCAUCAAAUGUUUUAGGAGUCUCGAAAUAUAUAGUAUAAACAUUUUUGGAAUGACAAAUAUAUAAACUAUAUUAAAAAAUAUUAAAAUUUAAAAAAAAAAAUAGUUUAGAUUAUAUAUAAAUAUAAAAAAAAAAUAGGGGGAAGAGGGCCAAGGUUCUCUAUGUCACAUCUAAAGUCUGCCUCUGCCUCUCUAUUCAUUAGUAUUGAAUAUAAUAUAUUCAACUAGAAUAUUUGGAUUUUUAACGAUGAAGGAUAAUUUUAUAUCACCAAACCUUCCUGAACUAUCAAACAAUCUAUAACUCUUAAUCAAGAUUUUAUUGAAUAACAUCAGUUGAAUUUAAUUCCACCAUCUUAAGUAAUAUUACCUUAUAUGUUUUGAAAAUAAAAGAAAAGAGUGGAAGAAGAAUAAUCUGUGUAAGUUGCUAUUCUUCAGCCCGAAAAUAUUCUUAGGACCAUAAAGAAAGAAAAUGCAGACAAAAUGAGAAAGACUUUUGAGGUAAAUAUUGUGUUGACGUAGAAUUUAAAAAAGCUUUUCACGCUUCUUUUUAGGUUUCUCUAUUUUUUUUACACCUAAAAUCACGUUGCUUCUCGUCAAUUUUCUAACCCAUAUAAUGGGAGCAUAGCUUUAAAAUUAAAGCAUAUAAGAUAAUGAAUUAUUUUUUUCAAAAUGCAAGAGUGUCCCUCCUCCUAGCACACAAAAAAUCAAAGAGUCUGCAUAGAAAAGUUAUGAGACCAUAAAACAAAUAUUUUACACUUUAUUCAUUUUUUGUGUAAAAAAUUGUAAAUUUAACUUCACAUUCAGUUAAAAAUAGACAAUGAAGGAAUUUAUCUCAGUUGAUUGAAACGUAUUUGAAAAUAAAAUAAAAAGUGUGGAAGAAGAAUGUUAGUCUCUGUAGGUUCUUAUUGUUUAGCUCCAAACAGGCAGAAAAAAAAAAGACAAAAAUUCACACUUCCUCUCUCUUUAGUAAUUUUUAGCAGCUAAAGUGAGUUGCUCCUGGUCAAUUAGGUUGAUACAAAUUACGUUACUGAUUUGGACAUGUAAAUUCAAUUUUAUAAAUUUAGCAUAUAAAAAUUAAACUGUUAGAUAGAUAGCGUAAUACAAACUUUCAGGGGAGAAGCUCAAGGGAGAAGAAAAAAAAAUUCAGCCUGUUCUAUGUUUCUUCUCUUUUUAAAAGAAAAAUAUUACUUUAGGUAUGUUCUUCUCACUGUCGAAUGAGCUUAUGUCUUGCUAGAUAAAAAAAGACUUACUGGCCGAGGUGGAUUUGUGAUUUGAGAGAAUCUUAGAAAAGUUUUCCAAUUUAUUUCAAGCGUUCAAUUCUCUACAAAAAUUCAAAAAAAAAAAAAGCUAAUUACUUCUAUUUUUAUAAUAAGACAUUUACAUCUAAUUUUUAUAAUGAAAUAAACACAAAAUGCAUGGCAGAAAGAUAAAUAAGAUGUUUUAACAAAUAUAAAAAAUAAGUAAUUAUCGCAUUUAUAAUUUCUUCUACAAAACAAGUUAAAUAAUAUAAAAAUGUAAACAGAAGCAUAGAAGAAAUUCUUUACCUAUUUUUUCUUUGGAGUAUUUAAGAAGUGUUUCAAAGGGUGCAUAAGAAAUUCAAAUAUGAAAUUGGGAGUCUUACAUUUAAUGAAAAUGAAGGAAAAAAAUAAUAUAUAAAAUAAUAUUUAUAAACUUUCUUAAUAUAUAAACAGAGGAGGAAAAACUGAAAAGGCAUUAUAACUUAAUAGCCUCCCCCAAGCUUGAGUGUGUAUGCAGAACAUAUUUUAAAGUCAGACGAUUGAAUGAGCAGAAGAUUAAAGUCAGAGGAACAAAACUCUUGUCCAUUAUGUGUUCUUAUUACUUUGAUGCCUCUGUUAAACUGAUUCUUUAUUAACACAAAAUUAUUCAUCAAGUUUCUAGUCUCACCUUUAUUUUUCAUUGGAUAGAUCCACGUAUGUCUUGUAUAGUCAUCCACGAUAGAGAGAAAAAACCUGUGACCAUACUAAAAGGACCUCAAAUGUAUGUCUAUGUGCACAAGAUAAAAAAUAUCAUUACUGCUAGUCUGACAAAGAGGAAAGGAGAGUCUGUGUUGUUUUGCUAAGUGACAUGGAGCGCAAACAUUAGUACUAUUAAAACAUAUAUCAUCAUAACUUUUGGAUAAUUGUUCAAGAAUCUUAUUUGAGGGGUGUCCCAGUCUACAAUGCCUGAGAUCAAGAGAAUCAACAUGUUUAAAAGUAUCAUCGUUAUGCACAAGAAAUAUAGCAUUUUUCAAGCAGCUAGUCAAAUGGUAAAGGUGGCCUUUGAACAGAUAUAAAUUUAAUGUGAAUUCAGGUAUACUUAGUACUGAUGUAUGGUAAUUUGAUCAGUUAAUUGAACAUCAAUGAAGGCUUAUUUUCGAGGGCUUAUUGUCCUUCGGUAAUGCCUGUGAUGCUUUUUCAUAUGCGCACCACAUCUUCAUUUAGCCUUUCUUUGGAUAUUUCUAAGGGCCUUUUGUCCUUCCGUAAUGCUUGCGAUGCCUCUUUAUAUGUUAGGAUUUAAUAUAUGUUAAGAUUUAAUAUCUUGUUAGGAUUUAAUAUAUGUUAAGAUUUAAUAUCUUGUUAGGUUUUAAGAUCUUGUUUGUUAUUAUUUUUGUUUGUUAUUAUUCUUUGUAUAUUGCUGAUAGAUUAGAUAGUUAUAACUAAUUCUUUUAUAAUCAUAAUGUAUAAAUAUUUGUAUCUGCAUUACGCAGAAUUAAAAUAAUACACAGAUCAUUCUUUGUUUCUCUGUUUUUCCUCUCAGCAUGAUUCUCAUUAUUUAAGAUGGUAUCAGAGCUCUUCAAUUGAAGAGUUCUGCUGUGCCUCUGAUCUUCAUUCGAUGCUUUCUCCUUCUUGAUUUCUUUGUGUUUUUUACCAAACCAACUCAUGGCUGUCAUUGAUCAUUACCACACGAUUGAAAAUUGUUACAAAAAGAAUGACUAUCCAUUAGGAUCUUCAGGAUUCUCCUACAACAAAGGGAUAAGAGGAGGUCGAGGUUAUUCAUCAAAUAAAGGAGGCUUUGGCAGAAGAUCAAAUUCAAGUUCAUACAACUCAAAGAUUUGCACUUUUUGCAAUAUCACUGAACACACUCUUAAUGAAUUUUUUAAGAAGCAUGGUUACCCUCCUAGGCAUAAACUGCACAGACCUGUUAUCACUCCUCAACAAUAUCAACAUUUGAUAACCCUCCUGCAACAACAAACACAAUUGAGAUCCUUUACAACUACUUCCCACAUCAAUCAAACUGGUACAACUUUCUCUCAAAAUACUUCUUUUAUAGGUAAUGUGCUACCAAUUUCUCAUGCUACAGACCAUGCCAUGUGGAUUAUAGAUUCAGGAGCCAGUGAUCAUGUAACUUCUUCCUUACAUUUAUAUUCAUCCUAUAAGGCUAUUGAUCCCAUCACAGUAAAACUACCAAAUGGACAACAAACCAUAGCCUCAUAUUCUGGAAUAGUAAAGAUUAAUGAUUCUUUGUCUAUUUCUAAUGUCCUAUAUCUUCCAUAAUUUAAUUUCAAUCUUAUAUCUGCUUCCAAGCUUACCACAACCCAUAAUUGUCAACUAAUAUUUCUUGAAAAUCAAUGUUUUAUACAAGACAGACACACCAAGAGGAUGAUUGGUAUAAUUGAUGCUCAAGAUGGGUUGUAUACACUCAAGACCUCUUUUAGCUCCACCAACACCACAAUUUGAAAUAAGGAAGCCAUUGAUAUUUGGCAUUACAGAUUAGGCCACCCCUCCCAUGAGAGAUUACGUGUAAUGCAACAAUUAUAUCCUGUGAUUAAUUUUGAUCACACUUUUAUUUGUACUCCUUGUCAUAUGGCUAAACAAAGAAAACCUUCUUUUCCUUAUAGUACUUCUCAAGCUUCUUCUAUUUUUUCUUUAUUACAUGUUGAUAUUUGGGGCCCUUGUGCUACUACUUCCAUUCAUGGUCAUAAAUAUUUUUUAACCAUUGUUGAUGAUUUUUCUAGAUAUGUAUGAGUGUUUCCUUUAAUCUCAAAAGCUAAAACUCAAUCACAUUUACAAUCUUUCACUACCUAUGUUGGAAGACAGUUUAAAACUAAGGUCCUAAGCAUUAGAUCUGACAAUGGAACUGAGUUUAUUAUGGCUGAAUUUUAUAAAAAUACUAGAAUUGUUCAUCAAACAACUUGUGUGGCAACCCCCCAGCAAAAUGGCUUAGUUGAGAGGAAACACCAGCACUUAUUAAAUGUUACCCGCUCCCUCCUUUUUCAAGCACACUUACCAAACAUUUUCUGGGCUUAUGCUCUUAUUCAUGCCUCUACCCUCAUAAAUUGCCUUCCCACUCCUCUCCUAAAUAACCAUUCUCCACACCAAAAAGUAUACAGUUCUCCUUUUGAUAUUACCACUCUUAAACUUGAUCCAAGAGCCUUACCCGCUAUUUUCCUUGGCUAUAAACCACACAAAAAAGGCUUCAUCACCUUCAACCUCAAAAUCAGGGCCAUUGAGAUUUCUAGAAAUGUUGUCUUUCAUGAAAGUUGUUUUCCCUACCACAAUGAGUCAUACACCACUCCUAAUUCCCACCUUGUCACCCACCCACCUUUGCUCUAUAUUGACCAAUGUAUGCCUAGUUCUCAUACAGAUACUUCGCAUCCUUCUCCACCCGGUUCACCUCCCACCCUACCUGAUCAAUGUAUGCCCACAUCUCAUACAGAUACUUCGCAUCCUUCUCCACCCAGUUCACCUCCUACACUACCUGCUCCUAAUAUUAGAAGAUCCACCCGACAGAAAUACAGACCUUCAAGACUAUCUGAAUUUGAAAUGUCUUAUGCAUCAACUAUUACCUCUUAUUCUUUAGGUAUCAAACAUCCUCUUGCUUUUGUCAUUUCAUAUAAGAAACUUGCAGCACCUUACUAUAGAUUUAUUAUGCAAAUCUCUACUAACAUUGAGCCUAGAUCUUAUUCUGAGGUAUCCAAGUAUCCUCACUGGGUUAGAGCCAUGGAUGACGAGCUUGCUGCAUUGGCCCAAAAUGACACUUGGAAAAUCACAGAUUUACCUGCUGACAAAACUGUAGUAGGCUGCAAAUGGGUUUUCAAAAUCAAAGACAAGGCUGAUGGAAGCAUUGAAAGAUAUAAAGCUAGAUUGGUAGCCAAGGGUUACACUCAAAUUGAAGGUUAAGACUAUCUAGAUACCUUUUCUCCUGUGGUUAAAAUCACAACGGUUAGACUUGUUAUAGUUCUUGCGGCAGCACAUAAUUGACAUCUUAAGAAACUACAUGUUAAUAAUGUUUUUCUUCAUGGUACAUUAAAUGAAGAAGUUUAUAUGAUACCUCCUCCAAGGCUCAACUUUAUCAAACCAAAUCAAGUAUGCAAGUUACAAAAAUCACUUUAUGAUCUUAAACAAGCAGGUAGACAGUGGUAUGCUCGUUUAUCUGAUUUCCUCUUGUCUAAUGGCUUUCUCCAAUCUCCAUCUGAUCAUUCCUUGUUCACAAAACAUUUUGAUUCCAAUGUCACUAUUUUAGUGAUUUAUGUUGAUGAUAUAGUACUCAUAGGCAAUGAUCUAACAGAUCACUCAUAUUACUCAUCUUCUUGACGCAACAUUUAAGAUUAAAGAUCUUGACAAUCUUAAAUUCUUUCUUGGUCUUGAAGUGGCUAGAAAGAAAGAAGGUAUUUGCAUUUCCCAGAGACAAUAUACUCUGGACAUUCUCAAAGAUGAAGCAUACUUAAACUCUAAGCCCGUUUCCACUCCUUGUGAUUACCGUACAAAGCUCAGCACAAAUUCUGGCCAACCUCUAAAUGAUGCAGCUUCAUCUUCUUAUAGAUGAUUAGUUGGUAGAUUAUUAUAUCUCACCAACAUUAGACCAGAUAUUUCAUUUGCAGUACAACAACUAAGUCAGUUUCUCUCAAAUCCUAGCACAAAUCAUCAACAAGCAGCUUCCAGGAUUCUUAGAUACCUUAAAGGUGCCUCUGGAAAAGGGAUUUUCUUUCCCAGCGAUAACAUUACAGUUGAAAGGCUUUAGCAAUUCUGAUUGGGCAGGCUGCAUUGAUACCAGACGAAGUAUCACUGGUUACUCUAUCUAUCUUAGUUCUUCAAUUAUUUCAUGGAAAUCGAAGAAACAUGCCACUGUAUCCAAAAGUUCCUCAGAAGCUGAAUACAGAGCUCUUGCCACAGCUACUUGUGAAAUUCAAUGGUUAACUUUUCUUCUACAGGAUCUUCACAUAACUUUUCAACAACCAGCAGUCUUGUUUUGUGAUAACACAUCUGCCCUUCAUAUUGCUGCAAAUCCAGUUUUCCAUGAACGCACAAAACACAUUGAAAUAGAUUGUCAUAUUGUAAGGGAAAAGCUUUCUUCUAGCUUACCUAAACUACUGCCAAUUCCUUUUGCAUGUCAGUUAGCUGAUAUUACUCCAAAGGACUUUCUCCAGCAGCUUUCAAAUUUCUGGUUUCCAAGUUGGGAAUGAUUGACAUUCAUUCUCCAGCUUGAGGGGGACUGUUAGGAUUUAAUAUAUGUUAAGAUUUAAUAUCUUGUUAGGAUUUAAUAUAUGUUAAGAUUUAAUAUCUUGUUUGGUUUUAAGAUCUUGUUUGUUAUUAUUUUUGUUUGUUAUUAUUCUUUGUAUACUGCUGAUAGAUUAGAUAGAGUUAUAACUAAUUCCGUUAUAAUCUUGAUGUAUAAAUAUUUGUAUCUGCAUUAUGCAGAAUUAAGAUAAUACACAAAUCAUUCUUUGCUUCUUUUUUUUCCUCUCGGCAUAAUUCUUAUUAUUUAAGACUAUAUGCGAACCACCUCUUCAUUUAGCCAUUCUCUGGAGAGAUCCACCCGCACACAUUUCUUUUUCUCACGAACCUUCGCUCGUCUCCGAUCCAUAUUUCGAGCUCCUCCGCCUCAGAUCUUAAUAUGCCAGCCACGGUUAGUCUCUAGAUCUUCACUUUCCUGUACAUUUCUCCCUUACCUAUCCUCUCUGUUCUAUCUUCACUUUUGCUUGAUUAAAACCUCUUUUUGUUCCAUUCCAUCGAUUCAAUCGUUGAAUCCAUUCGCUCCACCAAUCAAAACGUCCCAAAUCCCCAACUCUAGAAUGUAUACCGAUCAAACCAUUCAAUCUAGGGUUUGCCUCCGUUGUCCGUCAUUCGUUGUUCUUCUUCUUCGAUUAGCUCGAUCUGUGUCAAUUUCCAUGGUUCCUCGUCGAUCCGCCUCGACCUGGAGCUAUCAAGUGGUAUUUAGAGCCUAAGUUAGGCGUGUAUGCACGAAGCUAAGUAUUUUCUUUGCCUUUCCAAGUUGUCUUCGAUUAAUUGUCUUGAUCUGUUUUGGUCUUGUAUUGAAACUUUAGCACAUGGAUUGAAAAAUACAAUUUUUUUUCUUAUUAUCAUCAAUACCCUGUAUGAAAUGUCUAUUGUGCUCAUGUGAAAACAAUAAGUUUCUACAUUAGAUUGCUUUACAUUAUUUUAUGCUUUUUGAUAUUUAUGUUCAAUUUUGGCGUGUUGAGGGCGUUGUAGUGAAAUGGUGUUGGCUGAUGCGUAGUGGUCAAUUGCCACAACAAAAGGUCAUGUUUUGGCUGGUGCGUACUUCAUCUUGGGUAGAGCUGUCAAAACGGGUAACCCGGCUCGACCCGGCCCGGCCCACCACGGAUUGGUCACUUAGUGGGUAAGUGGGUUGGCUCACUGGCCCACUUAAUUACAAUUCUUUUUAAAUAAAAAAAAAUUACAAACUUUCUAUAAUUCAAAUCUAAACAAAUUUCACUCCCAAAUUUCACUUCCAACAUGGAUGUUUAACUAAUUUUGAAAAUAUGGAACUUAAAUAAUUUUCUCAAGCAAAAAAAAAUAUUUUUUAUAAAAUUAAAAUUAAAUUUUAAUAAAAUAAAAUUAGGUAAGCGGGUUGGUGCGCCAACCCGGCCCACCACGGGUUCAACCCGCAUGAGUUGGGUUUAAAUGAGCCGGGUUGAAAUCUGACCCGCAUAAAAAAAAUAUAAUUUUUUCAAACCCAACCCGGGCCGAACCCGUGACAGGCCGGGUUGGCCCGCGGGUUGUGACUCAUUUUGACAGCUCUAAUCUUGGGUAUGCAAGCUUUAGGAGUGAGUAAACGUUAUUUGAUGAGAUGAUUCUAGUAUAUGAUAUUAUAAAGUGCAUUUGUACUUGUCGUGGUGCCUCGUUAACAUAUUAAGGGUGUCUCUAUUGUGAAUCCUUCCUGUCUAUUCUCUUGAAUCCUUCUGGUGGUUAUUUAAGGGUUAAUAGUUUAUGUAUUUAUGGAUUAAAGUUGACUGAAAUUAACUAGAUGCUAUCUUGGGAAUUUUUUUGGAGACUGGUACAAUUUUGAUAUGUGACUGAUUUUUUUUUCCUGUGUUUCUUAGAGAUAAGAAAUAUAAAAGUGGAUAUGUGUACUCUGUUCUACAUGUGUAGUGAUGAUAAAAUCUGGAAUGAUUGGGUUAAAUCGUGUAAAAAGAGUGUUUUUUUUCUACACACUUUGAUGGUUAACUUCUUGUGGCUACUUUGCUUAUACAAAGAAACAAUUUUAUUUGUUGAAGGGUGUUUUAUUUGCUUGUUCAAGGAAACACUUUGAUUUUUAUGGUUAACUUCUUUUCUCGUGGCUACUGUGAUGCAUUGAAACACAAGAAUUGAAACAACCUUUGGAAUGGUUGAGACUGGGAGAGGUGUCUUUGUUUAGCCUAGUGAUAACCAAUUUCACCCAUUAUUUGCAUUGAUGAUGUUACUGCUUUGGAGAUUGUUUUCUUUCAACAGCUGCUAUAUAUAUAUUUUUUAUAUAAAAAAAAUGAAUGUUAUUGUUUCGGUGUAAAUUUUGUGGGACCGAGACACUAACCUGGAUGUCGUGGCUUUCCUGCUUUCGGGCGCUUGGAUUGACCGGGUCGCUCGUUCUUCCUGGGUCUCGACCGCUUGGUCUCCUUAAGGCUGGACCGUUCGGUGGAUUUUGAUCUUUGACCGAAGGGGGGAGGUACCUGCAAUGGCACUCCGAUGCCCAAGUUAGGCGAGUGGUGAAUGAACCUUGGUUCUUGAGUUGACGAUUCUCAGUAUGAGAAUAGAUAAUAGGGUUUCUGAGUGAUUAUAGCGUAAGUAGAGUAUGUGUAAAGCGUACAUGGCUUGUGUCCUUGGCUUUCUAUUUAUAAUUUGUCUCAUGAACCUUGAACUGACAUAAGCCCAAUAAAAUAUAAACAGAAUAAAAUAUAAACAAACUUGUUUGGUUACUCAUAAACAGCCUUAUCAGUAUCUUUAAUCAGAUAUUAUUUUAUUCUUAAUAUUUUUAAUAAGAUAUCUUUGAUUCUGGUGGACUACAAGCCCAAUAAUGAGAGUUGGCCCAAUUAUGGCCCAACAUAGUCAUGAUGUUGUAUAUAACCGAUCAGUUAUUAUUUAUAACCGAUCGUCCCAGAUAUCAUACCGUACAUCAUCCCCCCAAGUCCGAGUUAAGCGUUAGGCUUUAGCCCUGGUUAACUGUAGGACUUAUGAGUUUGAGGGAGGUUGGAUUCGUUGUGCGUAGAGAGCGUUUUCCUAGUUGAUGGUGGUUAAUGGUUAUCCCGCUCAGUUUUACUGCCCAGGGUUGUUGAAUGACUGGAGCGAAAGUCCGUUUGAUGUUUAAUAUUGAGGUGUGCUAGAUGACGGGAAAGACCGAUGCGUUUGGUAUUUAAUAGGUCAGCUUAGAAUUGAAAAGUGGUUAUCAUACGACGUGUGCGUGUUGCCGUCUUGCAUUUUAGUUAUGACUGAUGUUUUCCCGCCUUUGGGGUAGUGACAAAGUCGUCAAAACGGAGCCGUUAGAUCAUUUUUAUCCAACGAUGUAGAUUGUGUGACGGUUGCAUCAGUUUCCUUUCAUUAAUGAGAUAGGUUUUCGCAGACGAACUCAACCGUCAUUUCUGCUUUUGUGUUUUCUCGAGAACUUUUGAACUUCCUCUUCUUCUAGCCGCAAGUUGCGUCCAAGCUUUGCUCUUUUUUCCAGGUAACCAUGGCUUCCUCUUCGCAUUUAGAUUGUUCAUUGUCACAGAGUGAGGAAAGAGGGCAUGAGGGCUCGACUGAUGUAUCUGGGGACGCUCAGACUGAAAAGUUUUCAUCGGUGCUUAACGGGGGAAAAGUUUUUGUUUGCGGUGGGGUUACCGUUGAAGUCCUCGAAAACUCCUGCUCUUCAUCGUGCUUAGAUUAUGGGUGGGCCUCCUGCGACAUAGGUGAUUAUUCAAGUCUUUUUGUUAGUAGACCUGUUCUGUUAGAUUGGGCGAAUAAUAGUUGUGUUCUUAGAGCCUUAAGUUACAACUCUGCUAUUAAGUUGAUUGCCUGUAGAGGGGAUGAAAGGGUUUUCCAUGGCAAAGAUACUGUUGGCGAGGAUUUUUUCUAUUUUUAUUCAUGCUUGUUUUUUGAUAUGUACAUUAGGUUACCUUUUACUGGGUUUCAGAUGGAUGUUUUGUGGGUCCUGAAUGUAGCUCCCUCUCAGUUGCACCAGAACAAUUGGGGUUACAUUCAGGUGUUCGCUGUCUUGUAUCAGACCUUGGGUAUUUAGCCAACAGUCAAAUUGUUCCUUUAUUUUUUUAGGACGCGCCCCAACGCCAAGAGGGAUUGGGUGUCUUUCAGUUUCGAGCCUAAGAAUGCUUACAAUUAUAUUAUAGCAUCACUAUACAAGUGCCAGUUUCUGUGGACUUUAUUUAUGCUAAAACAUAAAGUGUUGUAUGAUUCAUGUCGUGAAAUCUCAGUAAGUGGGAAAGUGCUUUUGUUUCUGUCAAGCUUUAAUAAUGAUAACUUGUGUAAUCAUGUUUCUUAUUAUAUAUGAUACUUUUUGGACACCUAAAACAGGUCGGAUGCUAGGUGGAAAAUUAUCUAGGUCUCCUGGUGGGCUUCCUCCACAAUCACCUAUUGCUCAAUGGGACAACAUCAUCAAAUUUUUGGAUUCACUCAUGAGCAGAAUGCGUGUAAAUCAUGUAUGCUAUUUAGUCAAUAAAUAGUUUAACUAGUUCUUCAAAAUACUGGUUUCAUUUUAGAAAUGUCUAUAACAUGUUUUAAUAAAUAGUUUUACUUAGUUUCUAAUUGUAGAUGUUACUAUUGCAAAUGAAUAUUAUUGAACUUAAAUAUUCUCAUUUAAUUUUACUUUAUGAGUUUUGAAUGUUAGUGUUGUAACUUAUAAGUUUUGGAAUUUAAAAGGGUUUUUUAUUCUAUAAUGUUGUUUUCAAUUGAUAAUUUUUUAAUAUAAUGCGGUAACUUUGAAAAAAUAUUUUUUAUUUUACUAGUUCAAUCACAGUUAGCUCAUUUAUUAUUGAACCGGUGCACUUACCUGUUUAAUGACCAGUUUGGUUUCCAAAAUAUUGACAAUCUUGUUCCUAUUGUUCCUAUUGUUGUUACUGCAUCAUCCUUAGUUCUGGAGGUUUUCUUGUUCUCUUUUUGUAUAUUACUUUUCCAAGUUUAUAAAGGCUUUACUUGUCCAAAAAUUUAAUCAUGUUUCAAUAAAAAUUGCAUGAAAUGGGGAUGUACAGUGAGCUUGCUAUUACUACGUGAUUUUAUUUUUAAGGUUUAAUCAUAUUUAUACUUUAUGUCUUUGUUUCGUGUUUUAUCCUUUGUUCUAAUCCGCUUGGAUCUUUGUGGGUUCUUAUGCAUGUGUGAGCAGCCAAUGAUAUAUGGUAGGGGUCCAAUGCCAACAGGAAUGCAAAUGGUUCCAAUGGUGUUACCAGACGGUCGAAUUGGCUAUGUCGGCUAUGUCUUGUAAGUUUCUGCGAAUUCAUUUUUACAUAAAUUUUAUCAUAUGAAAAUACUAAUAAGAAUGCUUUUUAAAUUUAAAUCAUACUAUAAAUUAAUAUAGUAUAUUAUUUAGUAUUGUCAAUAUAAUUUAAAAUUGCAUUGGCAAUUAUGCAUAAUAGUAAUUUAACACAGUAAUAGAAAAAAUUUGUAACCCAAUAUGUUUUUUAAAUUAUUGGCAUUUGUAUAAAAAUUAUAUAUGUAUCAUCAUCAUUACUAUAAAAUGUUCUAUACAUAAUUUUACUAUCAAUUUUAUUUCUAUUUCGUGUGUAAUUUUUAAUCAUUGUUGUCCAAGUUUUUUAAUUUGAAUCAUAAGUUUAUAUUCUAAGCUAUGGAGUAAUGUUUAUUUAGUUUUAUUACACUGAAUUGUAAAAAUUGGAAAAAAUAAUUGAUUUUGAUAAUGGUGAUAUGGUGCAGACAACAACCUAGUGUACAAGCGCCACGCAGCCGACCUCGCAGAAGUGAUUGGAGUAAUGGUCCAAGUGGGCAGCCAGGACGAGGAGGUGAUAGUGGCAAUGAUGAAGGCAAUCGUAGUAGAAGGCAUUGUCUUUGAGUUGUUUUCUUAUUUAGAAGUAUAAUUUAAAUGUUUUUCCUCUGUAUGUGUUGUAUUGUUGUGGCAGCAAGUAUCUUAUGUAAAAGACUACGAACAUAUUAUGUAGUAUCAUUUGAUAUUUCCUUUUCGAUUGUCCUUCUCCAGUACAAAUAUUAGUGGUUAGUUUGACUUCAUGUCAUGAAAAAUUUCAUAAUCUAAACUAGUGGAGUGAAACUUCUUUGUCCUCCGAUAAUUACCGACGGCCUUUGUCCUUCGGUAAUUACCGAAGGUUUUUGCCCUUUGGUAAUUACCGAAGGGUAAAGGCCGUCGGUAAUGGUUAGCGACAAAUGAUUUACUGACAGCUUUUUGACCAUCGGUAAGUCGUCGGUAAUAGGUCAUUACCGACAACUUCUGGAUGUUUCCGAGAGAUUCUGGCCUUUGGUAACGCCCUUAUUCAGAAGAGUCUUGAUAUUUUGACACCAAAAUUUUGACACUUUUUUUACACUGCCAAGUGUCACAAUUUGAUUGGUUUGUUUUUAAAUGUUGUUUUGAAUUAAAAUUUGACGUCAAGUUUAAGGGAGGUUUGAGAAAUGUGUGCUUCCAAAAAUGCCCUUGUUCUGUUCCAUUUGAAAUGAACCUUCUCUCUCCUGUUUCAGAAGUAUGGGUUUCGUUCUCCCGUUCGCUCUCGCUCUUCAUUUUGGUUGACCCUCUCACUCUCGCUGUCGGUGUGGGUGUCGCUCUCGUUAUCGAUGUUUGUUGCACGUGUUCCUUUAAAGCAACGUCGUUGACUUUCUUGAGUUUAUUGUGCGGAAUGACAAGUUUCGAUAAGCAUGGUUCUUCAAGUAAAAAGGUUCUUCCUCCAUUUAGUUGUUGUUUUAUAUUUUUAUGUUUUUUUUUAGGGUAUUUAUGUUUUGGUUAUUUUGUUUGUGGUUGAUGCAGUUGACUGUUCGUCGCUCAUUUUGAACAAAGUAUAUUUCUACUUUGAAGGAAUUCUUGACAAAGGAGCACCGGUCACGAAGACGUAUGUGAGGAUGGGGUCACGAAGGCAUUACAAGAGCAGAUCGCUUAGGACUCCUUAUACUGGAUUGCUAAGAAUAAAAAAUGAGUGAUAUUUGUAUACGUUUCUUCAGAGAAUGUAAAAUAGAAUUAGUAUUAUGAACAAAUGUUUUGUAAUUUGGAUUGUAUCAUUUUCAAUGUUAUAAAAGAUGCAUUUGAUGUAGUAUUACUGUUAAAUGAAUUGCCUUUGUUAUUACUGUUAAAUGAAUUACCUCUGUUAUUGUGAUUGGCAAAUUGAGGUUUUGUUUGAAUUGUUAAGGAAUAAAGUUGGCAAUUUGAUGUACUAUUGAUGUAUUUAAUGGAGGAAUGAAACAAUGCAGUUGGAAUUUUUGGUAUUUUUUUCAAAUACGUAUUUCUUUUGGUCUGAUUUUGUUGUUAAGGAGUCAUUUUAGUGUGGUUGUUCAUGUUUGGGUACCCCAAGUUGGACAUAGGAAACAAUAACGUUGAGUAGAGGAACUUAGUUGAACUCCUGAAAGUUCUGUAGUUAAAAAUGCACUGGUAAACGAUUACGUGAACAUAUUAUGUGAUUUGUACAGAAAGUUGUACUGCUGGAGCCAGUUCUGGUAACCUAGGGGACCAUAGUCUAAAUUUUUGUAGUUUUUUCAUAAAUGCAAUUAUUUUUGUGUGAUUUUGUUGUUUAAGUGUGAUUUUAUAAUGUGGGAAAUCAAGUUUGGGCACCCCAUGUUCGAGAUAAGAAUCAAAUUUUUUUCAUUUGAACAAGUUAGUUGAAGUUUUGCAGCCAGUUCUGGUAACCUAGGGGUCCAUAGUCUAAAUUUUUGUAUUUUUUGCAUAAACGCAAUGGUUUUUGUGUGAUUUUAAGUGUGAUUUUAGUGUGGAAAAUCAAGUUUGGGCUCCCCAUGUUCGAGAUAAGACACAUUUUUUUUCAUUUGAACAAGUUAAUUGAGGUUUUGCAAGGUCUAGAGCAAAAAACAAAGUUGUAAUCGUUUACAAGACCUUGGUAAACGAUUACACGAACAAAAUCCUGGAUUUGUACAGAAAGUUGUACUACAGGAGCUAGUUCUAGUUACCUAGGGGACCAUAAUAUAAAUUUUGUAUUUUUUGCAUAAACGCAAUGGUUUUUGUGUGAUUUUGUUGUUUAAGUGUGAUUUUAGUGUGGGAAAUCAAGUUUGGGCACCCCAUGUUUGAGAUAAGAAACAAUUUUUUUCAUUUGAACAAGCUACUUGGAGUUUUGCAAGGUCUAGAGCGAAAAACAAAGCUGUAAACGUUUACAAGACCUUGGUAAACGAUUACACGAACAAAAUCCUGGAUUUGUACAGAAAGUUGUACUACAAGAGCCAGUUCUGGUAACCUAGGAGACCAUAGUCUAAAUUUUUGUAUUUUUUGCAUAAAUGCAAUGGUUUUUGUGUGAUUUUGUUGUUUAACUGUGAUUUUAGUGUGGAAAAUCAAGUUUGGACACCCCAUGUUCGAGAUAAGAAACCAUUUUUUUCAUUUGAACAAGUUAGUUGAAGUUUUACAAGGUUUAGAGCAAAAAACAAAGUUGUAAUCGUUUACAAGACCUUGGUAAACGAUUACACGAACAAAAUCCUGGAUUUGUACAGAAAGUUGUACUGCAGGAGCCAGUUCUGGUAACCUAGGGGACCAUGGUCUAAAUUUUUGUAUUUUUUGCAUAAACGCAAUAGUUUUUGUGUGAUUUUGUUGUUUAAGUGUGAUUUUAGUGUGGGAAAUCAAGUUUGGGCACCCCAUGUUCGAGAUAAGAAAUAUUUUUUUCAUUUGAACAAGUUAGUUAAAGUCCUUCAAGGUCUGGAACAAGUUAGUCUAAAUUUUUUCAUUUGAAUAAGUUAGUUUGGUCUAGACUCAGACCUUACAAAUUUUUGGACAUUUAUACUAUGGUUGAAACUUAUUUUUAGUGUUUCAGUGUGAGCAGAGGCUAGGAAGUCAUGUUUGGGCAAUCCAUGAAAGUUAACAUUAUAUUGCAAUAAGAAUCUGUACAUAAAUAUCAUUGUUUCUUACAAAGACAAAAAUCCAUCUUUGCCUACAUACAAAGAAAAACUCUACAAAUAAAAUCAAUCCUAUAACAAUCCAAAUUUCUGUCGUGCUUCCAUUCUUCUAAUGUUGUUGUUGUCAAGGAUCCAGUCGCAUACAUAUUUCUUUACUUGAUCAAUGUCAAAAGGCACAACCUUCAAAACCUUUACUCGGUCAUGGAGUGCGGGAAAGAUAGUGUGGGAAGACGAAAAGCUCCAACCUUCGAAAAGCACCAACCUUCGAAAAGUUCCAACCUUUGAAAAGUCUCAACCUUUGAAAAGCCCCAACCUUACAAAAUCAUCAACCUUCGACGAGCAACAAUGGUGAAUGCCAAAGAGACAAACAAAAAAAGGAAGAUGAGAGCGGAACAUGAGAAAGAGUUCAAGGAAAACCUUGAAAAACAAUGCGAGAGACCCGCAACAAUGCUCAGGCAAAUGAGAGAGACAAAGAACUCAGAGAACACGAGAGGGAUAAUGGUAAUGAGAGAACGAGAGAGAGUGAUACGAGAAACGCGAGAGAGACUGGCAAUGAGAGAGAUUGAUACGAGAGUGAAGAGCAAAUGGGUGCGAAUGAAAGAAACCGCGAAACGAAAUUUCAUUUUUUUCCACCUUCCAAAUAUGCCCCUGCCUAAUUAUUAAAACCUCAUGUCUUUCUUUUCAAAUUCCGCCAAUUGAGAAACGACAUGUGGCAAUGUCAAAAGAGUGUCAAAAGUUUGGUGUCAAAGAAGUGUUUUCGUAUUGGAAAAACUAAUAUGUAUAGGUUUGAUCUCAUAAUGACUCAUGGACAAUAAUAUUGAGUCCGUAACACAGUAUAAAGGAUUCAAGAUUUUAUACCUUCUUUACCUUUUUCAAUUUGGUGAGUUGAGUGCUCACUGAAUGUGCUGUUGACAACUUUUUUAGGAUGUACAUUUCUUUUUGAUUGAGUUAUGCCAACAAUUUGUUGUAUUUGCUUCGUAGUCAAGUUUUUAUGGAUUUGUUCACAAGUGGAUUGCCCUUCAGUGACCGGUUCAGUUUUGUUCUUCAGAGCGUUUAAUGAGUAAUUUUAUCUUUGCUUCGUCCAAUGAGGGAACCCAUGCUUUGAAUAGCAUUCGUCUUCAGUGUGGUUCAUCUUUAUACAAUAUGAACAUUGCUUGCCAUAGUUCUUUCUUCUUCCUCUUCCAUAACUCUUCCACUCUGUGGUAUUUCCACUUCUGUAAUUCUUCUGAGUUUGAAUGACGUUGUUCACCAUCACUUUCUCUGUACCAUUACUAUCAUUUAGUUGUCUUUUUUGUUGGAGAACCAAAGGAAAAACACGAUUAAUACUUGGUAAUGGCUCCAUAAGCAAGAAUUGAGUUUUAACAGUGUUGUAGAUUCACCUAAGGCUUUUUAGGAAACACAUUAUGCGCUCAGAAUCUUUUUAGUCUGUAAUAAUCUUACUGAUAUUGUAGCUACAUCUCACGUGACAAACACAAGCUGGAAUAGUACUAAGAAAAUUCAGCUCUUCUCAUAAAAUCUCGGAGUUUGUGUAGUAUUUUGCAACCGUUCGUUCUCCCCGUUUUAUGGAAUUAAUUUCUUGGAGGAGAUGAGAAGUUAAUGUAUGUUAUUAUGCGUUUUUAGCGUAUGAUCCCUCUCCAACGUCAUAUUGGGUGAUGUCAAUAAGGCAUCGACUCCUUCAAAGGACAUCGGAUGUUCCCCAUCAGACGUCAUAUGAGACGUCAGAUUUAAGCACGUCAAACGUCAUAUGAGAUGUUGUGUAUAAGCCAUCUAACGUCUAUCAACGCUGAGCGCCACUGGCUCGUGCUGAGUGAGAAAAAUUCUAGAGUGCCACUAGAAACCUUUUGACGUCUGUCAGUGCACUGACAUACGUCAAUAGACAUCGGACAUAACCAUAACUAACGUUUACUGGGUGUUUUUUUUUAAAUUAAUUUAUUUUUGCAAUAAAACCACACCUAAAAAAUAUAUGAUUAUCACAGAACAUCAUAAUAUAAUAUAUUUUAUGCGUUUGAAGUUAAAAAGAUAAUAAACAAUCUAAAAAACAAUCCAAAACUUAAACAAUCAAAACUUAAACUUAAACUAAAGCUAAUUAAUGUUCAACAACAAUAAAAGUCUUCCUAAAGGCAUGGGCAUGGGUCUUAAGUCCAUCUCGAAGAAGAUAAGUUGCCCACUCUUGUUUUAUCUUUUUAAUUGUGUCCUCUAGUAUAAGAGAUGUAUUCUUGAAUCACUGUAAAAUGAAGUUGAUUUCAUAAUGUUUGCAUAUGUUCAAAGAUGAAUUUCAUUUGUAAUGUAUUGAAGGUAAGCAUCAUUACCUCAAUGCAGUCAUCUGUAAUAUCAGGUCGAAUGAUGGUUUUAAUCCAAGACAUGACAUAGUAGCCACAUUACCAUGAAUUUAGCUGUUUGUUACACUAAAAUGACAAACUAAAAAGUCAAUUAUUUGGAUCAUUCAAUAACAUAGAAAAUGAAUAAGAACUAUAAAUGACUUAUAACUUUUGGAUACAAGAUUUGAAUUAGCUUACCUCGGGGUUUACCCAUAACUUUAUUUACAUUAAAAACACAAGGUAAUAUUAAUAUAACUAUAUUCUUCAUAAAAAUUGAAGGUCAACAUGAAUUUGAAACAUAAAAAGAGAAACACUUACCCUUGAAGCAAUGUUUUCAAGUCAUUUUUCAUCCUCCUGUGCAGCGAACAAAACCAUAGAAUUUUGCAUUGUCUAGGAAUGACAACCAUCAGCUGCCAAUGAGACCUAUCAUGAAUCAUAAAUAAUUAGUAAACUAAUUAAGUAAGUUUUAAUGAAAUUUUACAUUUUGCAGCACAUACCCAUCAAUGUAUGGCAUAAGGUAUACGUCUCUAUUUAAUCGAUUACAUCUGGUAAUUGAUUACAACAAGGUUGUAAUCGAUUGCCAGGGUCAUUUUUGUGUAAACACUCUAGUAAUCGCUUACAAGGGAGUUUUUGUCCACUGAACCUGCUAGUAAUUGAUUACAACAAGGGUGUAAUCAAUUACCAAAGUCAUUUUUUCCUACAAAGGUGAAGUCGUGUAGGAGGGCACGACUUUAGCACGUUGUAAUUGAUUACAGAGCUUGGUAAUCGAUUACAACGCCAUGAAGUUGUUUUUGGGGUGCACGACUUCAAGACUGUUCAAAUGAACAGUGUGAAGUCGUGCAGGGGGCACGACUUCUUCCUUAGAAGUCGUCUAGGCCCCCCACGACUUCCCUUUGACCACAAAUUUGCUCAUUUACUAAUAUGGGAGGCAAAUUUGCCUAGUUUCGUACAAAAAUCCAUGUUUAUCUGAUGAUAGUUGGGCUAGUUUUACUCAACUUUUGGAGCAGUAUUAGGCACCUACCUACAUGUUAACUAGCACUUUGGGCAGAAUGUGAUGUAAGUCAUGUAGCAUAAGUUUUAGAACUAGACAUACUCCUUGUGCGAGUUAUUCAUAUGCAUAACUCUAAUGUUUUAUUGCAACUAUAUUUGUGUAUUCUAUUUGCUCGUUUGUGCCGUGGCAUAGUUAAAUAGAAGUCAAUUGCUUAGGUAACUGCGAUCAGAAUAUAGGAUUUAAGAAAUAUGGUUUGACCAAUGUUAACUAUUUAAUGUGAUUUUUGGUUUUGAUAGUUAUGGUUAUUAUAUUUGAACGAAAAUUUUUGACCACCCUUUUAAACUCUUAUUAUAGGAGAAAAAUCAUAGGAGUCCUUAUUUUGGGUGCAUCUGAAGUUUUUUUUUUUUUUUUGGAUUGUGAUCUUAAAAUGAUCCUAACUUUCACUCAGGUUAUUAGUUUUUGCAUUACUAUAUAUAGAUUUGGGGUAGAAAAAUAUUUUGAUACAGUGGUAGCUCGCAUAGCCAGCUAAUCCUUCUAGAUUUUCCAGAAAACAUUGUUUUCAUAUUUUUCAAAAAUUUAUUUUGUUUUGUUUUUUCAAACUUUGCACAAAUAUUUAAAAUAGUUAGACUUUGAAUUUUGAGCUGAAAUUUUGUGUGAAGGGUUUUCAUGAUUUUUUGGUCUUUCCAACAAAUUUUAAAGUCAUUUAAAGUUCGUUUGAGCAUACUAUCAGUUUUACUUACACCUAUGUUUUGAUGUGUAUGGUGUAUGAAGAACAAACAACCAAAUGAAAACAUGAAAAACCUAAAAUGAAAUUAACCUUGAAGGUGAGUUUGGUGCUGAAAUGAAACGAAAUGAGCAUCACAAAGCGCCUAUCUAAAGAGCACCUGUGCACAAAAUUAAUCGAUCAAAACGAAAGAAAAUCAUACCUAAGAACUUAAUCAGCCUAAAAUUAAAGAAAAAAAAUGGAAGAAAUGUUAAGGAUGAGGUCGCGAAAAUGGAAGACGAGAGAGCGACGCGGCAUAGCAAAGAAAAUGAUGUUUCUGUCUGAAAUGUACAAGAGGCUUUGUUCACGAAAUUUAACCUUAGAAACAUAUUAUUACCUCGAUUAUUUUAUUAACCAAGACAAUAAGGGUUCUAUGGCCUCAGUUUUAUUAAGAAUCGCUACCUAAAGCCUCUAAAAAAAUAUUUUCAGUUAUUUUAUGCUUCGAUUCGCGGCAUAACCGAAGUAUAAGUACUAUAUGGCCUUAAUUCUCUAAACAACUGAGGUUAUAGACUCCUUUAAGCUUCGGUUCUUUCUAAACCGAGACAUAUGUAUUUGCGAUAAUUGCAAAAAUGUCACUGCACCAUUUUAUGUUUCGGUUGCAACAAAACCAAUGUCAAAUGCGUAAGUUAAUAUUCAUAUUUUUUUACUAGUGAGAAAACGAAACAGUAAAGACAUGGUGGCAAUUUUAAAAAUUUUGUGAAUUUAUAAAUCUCGAUUGCACUACAUACAAAAUCAUAUACUUCUUUUGACUUGAUUAUUAUAGAAACGACUUCGAAAGGUGUGUGAAACUUUAAAAAACUUUCAAAAUUCUUAUUAUUUAUUUUUAAUUAUUUUAUCUAAAAGAAGAGAUUUGGCUUCGAUUCUCAAAUAAUCAAAGCCAUAUAUUCUUUUCUACUUCAGUUUCAGUUAAGAUGCACAAAGAUUUUCAAAAUUUCUGCUAUUUAUUUAAUUAUUUUAUAUGAAAGAGGAGAUUUGACUUCGAUUCUCAAAUAACCAAAGACAUUUCUUUUGCUUUGGUUUAUGAGCAAUUGAAGUUGAAAGGUAUGUAAAAAUUUCAAAAUUUUAAGGGUAUUUGACUUCGGUUCUUCUACAAACUAAGGUCAAAUACCCUGUUCUAUCUCGGUUCUUAUACGAAAUAAAGUCAUACAUAAUUUUUUCCUUCGGUUAUUAAAUAACUGAGGUCAAAAGGUGUGCACAUUUUCAAAAAAUUUCAAAAUUUUGAAGGUAUUUCUCAUACAGAAUCCCUUAUUUAUUUAUGUCAAACAUUUUUGUGUCUACUUCAUGAAAACUUUAAGUUUCAACAUUUUAUUUUGAUUGAAAUAUUAUGUAGAAAAUUGGAAGAUUGAAGAAUAUUGUAAAAUGUUUUUUAGGACUUUUUCGUUUGGUAAGAAAUUCUCUCACCUAACUCGCUCAACGAGACAUCAACUCAUUCGCCUAGCACUCAAUGGGUAAAGAAAGUCUUAUGUGAGACGAAAGCAACCUCUAGUCCAAGUUAGGCUAGUCUAACAAGAACUUUCUUUUUAAUAAAUAUUUGAAAGUCAAUCUUUACACAAAAAGAAAGUUUUUGGAGAGGGAACUUAAUCCGAGAUCAAAUGACAUGUAGAGAUGGAAAUGGGAGCUUAAAAUCACUUCGUCUUCAUUCUUACCACUUUCUUUUUUGUAUUUUUUUGUACUCCUCUUAUGUAGGAGUGACUAACUUGUUACAUUGACGAUUUUUCAACAAAUGUUUAAAAAUGUCAAAAUCUAUAAUGUAUAUGAAAUAUAUUAAAAAAUAUUAAAAUUUUAAAAAAAAAUUGAAAUCAUAUAUAAAUUUAUAUAAAUAUAAAAACAAAUUAUGGAGAGGGGUCAAGGUCCCUCUGUCACAUCUAAGGUCUGUCUCUAAAUUUUCAUUUAUUAGGGUUGGAUAUAAUAUAUUUAACUAUAAUACUUGGACUUUUAAUGAUAAUUCUAUAGCACAAAACCUUCUUGAAUUAUCAAACAAUCUAGAACCCUUAAUCGAGAUUGUAGUGAAUAACAUCAGUUGAAUUUAAUCACACUAUCGUCUUAAGUAAUUUUACCUUAUAUUUUUUGAAAAUAAAAGAAAAGAGUGAAAGAAGAAUGUUAAUCUGUGUAAGUUGCUAUUCGUCUCUCCUGAAAAUACUCUUAGAAUAUUUCACCAUAAAGAAAGAAAAUGCAGACAAAAUGACAAAGACUUUUGAGGUAAAUAUUGUGUUGACGUAGAAUUUAAAAAAGCUUUUCACACUUUUUUUAGCACCUAAAAUCACGUCAUGUUGCUCCUCGUCAAUUUUCUAACCCAUAUAAGGGGGGCAGAACUUUAAAAUUCAAGCAUACGAUGAUGAAUUAUUUUACACUUUAUUCAUUUUUUUGUGUAAAGACAAUGAAGGAAUUUAUCUCAGUUGAUCGAAACGUAUUUGAAAAUAAAAUAAAAAGUGUGGAAGAAGAAUGUUAGUCUCUGUAGGUUGUUAUUGUUUAGCUCCAAAGGCAGAAAAAAAAAAGGCAAAAAUUCAUUUUAAGAAAUUCUUUCACACUUGUUUUUAGGUCUCUCUUAAGUAAUUUUUAGCACCUAAAGUGACGUUGCUCCUGCUCAAUUAGGUUGAUACAAAUUACGUUACUAUUUUGACAUGCAAAUUCAAUUUUAUAAAUUUAGUGUUCGGGUACGAGGUCGAGUCACCUAACUCCUACACAAUUUUCUCUUGAAAUCGAUUGAUUUUCUGUGUCCGCCUCCUCCUCCUUGUCUUAGUCUUCUCACGCCGGUUGUCCUCUUCUCGCUUUGUCUUUUCCUUUGUUUGAAUCAUGUACGAGAGAGUAUCUGCUAAAGGUUCUCCGAUGCCAGAGACAAUUUCGAUAAUCUGAGAAGUGUAUAAAAUGUGCAAUUAAUUAACCCACCUACCUUUUACCUUACUUGUAUUUAUAGUAUUGGUUAUAGGCCUUGGAUUAGAGAAACCUUAAGUAAGGUCCAAUUACAAUCCAAUAACCUUUAAUCCCGUCUUACCUUAAUUACGUCUGUAAAGCAGUUCAUCAUGGCCCCACAGUCUUGUCGUUGCUUAACAAUCGUCCCUCUGGAACGUCCAGUUCACCCCCAGUAUAUUUAGCAUAUAAAAAUCAAAUGGUUAGAUAGAUAGUGUAAUAUAAAAUUUCAGGGAGAAGCUCAAGGGAGAAGAAAAAAAAAACUUGAGCCUUUUCUAUGUUUCUUCUUUUUUAGAAGGAAAAUAUUACUACAGAUAUGUUCUUCUCAUAUUUCAUUUUGAUUAUCUUAUCAACUUAUGAUAAUGAUUAUGCUGAGAUUUAUUCUUUUCAUUAUAUUGGAUAAUUUUAUUCGUAUACAAAAUAUAAAUUAAUCUGGCGUUUCUAUAUUAUGCCUACGAGAUUUUCUUUAUCACAUGUAUAAUAAAUAGUUUUAUUGUGCAAUGUGUGAAGUGUGUGUUAGAAACUGAAUUUUCUGCAAAUUGUUUUAUUUUGAAAUAAUAAAUAGAAGUUUGAUUUUUAAAAUCAAUUGGGUUUGGAUAAAAUAUAUGUAUAUAGAAGCUUGAAUUGAGUUAAUGAUGAAGAACUUCUGUUAUUAACUUAACACGAGAUUUAGUAUUAGAAAGCUAUAGAAAGCUAAAAACGUGGAAAGUAGAAAGGUAUUAAAAGAAUUAACUUAAAAAUUAAUUUGAUUAAAUAUAAUUUCAAUCAUAUAUUUUAAAUGUAUGAUCAGAAUUUAUUUCUUUCAUCUGACACUUGUUUCGUAUAUUGUGAAAUUGAAAUAUUUUAUCUCUUUACCCAACAAAUAAAAAUAAGGGGUUUUCUCCUUUCAUAUACAAAAUUGUAUGAAAUAUUUUAGUAAAAAAAAGUUUGAACAAUUAGAGUUUUAAAAGGGAAGAUUAUGUGGUAAGGAUGAGGAACAAAUCAUUUUCGUUUGAAAAAAAAUUCCACUCUUUCUGAAAUUCUAAAAAUGAUUUUGAUAAAAAAAGUUAACAAUUUGUUUAAAUAGAUUAUUAUCGUUUAUUUCUUUCAUACAUUUUCGUAAAAUAGGUUAUUACAUGAGGAAAAUUAAUAAUUGGAUCUCUAAAAUAGUUUUGUUUAUAUGAUCUCUAAAAUUGGAUCUCUAAAAUAGUUUUGUUUAUAUGAUUUAUGUGUGGUGUUCUAAUAUUGUAAUCUAAAAGUCUUUUUGAUUUCAUUUUCUGCAUUUCCUUGUCACGAUGUCAUAAUUUGAUAAACUAUAAAAUGGGUUGGACUAGUUCUAUUUAUUUUUUUCUUUUUAUGUAUUUAAACAAGCCUUUCAUACAUUUUUUUUUAUCGUCUCUCAUUUAAUUUUAGCACCUAAAUUACGUUUCUUAUUUAAAAAAAGGGUUAAAUAUGUUUUUAGUCCCUAUACUUGGGACGAUUUUGGUUUUAGUCCCUCUUUCAAACUAAGGGUACAAUUUAAUCCUUCAACUUUAGAAAACUCUGGUUUUAGUCCUUUUUACCAAAUUUUUUUAACUUUAUUUACUGUUUCAAAAGCGUUUAUAUCAGUUAACAUUGAAGCAAAAAUGUGUCAAGCAGUGUAAACAAUCUAAAUGCUAUAAUGAAACGUGCUUGAAACAGCAAAUAAAGUUAAAAAAAUUUGGUAAAAAGAACUAAAACUAGAGUUUUCUAGAGUUGAAGGACUAAAUUGUACCUUAGUUUGAAAGAGGGACUAAAACCAAAAUCGCCCCAAAGUACAGGGACUAAAGCAUAUUUAACCCUUAAAAAAAAGAUACAAAAUAAGUUACUGAUUUUGACAACUCAAUCUGAUUUUAUAUUAUAGAAAAAUUAAACUUUGAUAUAGAUUAGGUUCAUCUCUACUUCUGCCAUGUCACCAUCAUUAAUUGGAGCAACUUCUCUUUUACUUUGCAUCAUUAUUGCUAAAAAUCAAAACUGGCUUCAUUAAAUUCUCUUUAGAGUUUGAUUUUCAUUAUUUUCAAUUGAGUGUUUCACAUCCAAAUAUAUAUAUAUAUAUAUAUAUAUAUAUAUAUAUAUAUAUAUAUAUAUAUAUAUAUAUAUAUAUAUAUAUAUAUAUAUUCUCCUCUUGAAGUGAAUUUAUGAUAUAUCAUACAAACACUAGUUAUUCAACAAAUUUAUUUGCUUUAUAACUUCAUAAAAUAGUUCUAAGCUUAAUAAUUUGAUGGAUGAUUUAAUCUAAACUUUUUUUUUUUAUCAAAUGGUAGAAAGGUCUUAAACAUUUCUUCUUCAUUUACUUAAACGCUUUCAGUCAACCUUAUAUCGUUCUCAAAUUUAUCUAUCGUCAAUAAUUGAAAUUCACAAUUUACUCAUUUUUAAAGUCUUAAUUUGAAAAAUAAAUCUUUAUAUUUACAUAUUUUCAUAAGUUGAUUAUUCUUAAUUAUAUGCAUAUGUACGUACAAAAUUUCAAUAUUUUUCAUUACAUCAUAUUUACGAAAUUUGAUUUAAUGGUAUAGUAUAAAAUGUAUUAGGUUAAAUUAUGUAAUAUGUUUUUAUUUUUUUAGGGAGGUAUCAAAAUUAGUCUUUUUUUUUUUUAUCUAUACCUUUCAAUUUGUUCCUUAUUUUAUAAGAUUUGAUGUAAUCAAAUUUUUUAUAUUAGUAUGGUACUAACAACACUAAAGAGAUAUGAUGUGUCAUUUCAUAAGUUUUCCAAUUUCUUAACUCUUUUUUUUCAAUUUUUUAAUUUUUUUCAAAAUAAAAAAAAAUUAUCACAUGUCAAACUAAUGUUGUGCAACAUGACACUAAUAAUGUUGUGUGUAUAUGUAUCAUUAUUUUAGUCAUAUGUUAAUCCUUGUAUUUUUAUUUUGUCUAAAUUUAGUUUCAAUUUUUUUAAAAUCAAUCAAUUUCGUUCCUCUUUAAAUUAAAAUAAAAUUUAAUUUUUAUAUAAAUGUUAUACAAAUAUUUUUAUUAAAAUUAAUAUUUUUAUUAUAUAUUUUUAACAAAAUUAAUUUUAUUUAUAUUUAGAUUUUACUUUGAAUUUUAUUUAAACUUGUUUUCAGAUUUUAAAUUUGUUUGUUUUAAAUUAUUGUAAAAUUGUUUAAAAUUAUUUUAAAAUUUUACAUUCGUACUAAUAAAAUUGUUUUCAAAGGGCUUAUUCUCUUGAUCAAACUUGUUUAACUAGAAAUCUUAAGUUUUUUUCAAAACCAUAUGGGAAUGGUGAGUUUUUUCUCCGUAUAUUAAUUUAUUUUUAUUUUUUAAAAUUAUUGUCCCUUUCAAAAAUUAUGACCCUUUAUACUUGAGUCGGCCUAACAAUGAUAAAAAAACUUGAAAUGUGAUGGGUGCGCCUAACAAUGAUGAUAUUUGAGUGAGUGACUGUUAAGUGAAUGGUUAAGACUCUGUCAAACAAUAAGUUCGGUUUUUAAAGUCAAGACAGAAAUAAUACAUUUAAUGUGAAUUGACUAUUUAUACUCUAUAAAAUAGAUUAUAAUAUUAAUUUUAACUUAUAAAAUGGACGGGGAAAAAGAAAUCCAUGCAUUUAAACAAGCCCUCUCUAAUUAAAUUUUAGCACCUAAAUUACGUAUCUUCUUUUCUAUUAAAUUGGUAGACUUUAAAAAAAUAAAAAUAUGUUACUGUUUUUGACAACUCAAUUUGAUUUUAUACCAUAGAAAAUUUAAAUUGUUUACUAAUAUUGCUGGAUCUGGAACCUUCUUGUGUUUUCAGAUAUAUUUUGUCAGUAAAAAUUAUUCAGAGUUUAACUUAUAUUUAUCAAAUACUAAUAAUUUAAUUAGUUAUAUGAACAAGUUUCAGAUAUAAGUUAGGUUUUAUGAAUUAAUUUUUCAAAAUUUAAAAAUAGUUGAUAAAGAGGGAAAACGUGUUGAAGAUGUUGAGUAAUUGAUAUUAAUUUUGACUUCACACUCAAUUAAAAGUAAUAAUCAAGGAAAUUAUCUCAGUCAAUUCAAACAUAUUUCAAAAGAAAAAAGGUAGAAGAAGAAUGAAAAUGAAAAUGAAAAUAGUUAGAUAGAUAGCAUAAACAUAAAAAGGCAUUGCAGCACUAUAUAUAUGUUAUUUCCCGUGCAUAACCCGUAACCACUUAUUUUUAACACUUGUUAAAAUGAAUUCCUUCCUUUUGAUAAUCGUGUUUGUUCAUCUUUGUUGGGUUUCUCUAAGUCUGAGCGCAGAGACAGUGUGCAUUGGAAGUGAGAGAGAGACACUGUUAAAGUUGAAGCAUCAUAUCAUUGAUCCUUCAAAUAGACUUUCUUCUUGGAAUGCUUCUCUUAAUCCAAAUUGUUGCCACUGGUAUGGAGUUCUCUGCAACAAUGUCACAUCCUACGUUGUAGAGCUUCACCUCAACACUCCACUUCCUUCUUUCCCUUUCGAUGAGAGCCUAAUAUAUGAAACUUACGAAGAAGUUCACAGAGAAACAUUCAAUGAGUAUAGUAGAAGGGCAUUCAGUGGAGAGAUAAAUCCUUGUUUGGUUGAUUUGAAGCAUUUGAAUUACUUGGAUCUCAGCGGCAAUCUUUUUCAAACUCCAUUUCCUUCUUUCAUUGCAAAAAUGACUUCCUUAACUCACCUCAACCUUUCUGAUGCUGGAUUCAUGGGGAACAUUCCUCCUCAGAUUGGAAAUCUCUCCAAUUUGCUCUAUCUUGAUUUAAGUGUUGUUGCCAAUGGAACAAUUCCUUCCCAGAUAGGGAAUCUCUCCAACUUGCUCCACCUCGACCUCGGAGGAUCUUAUUAUUAUGAAAUUGUUGAUUGGUUGUCAAGUCUUUCCAACCUUCGUUAUCUUCACUUGAGCCACACUCAUCCACUUGUAGGAGGUAUGCCAAUUCCUUCUUUUUUUGGCUCAAUGACCACUUUAAUUCACUUGGACCUCUCUUAUUCUGGAUUUAUGGGCAACAUUCCUCCCCAGAUUGGUAAUCUUUCCAAUUUGGCUUAUCUAGAUUUAAGUUAUGCUGCUAAUGGAAUUAUUCCCUCUCAAAUUGGGAAUCUCUCCAACUUGCUUUACCUUGAUCUUCAAAGUGGUUAUUCUAUUGAGAACACUUUGUUUGUUAGAAAUGUUGAUUGGUUAUCAAGUCUUUCAAAACUUGGAUAUCUUGAUUUGAGAGGUGCAAACCUAUCCCAAUCAUUUCAAUUGCUUCAUACCCUCCAACUUCUUUCUUCUUUGAAGCACUUACAUUUGUCAGGAUGUACACUCUCUUCGUAUAAUCAACCAUCCUUUGUUAACUUUUCGUCUCUCAUCACUCUUGAUCUUUCCUAUAUUUCUUAUCAUUCUACAAUUUCUUUUAUUCCAAAGUGGGUAUUUGGACUCAAAAAACUUGUUUCUCUUUUCUUAGAUAAUAACUACUUUGAAGGUCCAAUUCCCGAUGGUAUUCGAAACCUCACACUUCUUGAAAAUCUUGAUUUGCGUGGAAAUUCAUUAUCAUCUUCUAUACCUCAUUGGCUUUUUGGUGUUCUUUCUCAUCUCAAGUUCUUGGACCUAUCAAGUAACAACUUACAAGGAGUUAUUCCUGAUGCCUUAGGGAGCUUGACUUCUCUAAUUGCACUUUAUAUGGAAGAAAAUCAACUCAAAGGUCCAAUCCCAACUUCUUUAGGAAAGGUGACCUCUCUAGUUACACUUGAUUUAUCAUACAAUCAACUUUCAGGCAAUCUAACACUAGAUUAUUAUGGCAACAACGUUGGUGGUGAACAUCCAAAAUUACAUGGAAAAAUUUCAUCACUGAGAGUUCUUAGGUUGUCCUCAAAUCAACUUGGUGGAAAUCCAUUUAAAAGUCUUGGAUCACUCUCUAAGUUGUUAUACCUUGACAUUGAUGACAAUAAUUUUCAAGGAGUUGUCAAUGAAAGUCAUCUUGAAAAUCUUAUAUGCUUGAGAUCGUUUCAUGCAUCAGGAAACAAAUUGACUUUAAAAGUAGAUCGUAAUUGGCAUCCUACUUUCCAACUUACCAAUCUUGAUAUGAGCUCUUGGCAAUUAGGUCCUAAUUUUCCAUCAUGGACUCACUCACAAAAUGAACUUCUAUAUUUGAAGAUGUCUAAUACAGGGAUUCUAGAUUAUAUUCCACCUUAUUUCUGGGAGGCUUGUUAUUCUCUUGAAUAUUUAAACUUCUCUAAUAACUAUAUUCAUGGUAAGAUUGAAAAUUCAUUGUCAAAUCCAAUAUUAUUUGAGAUUGUUGAUCUAAGCUCAAAUCACUUGCAUGGAAAGUUACCGAUUUUUUCUAGUCAGGUUGGAUGGCUAGAUCUCUCAGAUAAUUCAUUUUCUUCCAUGAAUGAUUUCUUAUGUCGCAAGAAAAUUAAGAAAUUUAAUUUGUAUUAUCUCAAUCUUGCUUUGAAUAACUUAUCGGGAAAAAUUCCUGAUUGUUGGAUAAAGUGGCCAUAUUUGUUAAAUGUAAAUCUACAGAGCAACCUUUUUGUUGGGAACAUGCCCUUAUCCAUGGGCUCUUUAGUUUGGUUACAGUCUUUGAACAUCCGUAACAACUCAUUAUCAGGAAUAUUUCCUAUUGCUUUGAAGAAGAACAACAAAUUGAUAUCCUUGGACAUUGGAGAAAAUAAUCUUUCGGGAACUAUUCCAACAUGGAUUGGAGAAAAGUUGCCAGAAAUAAAAAUUCUUCGCCUUCGAUCAAACAAUUUUUCAGGUCAUAUUCCAAAUGGCAUAUGUGAUAUGAUAUUUCUUCAGGAUUUUGACCUUGCACAAAAUAGUUUCUCUGGAAAUAUUCCAAAAUGUUUAAACAACUUUAGUGCCAUGUUCCAAAAAAACAAAAGUACAGAUUUAACUAUCAAUACCAAUGACGAGAGAGUGGACGGGAGACUGGAGGAAAUCAGCAUUAUCCUAUGGACAAAAGGAAGGCCUUUAUUGUAUAAUAGUAUUCUUGGCUUGGUGACAAAUGUUGAUCUUUCUAACAAUAACUUAUCAGGAGAGAUACCUAGAGAAAUUACAUAUCUAGAUGGUUUGAUAUAUUUGAAUUUAUCUGGGAAUCAAUUGUCUGGCCAAAUUCCACCAAGUAUUGGCAAUAUGAGAUUAUUAGAAUCUAUUGAUCUAUCAUGGAAUCAAUUAUCAGGAAAAAUCCCUCCAACCGUAUCAAACUUGAGCUUUCUGAACAACCUAGAUUUGUCUCAUAACCAUUUAGAGGGAAAAAUUCCAACGGGCACUCAAAUUCAAAGCUUUGAAGCAUCAGACUUCGUUGGAAAUAAUUUGUGUGGUCCACCCCUAUCCAUCAAUUGCACUUCCAACCAGCAAAUUCCAUAUGUUGACCGCUCGAAAAGAGAAAAUGGUGGGCAUGGAGUGAAUUGGUUCUUCGUGAGCUUCACAGUUGGAUUUAUUGUGGGAUUUUGGAUAAUCAUUGCUCCUUUGUUAAUAUAUAGAUCAUGGAGAUAUGCAUAUUUUUGCUUCCUUGAUAACAUGUGGUAUAAAGUACAAUCAUAUUGGUGAUUGUUGAUUGUAAUGUAGGACUAUUGUUUUACUUGACGUUCAUCUAUCUCUUUGUAUGAAUAUGUGGUCUACAUUUAUGUUUGUGUUAACACAUGUUUUAGUAUUUUCUUCAUCUUAAAAUACCAACAAGAUUAUGUUUUUCGUGAUUCUUAUUUACAUUACUAGUGUUUCGUGUUUCAGUGUUAUUUUGAUAAUCUAAUUGAUCUUGUCCUCUUCUCUCUCUUUCCUCGUACCAUUAAAGGUUAAAUGUAUUUUCUUCUAAUAGUUUGACUAGAAUAAAAUGCAAUACAUACACUUUGUGUCUGCUGUUGUUUUUGGGAUGCACAUAUCAACACUCACAUGAAAGUUUUAUUAAACAUUGUUGUUAGUUGUGUGGGCCUCAACUUGCUCUUGUAGGCUGUAUCAAUUCUCAAAUAGAGGUGCGCUUGGUGUUUGGCUGUCAACGAAAUUGACUCAUCGUGCUACGGCGCCAAGGGUGGAGUUCCAGUGGUUUUUAAUGGCGUUGUCUGUGCGGCCAGGGAGGAAGCGCGAGAUGGUGGCCCACUUGUUCCCGUGAAUAGUGUGCGCCUUGAUGUCCUCCGUCGAAGUGAAGGGGCGGUGCUGCACCUCUAGGCUCAGCUCGUUGCACCUCAGGGGAGGAAGGGGGUUAGGAAUGAAAAAUGUAGUAGUCUUCUAUAGGAGAAUAGGUUUAUAGAAGAAGAAAUAGGUUUUUGUUGGUAAAUUGGGGGAAAAAAAGAAGUUAAAUGUAAAAGCAAAAUUGUGUCUGGAAAAUAAUAGCAGAAGGGUUUUAUUUAUUUAUUUGUUGUCUUGGCUUGGUCAUAGUUGUAGAGGGUUGAUAAUAAUGUUAGGAGCCUAUGGAAAAAGCUAGCAAUGUAGCAGCAGUGCUAAAGGUUUCAGUGAUAUCAGUUACUUUUGUUCUUUUCUGAUGGGCUUCGAAAGUCGCGAGGCAAAGACAAAAUCGGUGGAUGCGUCAAAUGGAGAGAGAAGUGAGCCUUCUCACCAAUAUCCAGAAUCCCCUUUCUCAUCAUUGCCACAAACUCUUAGUAAUUUGAUUUGGUUCUUUUGUUUAAUAUUUUUUUUCUCCAUGAUAUUUGGUUUUGCAGAGGAAGAUGAAAGCGUGAUUUAGGGUUUACAAUUUUGUGGUUUUUUCCUACAUGAUAUUAUGGUGAUUAUUACGGAAGAGAUGUCACGUUCAUUGAUGGUGGUACGUUGAUUGUUGGUGGUUUGCGUUUUGUGUCGGGAGUUUGUGUGAUUUGACUUCUUCUAAAAGUUUUCACCGUCUUGGUUUACAAAUAGAUGUUGAUCAUGGCUAGUGAUGGCGGAUGAGAUUAAUGGAGGAUAAGAUGUUCUGUGGGUGACGAGGAACCUUGCUUCCAUAAUCUUUCUAUUUUUUUUUUUACUUUUUCUAAAUUUUAUGUCAUAAUUUAAUUAUUUCCACAUAAUAAAAUAUCCACCUCAACAUAUUCACUUAAUGGACAGGGCUUAAUUAGCUCAAUUUUUUAAAAAUUGGGUGUUGCUCCCUCCACCCUUCCAGGUGCUUCUGCAUCUCCCUGUUAUUUUCAUUUAUUUCAAAAAUAUUCUAUACCUUUCCAUUAUUUUCUUUUAUUUCAAAAAUACAUUACACUUCCCCUAUUCUCAACAAUUCUUCUUUUUCUCUCUGUAUUAAUGGAGCAUUUACAUAACUCAUUAAUGAAACAUUUACCUGGCUUAGAUUUGAAUUUGUGAUAUUUUUCCUUAAAUAAGUUUGAUUCAAUGUUAUUUUCGUUGUUCAAUAUAUUUUUUUUCUUCAAAUUACUUAAUAAAUGGUUAAAUGGUAAAAUUUUGUUCUAAAUUUCUAGAAAAAUGUUUAUAUAUAUAUAUAUAUAUAUAUAUAUAUAUAUAUAUAUAUAUAUAUAUGUGUGUGUGUGUGUGUGUGUUUUUUACAUUUAAUAUAUAUAAUUUUUAACAUUAUAUUAUGUUUUAACUUAUCGACAUGUUUGACUUAAAUAACUUGAAUAAAGUAUUUAAUUUAUUAGAUAAAUAAUAUGAGACAAUCCGAGAAUUUUAACCUAAGAUUAUAUACCCUUAUAUAAGUACAAAGAGUUUUAUAUAGUAAAUUUAAGUUUAAAUAAUUUAAACACGGUUAAAUAUCUUUGACAAAAAUAAUUCUUAGUUAAAUUUUCUUAUAUCAGACAUAUCAAUAAUAAUAAUAAUAAUAAUAAUAAUAAUAAUAAUAAUAAUAAUAAAAUAAAUCCACUUUAUAUAUAUAUAUAUAUAUAUAUAUAUAUAUAUAUAUAUAUAAUUAAAAUAAUAUAACAUUUGUAAAACCUCAGAAAAUAGUAUUUUUAGAAGUAGUAGUCUAAAAAUAGUGAGACUUGAUUAUUUUAAUAUUAACCGGUUUUAUUAUAAAUAGUUUUGUUAUAAACGAGUUCUGUUAUUUUAAAACGUAUCAUCUCACUAGAAACCACUUUUCUAGAGUUCUCUACCUUCUAUCUAAGAGUUCUAACUCCUGAGUCAUCUAUUUGACGAUGAGGAGGUACCUAAUCGACCACAACAACGAGGUCUAUGUUUCUACCCGUCAGUUUCUUGAAUAAAGCAAAUAAGUUUCUACUCGUUUUUCUGUCCUCUUUACUUCGGUCAAUGAUCAUGCACAAAAAUGUUAUGCAUGUAUCAUUUAGUUCUCUUUUCUUGCUCUUGGUGAAUUUAGAGUUCUAAGAACUCUGUCCAUUUCAAUUUUGGUGCCUUAUAGGUCCGCUUAGGAAUUUCUUGUGUUUCAAGCGACCAGCAAGACGCUUUUAUGGGUUGAGAUGUUAUUUUGAGGUAAGGGAAGCUAGACCAUAUUUAGUUGUGUUGGUAUUAUAAAUUUAGUAUUUCUAUGAGUUAUAGAUGAUUUUGAGAAAUAUGUAUGUUAAUUUGUGAUCUUGAUAGUAGAUUAGGUGUAUAAUGUGUAUGUUAAUUUGUGAUCUUGAUAGUAUGAUGUGUGUAUGAUUGGAAUGGUGUGAAACUGAUGUUCUAUGCUGUUAAGAUUGUGUGUGGUAAUUUUGGUUUGAUGUUUCAAAAUUAAACACAAGUGGUUGGGGUGAGAGUUAGUCAAAUUUUUCAGUUUUAAGGCUAAAAAGGGGGGGUUUUCAUAUGUGAGUUUGAGAAUUUGGGGCUAAUGUGAGAAAACUAUUUUUGAGGUGUUGUCAUGAGGUAAAUUAAGACUUGUUGGAGGUAUAAGAUGAUUGAAAUCUGAUCUGUAAUGAAAAGGUAGUGUAUAGUUGAAGUUUAGAAUGUUUUUAGUGUAAAAAUGGGGUGGGACUUGGAUAGAGGUUCAAACCAGUGAAAAUCUGUCAUGAAGGUGAAAGUUGCAUCUUAGGUUGGUUUUCAGUCCGUUUUGAGGGUUGAGUUGUUGAGUUGGUUUGGUACAUCUAAUUCAUAUUCAAAUGACCAAUGCAAUACUCUAACUAGUGUAGAAAGGGGAAACGACAAUGGUUAUUUUCGCCUAUAGGCAGCGGUUCCUGAACCGAGGCAUAUAAAAGCGAGGCAAAAAGUCUACCUUUUACGCCUCGGUUCUGAACCGAGGCAUAAAAGGGUAGCAUUUUGCCUCGGUUCAAAGGUAACCGAAGCCGUAAAAUUUUUGUUUCUUUUUUAUUUUUCUUCGACCGAUUUUAGACCUUGGUUCCUUCUGAACCGAGGCAGUAUCACAGACUCUACUACCUCGGUUGGGACCUGAACUGAGGCAGUAUAGUAUUUUUUAUUUUUAUUUUAUUUUUCUCGUAUAUUUUCAAACCACUUUUGUAAUCCACAUAUGUCAUUCCAAAUCGAACAGUAUAACCCAUGGACCAUUCAAAAUUGUCAAAUAAAGACCAAGCAUAAUAUCCCUUUACAUUUGCACCUUCCCUGUUGUCGCAACCGGAAUCGCGACGGGACGACGAUCCAAAAAGAAAAACGAGAUUAUGAAAAAGAUUUUUGGAGUCGCCAUCAUAGUUUAUUCUGAAAAACUACAGAAAAACCAUAAAAUGAUAAGGCACGGUCCACGAAAACCAAAGAUUAGGUUCGGGAAUCGGUUACGUUUAGAGAAGGUAUUAGCACCCUACAACGUCUGCCCGGAGGCAGUACCUUUAAUUAAAAACACAAAAUUAAUGUGAUUUUUCAAAAUGUUUCAUUAUCCCUGAAAAUAAAAUUCUAAAUAAACAAAAAUAUUUUUUUUAUUUUUUGUGCCCGACAAGGAUUGACCUUGCUCCUACGUAUUCUCAAAAUGAGAAAUCAGGGUUACGUAGUUCUAGCAUAAAGAUUGAUUGUUGUUUGGAAAAAGGAUGUUUUGUAUUUUUCGUAUUUUUUUGUAAGGAAGAAGAAAAGGUUUUCUAGCACAAGGACGAUGCGAGCGAUCACACAUGUCCUUAAACCUUUCAAAUAUUUUUGAUUAUUUUUAUGAAAAGGAAGAAAAGGUUUUAUAGCACAAGGAUUAUGCGUGCGGUCACACAUGUGCUUAAACCCUUAAAAUAUUUUGAUUAUUUUUAUAAAAAGGAAGAAAAGGGUUUUCUAGCACAAGGACGAUGCGUGCGAUCACACNNNNNNNNNNNNNNNNNNNNNNNNNNNNNNNNNNNNNNNNNNNNNNNNNNNNNNNNNNNNNNNNNNNNNNNNNNNNNNNNNNNNNNNNNNNNNNNNNNNNNNNNNNNNNNNNNNNNNNNNNNNNNNNNNNNNNNNNNNNNNNNNNNNNNNNNNNNNNNNNNUACUUCCGACAAAAUAAUAGUUACUCAAAUAUUUAGAAUAAAACAAAAGUUUGAAAUAAACAAAAUAACGCAUAUUGGCAUAAUAAUGGUAAACAAGCUAUAUAGAUAAAACGUACGUGUGGGAAAAAAUGGGUUGAUAUUGUCGCAACCGAGAUCGCGACGGGAAGACGAUCCGAAAAGAAACGAGUUUCAAAAAAGAGUUUUGGAGUCGCCACCAUAGUUUAUUCUGGAAAACUACGGAAAAACCAUAAAAUGACAAGACACGGUCCACGAAAACCAAAGAUUGGGUUCGAGAGUCGGUUACGUGUAGGGAAGGUAUUAGCACCCUACAACGCCUGCCCGAAGGCAGUACCUUUAAUUAAACGUGCGAAUGUGAUGUGGUUUUCAAAAUGUUUAACUAUCCCCAAGAACAAAAAUUUAAAGAAACAAAAAAUAUUUUUUUAGUUUUUUGUGCCCGACAAGGAUUGACCUUGCUCCUACGUAUUCUCAAAAAUGAGAAAUCAGGGUUACGUAGUUCUAGGAACUGUUUGAAAAUUUUGUCUGAGAAAUUGUUAAGAAAAUUUUUUUGGAAAAUAUUUGAAUUUUUGCGAAGUGAACCUGACAAGGACUGACCUUGCUCCUACGUAUCUCCACUUUUGAUGGAGAAUCAAGGAUCACGUAGUUCUGGGAGAAAGAUUGUUUGUUGUUUGAAAGAGGACGUUUUGUUUUUGGUAUUUUCAUGUGAGAAAGAGUAAAGGUUUUUUAGCACAAGGACGAUGCGAGCGAUCACACAUGUGCUUAAACCUCUAAGACAUUUUUUUUGAUAUAUUUUUUAUAAAAGAAGAAAAGCACACGUGCUUAAACCUUUAAAACAUUUUUUGAUAUUUUUUAUAAAAGAAGAAAAGGUUUUAGCACGAGGACGAUGCGAGCGAUCACACACGUGCUUAAACCUUUAAAGCAUUUUUUGGUAUUUUUUAUAAAAGAAGAAAAGGUCUUAGCACGAGGACGAUGCGAGUGAUCACACANUUUAUAAAAGAAGAAAAGGUCUUAGCACGAGGACGAUGCGAGUGAUCACACACGUGCUUAAACCUUUAAAGCAUUUUUUGAUAUUUUUUAUAAAAAAAGAAAAGGUCUUAGCACGAGGACGAUGCGUGCUAUCACACACGUGCCUAAACUUUUAAAAUAUAGUUUUUGUUUUUGUGGUUUUUAAUAUUUAUAUAUAAGUAGAUAAAAUAAAAUAAAUAGGUAAAUAACAAAAUGAAAAUAAAAAGUAGAAAUAAAAUAAACUAAAAAGUUAAGUGACAAAAAAAAACAAGAUAAUAAGUGAAAAAUGUGUGGUGGCACCUAGACAAGAAGAGGGGUGUUCAAACCAAUUUAUAAGCAGUCUGGGCUUCAGCCCAAGUGGAAAUGGGGUGAAAAUGUGAACAAAGUGGGUGCAUCAAAGUUUUUUUUUGAAUGAAUGAGCUUGAGCCCAAACAGAUGGGGUGCGAGAGUGAGAAAUAAGGGGUGCGCGUAGGAGGAAAAGUUUUGUUUUUGUCUCUUUUUUUUUGUAAAAGGAAAGGGCUGGUCACAACUUAGGCCCAAGGCUUCUGCACUCUCCAACCCAGAAACUUAGGGCGUUACUCCCUGCACCUCUACAAAUGCUCCUUCUACCUUCCCAUCUCUUUUUUACCCUUUAAUAUAUUUAAACGAAUGUAAAUUAAACGAAUCUGAAUAUACAUUCCGCAGCCCUUGACGGACGUUAAAAUCCAUUUAAGAAAAUCGUUUUUGUUUAAAAAAAUUCUUGUUCAGAAGAAGUGAUCCUUUCCUGCUAUGUUUUCUUGCUUUUUAUUUUUCCAACCUAAUCUAAAGCAUUCAUGAGUGGAUUUGACUAAUCAGCACAGACAUUUGUUACCAUCCACUUUAUAUAUGUCCACCCAGGGGAAUUCAAAAAUCCAUUCAUUUUUCUUUUUAAUUUUUCAAAUAUCUUUAAAUGACACUUAAUACCAACUAAUUAAUUCCACCAAAAAACUGAAUUACAGGACCCCUAAAUGCUUCUUCUUCAUGUCUCGUUCUUCCUUCCAAAACCAGAUAAUAUAUAUAUAGAGAGAGAGAGAGAGCAUCAUCACCACCUAUAGGGUGACUUAUAUAAGCUCAUAUAAUUACGUCUACUUCUGCAAUUUACUACAACUACCUGGUUUAACUUUUGUGAUGAAAGGUAGCACUUUUCGGAGACCCACAGAGGCUUGUGAGCGUUGUGUGGGUGAAAGCCUUGCAAGCAUACGAAGAAGGUGACCACCGCUUCCGAGUCAGACUCAGAGGUUUUAUGAGCUUUCAGGUGGUGGAUGGAAUGAGCUGAGUGGUCUUUCUCUUCACUCACCAGUUUGAACAUAAGUGGAUGCAGAAACGAAGUACCACCAACAAAUGAUCACCGCACAUACCGCCGCACCACCGUUGAAUGACCACCGCGCACACUCCUAUACCACCGCACCAUGGAUAAUGACAACACGCCACUAACCAAAACCAAAAUAGAGAAGAGGAAACAAAUAUGGAGGAGAGAAAGUGAGAGUUGGAGUGAGAAACAUAUAUGAAAAAGUGAGAGGGGGUGCAGCUACAUGAGAUUUAGGAUUUUAAAAAAUAAAAAAAAAAUAUGAUUAAAGUAAAAAUGGGUACUUUUGUAAUUAAAAAAAUUUGGAAAAAUUUGAGGAAGUUGAGGGAGCAUUGGUGGAGGUGGUGGGAGCAACACCCAGAAACUUAUCAGGGUUCUCCCCAAUCUCCCUCAUUCUUCCAUUUCAUCCAACACCCAGGAGAUUCAAACCUCUGAACGAAGAAAUCCUGGAGGCAUUCACCUCCGUCGCUCAUGCACUCGUCGCUGCCUCCGUUCAAACGAUCGGCCACCAUGAUGGGCCCCUGCUCCGUCCAAGGCGUCACCGGCGACCAAACGCCACUAGAGCUGCCACCAGCCGGGACGUGAAAUCCCUCCUCUCUUUCCCUCGCGCGAGAAAGGGAAGCACCGCGCUCCUUCCGUUCGACCGGCCACCGCGAGUCGCCGUCCAAGCCGCCACCAACUCCACCGUUCAACGUCGACGCCGUCUUCGCCGAAGAUGCUUCCUCACUGGCGCCGGGAGUAAGCUAGAGAAUCCCACCGUGAAGACGCGCGCCACUAAUCUUCUCCCCUCUUAUUUUUCUAUCGUUAGCGCGCAGGGUAACCCUUUCCCUACCGUGGUCGCAGCUGCCAAAGAGACGGAAACCACCGCCACUGAAUCCGCUGUCUAUUGAUCCCGGAGGUUUGUCGAGACAACGCUUAGGAGUUUAGGAUUUCUAUUCUGGUGGUGUGAUUUGUUUGUGAUUUUCGUUCUGUGCAUCACUGUUCAAGGGGUUUAACUCCUUUGUUGGAGGCUUGAGAUGAACAGAGGUAAUAUUUGGUUUGUGAUUGCUGUGACUGAUUGGGGGGGUGAACAAGGGGUUGAUGACCGAGAAAUGGUUCAUUUUUCUGCUUCAGGUGUUGGCCAUGCUUUUCUGCGUGUGGGGUAAUCAAGACAAAGAUGGAUGAGGCAAGCCAUUCUGGAGAACAGUUUUCAAUAAAAAGGCACGGGAUUUCCGAUUUGGUCUGCGUGUUUGUUUGAUAUAGGUGAAAGGCGAACUCAAGGUUCAGGGUAGUGAUACAAGUAGAGGGGCAUUGAAACCUUGAUGUUGUGGAGAGUAUACCUAGUCUCUAUUGUUGUCUCAUGGAAAUUACAAGCAAUGAAACUACAUUUCGGUUACGUGUAGGGAAGGUGUUAGCACCCUACAACGCCUGUCCCAAGGCAAUAUUUUUAAUUAAAUGCGUGAAUAAAGAUGUGGUUUGCAAAAUACUUAACUAUCCCUAAAAAUAAAAUUUUAAAGAAACAAAAUAUAUUUUUUAUUUUUUGUGCCCGACAAGGACUGGCCUUACUCCUACGUAUUCUCAAAAUGAGAAAUCAGGGUUACGUAGUUCUAGUAUAAAGAUUGAUUGUUGUUUGGAAAAGGAUGUUUUGUAUUUUUGGUAUUUUUCUGUAAGGAAGAAGAGAAGGUUUUCUAGCACAAGGACGAUGCGAGCGAUCACAGAUGUGCUUAAACCUUUCAAAUAUUUUUGAUUAUUUUUAUGAAAAGGAAGAAAAGGUUUUAUAGCACAAGGACGAUGCGUGCGAUCACACAUGUGCUUAAACCCUUAAAAUAUUUUGAUUAUUUUUAUAAAAAGGAAGAAAAGGGUUUUCUAGCACNNNNNNNNNNNNNNNNNNNNNNNNNNNNNNNNNNNNNNNNNNNNNNNNNNNNNNNNNNNNNNNNNNNNNNNNNNNNNNNNNNNNNNNNNNNNNNNNNNNNNNNNNNNNNNNNNNNNNNNNNNNNNNNNNNNNNNNNNNNNNNNNNNNNNNNNNNNNNNNNNNNNNNNNNNNNNNNNNNNNNNNNNNNNNNNNNNNNNNNNNNNNNNNNNNAUUAAAUAAAAGAAGAAUUUUAAACACUACGAAAUCUACUUCCGACAAAAUAAUAGUUACUCAAAUAUUUAGAAUAAAACAAAAGUUUGAAAUAAUAUUGACAUAAUAAUGGUAAACAAGCUAUAUAGAUAAAACGUACGUGUGGGAAAAAAAUGAGUUGAUAUAUUAUGAUUGCAUAAAAAAAAGGAAUGAAUAUAAAGAAACCAAACAUGCAUAGAUUACAAUUGGUGAAGAAAAGUUUGAGACCAAAACCAGGAGAGAAAAAAAAGAAAAAAUGAUGAUAAAAUGUAAUAAAAACAAAGAUAAAAAUAAAAAAUAGAAAUGAAAUAAAUAAGCAAAUAAAAGAAAGAAGUAAGAGAAUCAAGCAGAAAAGGAAAAACCGACGCAACAAAAUAGAAAGAAAGGGGAAAAAGGGGUUGGGUUCAAAGUUUCUUACCAACCAGAAAGCUCUCUUUCUAUUUUUUCCUGUUCCUUUAUGUUCUCUUCCCGAAAUUGGAUUUUUUUCUCCCCCUUCCAUUACUCUUCGAUGUGCAUUUUUAUAUACACACAUUGUAAUAUUCAUUAAUUGACAUUUAACAAAAUAGGGAAAGAAAUGGUCUAAUAAAUCAAAUUAUAAUCGGAAAAUUGUCCAUUAAAGGGAAAUCAUAUUUUUCUUGGAACUGAAUGCAGCAAUCAAUAUAUUAUUUUUUAAUUAUUGCUUGUAAUUAUUGUCAUAAUGCUGAUUCAAAUUAUUACCAAAUAAAACAAAAAUUUCAAAAAUAUUCUAAAGUGAUCUGUCAUGCAUUAAUAUUAAUAGCUUAUGGGCAUUUUUCCAAGAAAAUCAAAUCUUUUUCUUUUCAUUUUUUCAUGUGCACCCCCCUUUCUUCUUUUUUCCUUCCUUCUUUUUUCUUUUUGUUUUUUUCUUUUUUUCAUUUUUUCAAUUUUUUUUCUUUUCUCUUAUUUUCCCUUGCAAUUAUUUUUCUUUUCUUUUUUUCCUUUUUUUUUCUUUUUUUUAAAAGACUAAACAAAAUGGUAAAAUAAAAUAAAAAUAAGAGAAAAGUAAAAAAGACAAGUUCUAUUAUUUAGCCAUCCAGACGAAAUUGAGUGUUGACACUUGUAACAACAUACGAAGCAAACAAAUUAAAAAGAAAUUAACUUGGAUAACCAAAAAUACCUUACAAUGUAAAAUACUACUUACUUAAUUGCAGAACGAAGAUAGAAAAGAUGACGAUAAUAGUAAAGUGCAUAAUUAUAAUAUGAAAAAGUUAACUAGUUUCAUACUUCAUUAAAGGGAUUAAACUAAAGUAAAUUUCCAACAUAGUUAGAGUAUAUGUACACAUACCUUUAUACCUAUGGGCUUCCCAUUACGCUCAACUGCAAUUAUAUAUUAACACAUAAGACAAGUUGUUACGUAUCUGAGUAGGAGGCGUAACUGACCACGAAUGAUAAUGUUAAUUCUUACCAUUAUCUAAGCAUCAUUUUAGUAGCAAAAUCAACUCUUUUAUAGCUUGAAACUUGCUUAAAUCCUCUCUUUUAUCUAGUUUUAGUAUUUAUCUAUAUUUUGAGCUACAUUACGUAAAUGAUACUCUAAUCCCUUGUUUUUUUAUCUAUUUCGAUGUUAGGAAGAUCUUCCAUUACAUUGAAGAGCCUCGAUGAUCCAGGAAGCCAUUGAUUUAAAAGUCAUUUUCGCUUAAGCAAGAAUAUUUUAGCUUAAGCGAGAAUGACUAUCUUCUCCAAGAAGUUUAUUUUCGCUUAAGCGAGAAUUCGGACAGUAUAUAUACUCACGAGGUAGAAAGAAAAAGGGGUCUUUGGUUCUUUGGAGGUGCGAUUUCACUGCUGGAGCUCAUGGAGGGCAUGAGGAGCAUAUAGGAACAUCUCCUCCUCUUCCUUUGGGUCUCCUUCUUCUUCCAUCUUCCACUUUGUAAGCUUUAGGGUUCUCCAUGGAAGUGGAGAACCAGAUUCAUCUUGUUAGGGUUAGAUGUAGCCAAUGAAUUCUUGUGUAAUUGUUGAAUGAUUUGAAUAUAUAUAUAUAUAUAUAUAUAUAUAUAUAUAUAUAUAUAUAUAUAUGUUUUUUCUAUCAAUUGCUAGUAUUAUUGUUUCCAAUCUUAAAGCUUGCAUGUAAUGGGGACGUUCAUGACUUGAUUUUGGGGUUUCAUGGAUUAUGGGGACGUAAGAUGGAAUCUUGAACUGAAGCAAGGGUCCUUGUGGUCAUUGAUUAUAGGGAUGGAAGAUGAUUCACAUGUUGUCUUAGAUUCUAGUUUUUAAUGUUGGUUUUGCUUGUUAGAUUUUCCAAGGGAUUGGAGUUUGAUAGGAAAACCUAGGCUCUCUCAUAAGAUAAACCCAAGUACAUCUUGAAUAUUCAUCAAUGAAGGUAAAAAAAUACCUAAAACCAAAAGAGGAGAUACAACUAGGUCCCCAUAUAUCAGAAUGGAUAAUGGAAAAACUAGAAUUACAUAUUGAUUGAGACUUUUUAGGAAAGGAAGAUCUAACAUGUUUUCCUAGUUGACAUGACUCACAUUCUAAAGUCUGGAGACCACUAAGUUCAGGACACGUCUUCUUUAAUUUGGACAAAUGAGGAUGACCAAGUCGAUCAUGUAGCACCUUAGGAUUAGGAGCAGCAACACAAGACACCCUUGGACGAGAUCCAAAAUGGUAUAAUCCACCAGCUUCAUAUCCUUCUCCAAUAUGUCUCCCCGACCCACGCUCCUGUAUAACAAAAGAUUUGUGAUCAAAGGUUAUUGAACAAUUUAACAUUUUAGUCAACUGGCUUAGGGAAAUUAAAUUAAAAGGACAAUUAGGGACAAAAAGGACAGAGUUGAGAUUUAGGGAGGGAGACAAGGAAACAUGACCAACUCCCUUGGAGGAAGUUUUAGAACCAUUUGCAAGGGUUAUGAAAUGAGGUUUUUCUCGAAAGGAAAUAGAUGAGAACAAAGAAGUAUUACCAGAAAUGUGAUCAGAAGCACCUGAGUCAAUUACCCAUGAAUUUUGACCUUCCAUGGAUUGAGAAACGUAGGCUGUUGAUGUACUUGGAGAUUGAGAUGGUUGUGACAAGUUGUUAGACUUUAACCUUAGAUGCUCUUGAUAUUCAUCCUCAGUGAACUUAGUAGUGGAAAUUUCACUCUUCGAAUUCAAAGUGGAAGUUUCAGUCUUUGAAAUAUUGGCAGUUUUGGAAGGGAAACCAUGUAAGGAAUAGCAAUUCUCUUGAGUGUGACCCAUCUUUUUGCAAUAUGUGCAUUGACGUCCCCGACCUCCUCAUCCUCCUCCUCUAGUGCCACGUCCUCCUCUUCCUCGUGUGACAACCAUGACAGAUGGCUCCACUGCUUCCUGAGUUUGAGAUACCGGGACACGCAAAAGGCGAGUGGUCAAUGUUUCCAUGGAUGGGACCUCAUGACUGGUUAGAAGUUGAUCUCUAAGAUGAUCAUAAUCGGGAUGCAGGGCAUGAAGAAUCAACACCAUGUAAAAUUUGUCUAGUGUCUUCUUGAUAUCCUCUAAUGGAUCCGCUUCCAAAAACAUCCUGAGUUCUUCGACAGCAGAUUAGGCUUUAGCCAUGAAAGACACCAUAUCAUGGUUUGUCAUUUUAAGAGUUGCAAGCUUGUUUGUGGUGUCAUAGAGACGUUGAAUAUCUUUGGCAUAUAUGCUUUGAGCUUUCUUCCAAAAGGAGUGACAAGUUUUGAAAGCCCUCAGAGAUAUAAGAAGUUUGGGUUCCAUUGAUUGCCAUAAUAGGGCACACAACUGGAAAUCUGCUUGUUUCCACUGAUCAGCUUUUUCGGUAGGCACAUGGCUUCCAUCUCGCUCAAGGUGAUCAUAAUGCCCUUGGCCAAGGAACCACAUUUCAACGGCAGAAGACCAUAAUAGAUAAUUUUUUCAAUUUAGCUUCUCAGAGGUGUUUGAUGGACUUCCGGAGAAAGAAAGAGUAUUGUUAGUCGUCAUCUUUGAAGAAGAUGAAGUGCACCAACGAAGAACAAGAAAACCCUAAGGGUUUAGAUGAAUGAAACUGUGAUGGUCGGCGACGGUGAAUGCCAACGACUUUGGACAGCCGACAACAGUGGCCGACGAUGGUGGCCGGUGACGGCGGACGGCCGGCGACGGCGGACGGCCGGCGACGGCGGAAGGCCGGAGACGGUGGCCGGCGACGGCGGACGACGGCGGCGGUGGCCGGAGACGAUGGCUGGAGGCGGCGGACAGUCGGCAACGGUGGCCGGAGACAGUGCCGACGACGGUGGCUGGUAGGUGGCAGCCAGCAGCGGACAGUGGCAGACAGUGGCGAGACAGAAACCAGAGCAGGAUCGACCCGCUCUGAUACCAAGUUGAAUAUAGUGAAAACUCCCUUAUGUUAAAUACACACAUAGGGUUCUCUAUUUAUAAUAGAAGAAGUAUAGGCUAAGCCCAAAAUACAAAGAAAUAUAAACAAACUAAAUAAAAAAUAACAACAAACUAACUAAUAAAGAUAAAAGAUAAAGAUAAUAUAUUUAACAAUUUUAAAAUUUUCAUGAACCUUUUAACCUUUAUUCUGCGUAAAACUUGAAGUAUAAAGCCUUUAUGGCAUUGGUUCUACAAACACAUGAAGCCAUAAGGCUGAUCAGAAAAAAAAAAUAAAAAAAUUGAAAUUUUGAAACUUUCAAAAUCUUUUAGCUUCGAUUCUUUGUAAAAGUGAAGCAAAAAGACUCUAUGACAUUGGUUUUGAAAAAACUGAAGUCAUAGGUCUUGUUCAGACAAGUAAUAAUUUAAAAUUGUCAAUUUUGAAAGAUGAUAUAGCCUAGUUCUAGAAAAAUUCGAUUUCAUAAGUUCUAUUUAAAACAAAAAUAUAAAAAAAAAUAUCAAUUUGAAAGAAGAUAUGACUUUGUUGGUAAAAAACCCAAGCAAAAUACUUUAGUUGGCCAAAUAACCAAAAUCAUAUAUCUUUUUUAAUUCAAUAAAUAAAUAAAAUAUAACACGAUUUUUUGAAUUCAGUUCUUUGUUAACUGAAACCAAAAGACAUACAUAGCUACAAUUUAUUGAAAACCAAUGCUUAUAAAUUCGUAAAAUUUACAAAAAUGUUAUUGUAUGCUAUGGUUUCGACAAAACCAAAAUGUAUUACGCGUGUUAGAAGGCUAAUUUUCUACUAGAGAAGAAUGUUAAUCUCUAUAGGUUGUUAGAAAUGAAAAAAAAGGCAAAAGUUCAUUUUUGUGUGGACAUAUAGAAAAAGAACUUUGAGUCUUUUCUAUGUUACUACAAGUAUGUUCUUCUCAUAUUUGAUUUGGAUUAUUUUAUCAAUUUAUGAUAAUGAUUAUGUUGAGAUUUACUCUUUUCAUUAUAAUGUAUAAUUUUAUUCGUAUACAAAAUAUAAAUUAAUCUGACGUAUCUAUAUUGUACCUACGAGAUUUUCUUUAUCACACGUAUAAUUUGAUGCUUUUAAACCUUUUCAAGAAGAUAAACCGGUAUACAUAACAUCAAUCUAAUGCAACGCUCUACAUAAUAUAUUUCUAGCAUAAACCUUUACACUAUAAACUCACAAGUUCUAUUUCAUUAUAAAUAAGUUUUAAAUCUCCCUAUAAAAAUACUAAUCCCUCAAUUAUUUUAGCACAAAAUUUACAUUAAAAAAAAUAUGUUUAAGAUAAACGAGAGAUUAUAAUUUACUUCUAGAAAUAAAAACCUUUAAGUUCAUUUAUUCUUGUCUAAGUUUCAAGCAUUUCCUAAUGUUUAAAUACCAUAAAAUAGGAUAAAUAAUCAAUCAUAGACAUGAAACAUAAAAAAGAAAAAAGACAAAAACACAAUAGUCAUGAAAGAAAAUUAUAUUACAUAAGAAAUAAUUAUAUUAAAUUUAAAUACAAUGUAUCCUACCCUAAUGAAUAGGAGAAUUAUAUACUCUUUGUCCUCACUCGCACACUUUCCGGGAAAACUUCCCGGAAGGUCACCCAUUCCAAAAUUUCUCCAGGCUAAGCACACUUAACCAUGGAGUUUUUAUGGAUUAGGCUUUCGAAAAGCAAAUGCAUUUUGGUGAUAUGGGUAGCCAAAUCAAUUCCUUUAAGAUAUCCUUCAACUGUUCAACUGUAUAGUCUCAUACCUAUACAGUAUCCAGAUCCCUCUCAUUCCGGUGUAUGUUCGAUUUGUCCAUGUGCCCCAUAGGCCCAAACGGAGGAACAUUACAAGGCGGACUAUGGUUGUAGUGUUGUGGCUCAUGAUACUCAUGCAACUACCACGAAAACUCUUGUGUAAACUAAAAGGUGAACAUCACAAAAUCUGAAAUCGACAUAAGUUAUGAAAGUGUCAAGAAUCAAAACGUUUCAAAUUUUAGUGCUAGUGAAAAUUUUCAAGUGCAUAUUAGAACAGUUUUAAUUAAAAGCUUCAAUUUUGAUUGUUUUAUUUUAUUUUAACUCUGCUAAUGAAAUAUAUUUAUUUGAUUUAAUAUCUUAAAAGUUAUAUUAAUAUAUGAUAUGAAAUACAGUCACCUAAAUAUAUAAAGAGUAUAAAGAGUUUUAUUGUAAAAUUUAUUUAAAUGGUUGUGUUUAUCUUUAGAUGUUAGUUAUUUAUUUUUAUUUGUAUGCAUUGCUCUAUUUAUUUAUAUUUAUUUUUAGUUAUGCAGUUUUUGUUUACUCAUUUCAUAUAUUUUCCCUUAUGUAUUCAUUUGUGUAAUUUAUUUAUACUUAUUAGUUUUAAUAUUUUUUUUGUUCUUAAUUUUUAAUAAAUAAAUAUUUCAUUAUUUUUAAUUAAAAAUGAAAAAGAUUUAAUUGAGUAAAUAUUAUUUAAGAUGAGAUAUUAUUGAGUUAUUUUGUUAACUAUGUCAAAACUUAUUUAUCUUAACUAGUCAUUAUAAAACUAAUAUAUUUUUUUAUAAAGUAUACUAAAAUAGGGUUUAUGUAUUUAAUUUUUUUUAUCUUAUUUUGAUAAAUUGUGAUUUUAUAUGAUAUUUUUCCCUUCUCUAUUUUAUGAUUUAGGUAUGAAAAACAAAAUAGACGUUAUAUAAUGUAAAUUGUUAAUAAAUUUUAUCUUUUAAGUAUGUUAUGAAGAAUUUUAUUUUUAAGUUUAAGAUAUGAAAUGAUAUCUUUUGGGGAAGAAAAAAAAGAGUUUCUGACAUAGGUUUUAAUUAGUGGUGUCAAAAUAGAUCAAAACUCACAUGUCAAUUCGACCCGUCACGGGUUCCGAUUGAGUUGAUUUGAAAAAAAAAAGAAUUUUUUUUUAUAUAGACAAAUUUUCAAUUUGGUUUACACAGAACCCAACUCACAAUGUCUAGUUCAUCCGGAUUGAACCGUAGUAAGUCGGGUUGCCUUGUUUAAUUUAAUUAUUUUUAUUUUGUAUUUCAAUAUUAUUAGUUAACAUUUUUUUGAAUAUAUUAAAAAUGGAAAUAAAGAAAAGGAUGUUUCAAAAGAGUAAAAUAUUAUAAAUUUAUCUAUUCAAGACUCUGAUCUUGUGAAGGGAUAAGUGACACAAAAAUUAUCAAUAUUAUAAACUUAUUUAUUCGUUUUUUGGGUUUGUUUUUGGAUUAAAUUUGAGUUGUAUAUUAAUUUUUUAUUUUGAAUUGUUUUUGGAGUUUAACAUCAUUUUAUAGUGAAAUUUUUUAAAUUUAAAUUACAAAAGAAUUGUAAUUCUUUUGAAUUUAAAAAAAAAAAUUGUAAUUAAGUGAAUCAGUGAACCAACCCAUUUAACCUACAAAUCCGUUGUGAGUCGAGCCAGAUUCAAAUUUUUUUGAAUUACUAAUAAAUAAAACGAAUUGAGUUGACUCACUAAAUAACAAACUCAUGGUGAACCGGACGAAAUUAGGUCGGAUGGUCCAUUUUGACAGUCGAAGUUUUAAUAAUGAGUUUUAAUAAUGAUUUGAAAAAUUAGUUCUUCAAUUCCAAGGCCAAAGAUAUAGAGGAUUCAAAUCGUUAAUGUUGUGUUCGCUUGAACAGUAAUAUCUGUUCAAGCGAAUUUGCGAGCGAUGAAUCCAAUGUAUAGUCAUGUUCGCUUUCGUGGAUUUGCGCCGAUUGAAUUGCGAAGAUUUGCGGGAUGACACCUUUUUGUAUCACUCGCUCUUAUGAGAAGAUUUGCGAUGAAUUGAAGGGAAUUGGCUUUUCUACCAUUAAUACAUUUCACAUUACUGAAUAAGCAUUCCAGUCAUGUUAAUAAAUAAUAAUUAUGGGUUCGAUGUACAAUUAGAUUAGUGAUUCGGUUUAGAGAAUCUGGCAUGAGGCCAGAGGUCCAUAGUUACCUUGUUGCAAUGACUGCCGUGGUUAAAGAACUGAAUGAAUUUGCCAAAGCUUUGCGCAAGUUGAAAAGCUUCACAAGGGUCGGCUUGGUAUCGUGGCCUCUAACGGCUCUUGCGGUGGGCGUAACCACCGGCGACACCAUCGACGGCGGCCUGUAGUGGCCGGCCGGGUGCGUGAGUGGCAGAGGCGAUGAUGUGUGUGAUUUUCCUAAGGCUCUUCAGACUAUAGAAGAGACCCUGGGUCUCGUAGCUUUUUGGGCGAAAUGGAGGGGAUGUAACUUAACCUUAGGGUUUUCUGAAUUGGAAGCAAAAAAAGGGUUUGGGCCUUGGUCAGGAGCAUUUUUGUUUUUUUAUUUGUUUUUUUUAUUCUUUCUUUUAUUUUUUUUUUUCUCUUUUUGAUUACAUCCUUGCAGUCAUUGUUUCAUUUUCACACUCCCUGUUUAAAAAUAAAUUCAUUUUAUCACAUUAUAAGUUUUAUAAUAUUUAAAAAUUAAUUUUAAUAAUUAUUAAUAAUUUUGAUCUUUUUAUAAACAUUUUUACAUUUAAAUAUAACAUUAAAAAAUAAUAUUUUAUAUUAAUAUAUGGCUAGGGACAUUUUGGUAAUCUUUAAUUUCUACCAAUUAAACUAAUUUUUUCAAUUUGUCACAUCAAUCAAAUCCUACACUAAUUCUCACAAACUUUACCCUCAAAUCCACUCUCAAUUACCCACAAAUCCACUAAAAAAAAACAACAACAAAAAAUUAACUUCAAAUCCACUCAAAUCAUCUCUCACAAAUCUUACGAAAAGAACACAGCCUAAAAGAUGUUGAUGUAGGUGAAUGAGUUGAUGGCAGAAAUAUUGCAGGGAUUGAAUCAUUAAAUUUGUUUAUCCACAGAGUAGUUGAUAUAUACAGACCAAUGUGUCAGUUGCACACAUAAUAAAUGAACAUGACUAAAUCAACAUCAUAUAUACUAAAGAGACUCACACUUUCAUGCAUGAUAUUUAAUGGUCAAAUAUACACAAUGAUAAUAAUAAUAAUAAUAAUGAACACUUUUUGUUUUGGACAAUGUUUUAUGUUUGAAGGUUUAGAAACAGCCUAGGAGUUUCUUUGGAGCUGUUCCAGUUGCUCUAUACUUUGCAGCUGUCUCCUUCAGAAGUUCUUCUCCUUUCUUUGCCUCAAUUAUUGCUCUUUUCUCUUCAGCUUCCUUGUGAAUUUCAGCUAUUUUGUUCUUUAUCUUUUCUGCAUAUUCUGCUUUUUUCUUCUCCAAUUCUUCCUGCUCAUGCAAAAAUCAAAAAUCAACUUUAAUUUGUUCUUCUCUUUGGCCACAUUCAAUGCAGAAAGUAUUGAAUGUGAAAAUGUGAAAUAGAAGAAAACGAACACAUAAAACUUGUUAGAAUUGGCAACGAAAUCGAUUCUCACUUCUUUUUUCUUUAGAUCUGCCUCGACUGAAGCUUUCUUGCUGUUUUCCCAUGCCGAAAUGGCUGAAAGAUUUUUAUGUGCCCUGCUCAAUAAUUUCACUUAGAUUAGUAUAUCCUAGACUUUGUUAACCUCAAAGAAAUAUAUCUGUCAUUUAUGUUCUAAUUGAUUAUUUCUUACCAUGAGUUAAAUCAAAACAUCAUUAAAUAUGAAGCAAAAGGGAUGGAGAUUAUUACUUGUUUUCAGCUUUUGAUUUUUCACUUUCUUCCCAUGCCUUGAUUAGUGAUAACCUCUUCUCAGUUGCAACUAUUGCAAGCAAGAAAACUAUUGUGGUGGUGCUUUCUCUUUUGCCUCAAAGAUUGAAGGUUGGAUUUCUGCGUGAAGUGUUCAAAAUGCUUGUAAUUGAGUUAUAAUGGUUUGAUAAAUUUAUGCCAAAUUAAGAUGUACAAGACUUGGAUUUAAAGAAGCAGUCAAAUUGUUUCUUGUAUAGUGGUGACUUGGAUUUAAAAGUCUCACUCGUAUAUCCCUCCCCUAGCUUUUCUUCUGUACUUGUUACUAAACCUGGAUGAAAAUUUUGAAUUUUAUAUUGAUUUUGGAUCUAAUACAAAAGUUGAAUUUCUUCUAUAUUCUAUCCUGUGUGAAUACAUAUAUAAAAAGUUCUUUUUAAGUGGUAUAAAAAUAUUUCUCUUACACGGUAUUUUGUUAUUUAUGUGAUGUUUGAUUAUUAAUGUUACAAUAAUAUUAGCCAAAAGAUGUAACAGAUAAAACCAUAGAUAAUUAAAAUUAAGUUAUUUUCAAUCAAAUGUUUGGAAACUAUUAAUUAGUUUAUUUAUCCUUCUUACUUCAACUAUUGUUCAUAAAAACAUCCAAAUAGACACACAAACUAUUAAAUCAAAAGUUUAAAUUAAUUAUAAAAUUGACUAGUAAUCCUAUAUGAAUAUAUUUAUUUUUUUGUAAUUAAGAACGUCUUUCAGUGAGAAGGAAGUCAUUAUUUUGAUUUUAUCUAUUUAUUGCUUAAUUGUUAAGAUUAGUUACAACAUGCCAAAAGAGCAAUAGCAAAGUCUUUCAAAUGGUUUAGUUUGUAGCCAUUCCAAUUCCAGGUAAUUGGUGUGCUAAUUUCGUAUAAAGCAUGAGUUGGAGAAGAAAGAUCAACAAUUUUCUAAUCCAUAAAGAGAUAUCAACAACUUUAGUUUUUAUUUAUUUAUUUAUUUCAACCUAGAUAGAAUGGUAGGAAAUAUUCUACAGAAAAAAAAAUGAAUAAAUUAUAGUUUUAAAAGGGAAGAUUAUGAAGUAAAAGGAUGAGAGACGGAUAAUAUUUUUGAAAAUAUUCAACACUUUCUCGAUCGUUCUAUUUUAAAUUUUGUGUGAAAUGUACCAUAUGUAAAAAAUAUGUCCAAACUUUUUUUCAGAAAAGAAAAAUCAUGUAAACCAUAAUGUAAAAUUUACACCAGUAUUUUAAACUUUUUUAGGUCUCCCUAAUAAUUAAUUUUGUGAAAAAAGAAAACUGUAAUAUUCCUCUUAAAAUAGAAAAAAUAAUAACUUUGUCGAGUAAUAUGAAAUCUGUAUUUAUGAAGAGAUAGUUUUGAAAGUGAAUUUCAAUAAUAAUUUAAAAAAUUAAUUCUUGGCUUUAAGUCAGAAGAAAUCAAGCGAAAAAAUUAGAACAUUAAAAGUAAUUUAAGGAUAGGAGUUAGUUAACUGUAAUUUUUUUUUUGUGAAUAAAAGUUAACUAGUUAUUUAAAUAUAUGAUCCUCGUUUAUUUCUUUCAAACAUUCUUCAAAUGGACUUUCUUCUUGGAAUUCCAUGUUGCACUCUUUGUGAAUAUAAAAGAUGGAAAAUAAAAGAUAAGCUUUAUUCACGGUAAACUGCAUAAUGACUGAGGCUAUUAAAUAGCAUUACAGCAGUAUAGAAAAUUGUAAAACUGACUAUGCAGAUAUCUAAUUAUUGUUUCCUAAUAGUAUGCUAGACUUAUUCAAAAUCUAACGGUCCUUAACCACGUGGGACCAUUAUAUUAUUUAUUAACAAAUUUCCCCUUAAACUGAAUAUUAUAUCAGUUUAUACUAGACUCUGUGCACACUCCCAGUGAUUUGCAUAACUUCAGGUAGGUAUCCAGCUUCAAUGGUUUGGUCAUAAUAUCAGCCAUUUGUUCUUAUGUCCCACAGUACAUCAUCUUGACAGAUCCAGUCUUGGUAAGAUUUCGAAGAAAGUAAAAUCGGACAUCAAUGUGUUUAGAACGACCAUGCAUUACUGGAUUUUUUGAAAGCUCAAUAACAGAUCUACUGUCACACUAAAUUACAGUAGUAGCUUGGUUUUGCAUACCACCCAAUUUUUCCAACACCAUUUUCAACCAUAUGGCUUGACUUUAAAAGAAAUCCAUAUAGUGUGGAUAAGACUUUAAAAGUCUUUUUGAUUUCAUUUUCUGCAUUUCCUUGUCACGAUGUCAUAAUUUGAAAAACCAUAAAAUGGGUUGACUAGUUCUAUUUUUUUUUUUUCUUUUUAUGAUAUUAAGCUCCUUAAUUUUCUAACUUAUAAUGGACGCGGAAUAAGAAAUGCAUGCAUUUAAACAAGCCUUUCCCUGUAAAUAAAUAUCUAUUUUAUCAAAGAGUUUUGUGAAAAUCCCUGUAAGUAUGGACAAUUUUGAAAACUUUCGAAAAUAGUAAGGGUUUUUCAGAAAAUUUGACGUUGCUUUUCCCAACAGUUUUCAUAACUGCACGGGAAAUGUAUUUAAGUAGGAUUAAGACCAUCGAUUACGUAAUAAAAAAAACUCUUUGAUAAAAUAGAUAUUUUUGUAGUGUAGCUUCAUCUUCUAUGAUUCUCCAAAACUUUUUUAAUUUUAAAAUUUUAAUUUAUCAAAACAUUAAAAAUAACAAAAUUAUGAAAGUCCUUUUCACUUUCAAUAUUUUGAUAAAAAAAAUAUUUGUAUGCAAUAUUAUUAGGUAAUGUAUAUUUGUAUUCUUAAUAUUUACAUUAGGAGUAAAAAUAUUUACAAAUUUGAUAUAUUUGUUUGUAUUUACGAGUAAAAAAACAUUGUAUGUGAUACAGUAUAUUACUAUGACGUAUAUAUAUCUUUAGACUUAUAAAUAUUUAUAUAUUAGGAGUCUUCAAUUUUUUUUUUCUAGGAUCCAUAAUAUUUGAGUACGAAGCUUAGAAAGUUUGUGAAGUGUGUGUUAGAAACUAAAGUUUUUGCAAUUUAUUUUAUUUUGAAUAAUAAAUAAUAGUUGGAUUUUUUAAAUUAAUUAUGGUUUGGAUAAAAUAGAAGCUCGAAUUGAGUUAAUAAUGAAUAAUUUAUGUUAUUUACGUAACACGAUAUUUUGUAUUAGAAAGCUAAAAAAAGUAGGAAAGUAGAAAGGUAUUAAAAGAAUUAACUGAAAAAGUUAAUUUGAUUAAAUAUAAUUUUCAAUUAUAUAUUUUAAAUGUAUGAUUAGAAUUUAUUUCUUUCAUAAACAUUCAUCCGACAUUUGUUCAUGUUUCCGUAUAUUAUGAAAUUCAAAUUCACAUAUUUUAUCUCUUUACCCAACAAAUAAAAAUAAGGAUCUUCUCCUUUCAUAUACAAAAUUGUAAGAAAUAUUUUAGUAAAAAAAAGUUUGAGCAGUUAGAGUUUUAAAAGGGAAGAUUAUGUGGUAAGGAUGAGGGACAAAUCUUUUUUUUGAAAAAAAAAAAUCCACUCUUUCUGAAAGUCGUUUUUUUUUCGUGUGAAAAAUGGAAAAAAGCUUUGGAAAAUAAAUUUUACACAUGAAUUUUACACAAAUAAAUUUUUAAAACAAUUGAUAAUGAACAUAAAAUUUGCAUAAAAGAAUAAAAAAAUCUUUAUAAAUUAGGUAUUUAUUAUUCUUUCCUACAUAUUAUUCCAUCACAUAAAAGAUAAAAACUUUAAAUGUGAUGGGUUGGCCUAACAACGAUAUUUGAGGGACUGAGUGUUAAGUAAGUGGUUAAGAUUGUGUCAAACAAUAGUUGGGUUUUUAAAGUCAAGGCAGAGAUAAUAUAUUUAAAGUAUAUUAUAAUAUUAAUUUUAAUGUUCACUAUUGUGAAGUGUGAACUUGACUACUUAUAAAGAGUCUUUAAAGUAGAUUAUAGUAUUAAUUUUAAAAAAUAAUUCUUGGUUGUCAAUUAUAAAAAAUGACAUUAAAAAUGAUUUAAGGAGUCAGUAAAUUCUAAAAAUUAUUUUGAUAAAUAAAGUUAAAAAUUUGUUUAAUUACAUUAUUAUGGUUUAUUUGUUUCAUAUAUUUUCGUAUAAUAGGUUAUUAGAUGAGGAAAAUCAAUAAUUGGAUCUCUAAAAUAGUUUUGCUUAUAUGAUUUAUGUGUGGUGUUUCUAAUUUUGUAAUCCAUAUAGUGGAUAGGACUUUAAAAGUUUUUUUUAUUUCAUUUUCUCCAUUUCCUUGUCACGAUGUCAUAAUAUGAUAAACCAUAAAAUGGGUUGGACUAACUUAUAAAAUGGACGCGGAAUAAGAAAUCCAUGUAUUUAAACAAGCCUUUCAUUUUUUUGUCGUCUCUAAUUAAAUUUUAGCACCUAAAUUACGUUGCUUCUUGUCUAUUAAAUUAAUAGACUUAAAACAAAAUUACAAAAUAUGUUACUGAUUUUGACAACUCAAUCUGAUUUUAUACCAUAGAAAAUUUAAAUUGUUUACUAAUAUGGCUGGAUCUGGAAUUGGACUUUUUCAGAUAGAUUUUUUAUUCCAUUCAUAAAAAAACAUUCAAACCAUUUCUUCUUAGAUAUGUCAUCUGUCAAAAGACGAAUGUUUUAAAUUCCGGAUAAAACAUUAAACAAUAGGCCUGUCAUUGUUUUCAUUAUUUUUAUGUCAUGUAGUUUUCUAACCCACAUAAUAAUCGAUUUAAAGAUCAAUUAUUUAAAGUCUUUUGAUUUAUUUAUUUUUCAUCUACAAAUAUUUUUUAGCCCAUAAAACGGGCAUGACUAGAAAGAUAAGCAAUACAAAGUCUUUGGAGCAGCUUCAUUUUUCUAACCCAUAAAAUGGGUUAUGUAAUAGAAGUCCAUGUAAAUUAAUUCACUCGUCUUAUUAUUAAAAAUAGACUAAACAAAUAUGAUGUUUUUUUACAACUUAUUUUUAGUUUUUUUUUUCUUUAAGAUAGUAGUUGAAUUGAGGAGUGAAUUUGAAAUAGAGUGAGUAGAUGAAUUUAAGAGGAUAGAGAUAAGAUUGUAGUGUUCUUUUGAUUAAGAGAUUUGAAGGAAUGAAUGAAGAUAUUUUUGAAUGAAAAGUUUGAGAUUUUGUGAAAGAUAUGAUGUGUGUGAUAGAUUAAAAAAAUGUUUUAUUUGAUAAAAUAAAUGAUUACCAAUUUAUUCUUGUGAAAUGUGAUAUAAAUUUAAAUAUAAGUAAUAAAAAUUAUAUUUAAAUGUGAUAAUUUUUUAUUUAUAAUAAAAAAUAAAUUUAAAAAAAUAAAAUUAAAAUUUAUAUAAGAUAUUUGUAGGAAUAAAUUUCAAAUACAUUUUCUUAAAUAAUAAUUUGUAUAGUAUUAUUUGAAUUAUUGUUAACCAAAAAUAUAUUAAAUAACUAUUUUUUUCACAAUUUAUACAAUGAUAUUAGAUAAAGUAAAAAUUGACAAUAAUAUUAUUUUAUUAUUAUAAUAUUUAAUAUUAAAAGGUAAUGGUUUAAAAAUAUUGUGACUCAACUAUUUUAAUAUUACAAGGUUUUAAUAUAAAUAAUUUUGUUAUGAACGAGUUUCAUUAAUUUAAGCCAAAUUAUUUCUUUAAGAAUCACUUUUCUAGAGUUUUUUUGACUUUUUUCUAAGAGUUAUCUUUUCACAUUCAUCUAUUUGAAGAUUGGAGACCACUAGGGUAAUCCUUGAGGCGAGCUAUCCACUUUCAUUCGAUCAGUUUCUUCAAUAGAGUAAGUUGGUUUCCUGUUCUUCUCUUUAGUCUAUUUCAUUCUUUCUUUGCAUGCGAGCUUGUUGUGGUUGCAUGUGACGUUUGAUUGUUUUAUAAGACUCUCUACUUAUUAGUGGUCCUAACAGUAUAUCUUGAUCAUGUUUUUGUUGUUCGUAGGAACAUAUAGAAUUUCUUAUGCGUUUGGAGGUGUUUUAGGCUUUUUAGAGCAGUUUGGUCAUCUGUUAGGUUAGGGAAGCUAACUACCACUUUUUAAUGUUGUUGAUGAUUUGAUAAACUGUGUUGCAUAUUUGUUUUGAUCUGAAAUGGGUUGUUUGACAUAUAGAAAUUUUGUUUUGAUUGCUUAUUUUUGGUUGAAUUGUUGUUGAGUUGAAGAAUUGAGGAUCUGACCAUUUGAGCAAAUUGUAUGCACUUUAAACUGAAACCUAUUUUUGAACCAUGCACUGAGUCAAGAAUACUAAUUUCAUCAUCUAAAAAGGUCCCUGGUUCCCCAAAUUGCAGAUUUGAAUGUGUUGGUUUCUGAUAUAGCAUUAAACGAAACUGGUGUGGCACUAAACGCAAGCUUGGUUGUGAAGUUCUAGGAACAUUUAAGUUCCAGAUUACUAAGCGUUAGUUUCACGUCGUUAAGUGACUAAAAAUGCAAAUGGCAUGGUGUUGAGCGAUAGCUUUGUACCACUAAGUGUCACUUUUCUUUAUAGGUUUGGAGCCUUUUUAAUCUUUUUGGUUGGGUGACAGGUUUGUCUCACUGAGGAAGACUUUUUGUGAGAGCUUUGGCAUUGAGUACUCCCUAUUGUAAGGGGUGUUGUGUUGAGAAUCAGUUUGAACGCUAAUGUGGUGUUUUGUGAUUUUUUUGAUUGUUUGAAGUAGUUUACCAUGAGUUAUAUGUAUGUUUAUUAUGGAAAUUGAGAUGCUUUAUGGGCUGGUAACGUGAUUGUGAAUGUGUAGGACAUUUAUUGAUCAUGUAUGUCAUGAUGAUGAGUUUGUCAUUGGUUAUGUGCAUGGCAUGUGUUUGGUGUAAUUCCAUGAAUCUCGUGGAGAGAUUCUAUGGUGGUGUUUCAGUAGUGUAAGUCUUGAUGUGAGAGUCUGGACAUUGGAGGUUAUUUUAACGCUUUAAUAACCAUCCAAUCUCUAAGGGCUUUACCUUGUCCUAGUUAAGGUGUUAAUGGACUAACUUUGUCUGUGGUAGGGUGAAACCCCUUGGCAAUGGCUCUGUAGAGUAGUAGGUCACCACAAGUGCACAACCCCCGAGAAUGAGUCAUUAUAUAUAUGUGUUGGAAGUCCCACAUUAACUAAAGAUAAAGUUAAUUUAUAGUAUAUAAGUGGGUGCAAAUCUCAUUUUAUAAGUCGAUUUUGUGGGGUUGAGUUAGACUUCUUAACAUGAUAUCAGAGCUAUGUUAAAGCCUAUAGUAUAUAAGUAGAUGCAAGCUUCAUAUUAACAACAUAAGUGAGUGCAAACCUCAUCUUAACAACAUGUGAUAGGAUUGUUUUAUGAAUGAGUAUUGUAUGAUGUUUAUUUUUAUAUUUAUUUAUGAAAACAAUUUUGGUAUAUUAACUUACUUUUUCUUCUUUGCUUGUAACUUCUUGUUUGUAAUGAUCACUUUAUAAGUAAAUAAAGAUGUUCCAAUUGAUCCAAUACAGGAUGAGAGAGAUGUAGUAACAUAGUUAGGAUUUAUUCUAUCAUGUAUAAGCCUUUUUGUUUUGAAAAUUUUAAUUUCUUAUUAUAGUGUAUAUAUAACUGACUAUACUCAGUCUAUACUUUAUUGAUUCCUGUAAUAUAUUAGUUAUAUUUUAUAUCUCAUAUUGUGGAUUAUCAUUUAUAUAACUUUUAGUUAAUAGCUUUAUAUUAUUAAAUAAAAUGUUACAAUACUAAUAUUGAAUUUAUUAAUAUUAAUUAUAAAUAUUAUUAUUAUUAUUAUUAUUAUUAUUAUUAUUAUUAUUAUUAUUAUUAUUAUUAUUAUUAUUAUUAAGCUUGUUUAUUAUUGGGGCUGUUUUCCUUUGUAUACAUUAAACCGCAUAGCCAAUGCUGCAAAAGUACUUUACCGGAAGGAAAAAAAAUACGUAGUCAAAAUAAAUUGAAGUUACAAACAACACAAAAUUCUUAUAGAGAAACUUUUUUUUCGUUAUUGUCAACUAGUUUCAUUCAGGCAGGGAUAAAAUUUAUUUAUCAUUCUAACUCAAAGUUGUAAUGUAAACAAAUAACAAGAAAACACAUGAAGUUGCCUCUACUAUACGUGCCGUAGCAUUUAAAGGAUAAUUGAAUCCAUUUUUUUCUCAAUAAACUCACGAGAAUCGAUUCCAGUCUCCAAUUACAGAUACAGGACCAAUUCCACUGACAACAUAAUCGAUUUCAGGGUUUUUGAAUCACCCAAAAUCAAUUAUAGAAAAAUACAAACAAAUAUAUAAUCUAUUUCAGCACCAUCAUAAUCGAUUUUACUGAUCGAUUUAAAUCGCAAUUUAAGACAUAUGAAAUCGAUUCAAUCCUAGUCUGAAGCACCCUAUAAUUGAUUCCGUAAACACCACAAUACAAUAGAAUCAAUUCUUCUCACUUUUAUAUUUAUUUAUAUUUUCUCGUUUAAACCUUUAUUAGUAAUUUAGGACCAAUCAAAGAUUGACACGAAAUCCAUGGAUAAUGAUAUUUAGACAACAUUUUUUUGACAACAUUUGAACAUUGAUUACGUGUCAAUCUGUGAUUGGUCCUAAAUUACUCCAUAAUAGUGUAAUAUAAAAUUACUCCAUAAAUGUUCUUAGUUAUUAAUGUAAUAUAAAAUGAUAAUUUUUAAUGUUAUAUUUAAUGGUAAAAAGGUUUAUAAAGAAUAAAAAAUUAACAUUAAUUAUUAAAAUUAAUUUUAAAAAUNUAAAAAANUNAUAAUUUAGUAAAAUGAAAUUAUUUUUAAAUUUAAUAUUUUUUGUAAUAUAAUUUACUACCAAAUAUUUGAUAAUUGUUAAUAUUAUAUAUAAUUGUAAAAAUUAUCAUACGAAAUAAAAAUUAAAUUUUAAGAUGAAAAUAAAUUGUAUAAUUAUAAUAAUUAUUAUUAUUAUUAUUGUUGUUAUUAUUAUAAUAUGUUUAUUACUCUCAAACAAGUGUUCUCACAUACCUUUAUUAUUGGCGUUGUCCUUCAACACAUGUUGCAACAUCAUCAUCACUUUCCAACCCUAAUGGAACAAUCGUUCAAGGUGGAAACCAACAUUGACUUCGAUGUAAACACACACCACUCCCUUAAUUUAUCUGUCAAAACCAUCAAUAAUUAAACCUAACCACCGAAAAACCUAAUUCAAUUAUGAAGCAAACAGUCCUUCAGUUCCAUGGAGGAACAUGUUUAGCGGCGCCAUCAUAGGGUGGGGGAUCUACCAAGGAUUGAAGAGAAGGUCUAGAAUCUGCAGGAUGUCGACAAAGAGGUCAAUACCGUCUUCGGUGAUCUCGAGAAUUGAAUUCAGAAUCCGUAAAAGAUCCGUGAGCACAUUGUCUGAGCUUUGAGGAUGUCGUUGACGGCUUCCAUCUCAACGUACGCUUCCUCCUUCGCCUUUAUGCUCUACGCCACAUGUAUGUUCUUGUUUUGCAAGCGGCUCGCUUCCUCAGUUAGGUUUUCCAGCUGCUUCUGCUUUCACAUCCGCGAUCUCCUCACCGAUUCGCGGUUCGACUCCAUCUACUUCCUCUUCCUCUCGUAUAUGGUCAGAUCUCCUCCGUCUGACGAUGUUCAAACGGUGUUCACACCCUUCCUUAAUUUUAAGGAAAACAUGCUAGAAUCGAAUAUGGUGGAACCAAAAUAUGCUGGAACCGAAUCCUUCGUGAUGGGAACUGAAUACCAAGUCCAGUUGUAUUGUCUUCAUUGCACCGGAACCAUUCCAGGACCACUGAAACCGAAUGCACCUUCUUCUAUGGGUGGAACCUUUGUUGGAACCAAAUCCACACAAUUUAUUCCUUUCUUCUUCAUCUUCUUCACGUUGAACUCCCUCUCUCUUUCCUCUUCUUUAACUUCAACGUCUCUCAUCUUCAUCUUCAACCUCCAUUCUCCUUCCUCUCCUGAAAAAAAAACCUACAAGAAUAAAACACUCACCUAUGAUAAAAGGUGAUGACAUUUUACAAAAAGAUUUAGGGUAAAAAGGAUAUUUGAUAGUGAAUCAGUUCAAAUCUUCACAACACAACGAGACACACAAAAUUUUUAUAUCUCACAAAUUUUCACAAAUCCUUUUUCACUCAUCCCUCUAUAUGAAGACGUUGCAAAUCAUUUCUCGCAAAUAUCCGUCAAUAGUAAUUCCAUGUAAGUGAACACAUGUUAAAUUUUUUAGCACCUAAAAUCACGUUGCUCCUCGAUUUCUAACCCAUAUAAUGGGAGCAGUAUAAUGAAUUAUUUAUUUUCAAAAUGCAAGAGUGUCCCUCCUCCUAGGACACAACAAAUCAAAGAGUCUACAUAGAAAAAUUAUGAGACCAUAAAACAAAUAUUUUAUACUUUAUUCUAAUUUAUUUGUAUAAAAAAAUUGAAAAUUUAACUUCACACUCAGUUAAAAGUAGACAAUGAAGGAAUUUAUCUCAGUUCAUUGAAACGUAUUUGAAAAUAAAAUAAAAAGUGUGGAAGAAGAAUGUUAGUCUCUAUAGGUUGUUAUUGUUUAGCUCCAAACAGGCAGAAAAAAAAAGGCAAAAAUUCACACUUCCUCUCUCUUUAGUAAUUUUUAGCAGCUAAAGUGAGUUGCUCCUGGUCAAUUAGGUUGAUACAAAUUACGUUACUGAUUUGGACAUGUAAAUUCAAUUUUAUAAAUUUAGCAUAUAAAAAUUAAACUGUAAGAUAGAUAGUGUAAUAUAAAAUUUCAGGGGAGAAGCUCAAGGGAGAAGAAGAAAAAAACUUAGGCCUUUUCCAUGUUUCUUCUCUUUUUAGAAGGAAAAUAUUACCACUAGUGCAGCGAAAGGAAACGACCGCGGUUGUUUUUUACUAUACGUCGCGGUUUUAGAACCCCGACAUAUACGGGCGAGGUAAAAAGUCUGGGACUUUAGGUUGCGAUUCCAACCACGGUAAUAACCUGGGGAUAUAACAACGGUUCUUUAUUGAACCGCGGUCAAAAGCCAUUUUUUUUAAAGAAAAAUUUCGUCUAACCUUUUGGUUGCGGUUCCAACCGCGGUAAUAGAUCUGCUGAAAUCGCGGCCUAUUCCCUUUUUUUUGAAAAAAAAAAUCGUCUAACUUUCUACUGCGAUUUUGGCCACAACCGCGACCUAUUCUCUUGAAAUUUUUUUUAAUAGCAAGUCUGGUUUUGUGAUAUCCACUAUCACAAAAACAAACCUGCAUAUCAAACAAUCACAUAAUGUACACAAAUUCAACGCAGAUUCAAUAGAUUCAACACAAUAAUCAAUAUUUACAUCCAACUUCGAUCCAUACGUAAAUAUUCUGACCUUAAAAUAAAAAAUCAUACCAUCAUAAAAAUUAUACAAUCAUACAAAAUCUAAGGAUACAAAAUUAUAUGAUGAUUCAAUCACAUAUUCAAUCAUACAAAAUUAUAGAAUCUAAUAAAAGUUAAAUUUAAACAUUAAUAUAAGAACCUGCUGGUGUGAAAAGCCAAUAACAAUGAAUAACCUACGAUCAAAACGCUAGAAAAUUCAACUCUAAAAAAUUCAAACCUGUAAAAUAUACAAACAAAUAUUAGUUUUAGAAAUAAAAACAAACAUCAAAACGCAAUUUACCUCUAAGGGGAAGAAUCGGAAAAACCAAUAAAAAGACGUUUCGAAUGAUUUUGAUCGGUUAAAACUCUUUCCCAACGUUGACAAUGGCCACGACACCGAACCAAAAUGGGUUUAAACGGUGAAAAAUGAUUGAAAAUGGAAGCAGAGGAUCNCGUGACGAAGGAGGCUCUGAAACUGUUUGUGCGUGAAGAAGAAGGAAGAUGAUGACAUUGUUCCCGUGUCUUUUAUUUUUAUAACCUAAGCAGGGGAAUAGACCACGGUUCACCAUUUAACCGAGGCCUAUUCUCCGGAAAAAAAAAUUCAAAAUACAUCUGAAAUGACAUUUUUGAAAUUUUUUUCAAAUUUUAUGUCGCGGUUCACCGCCAAACUGCAGCCUAUUCCCUUAAAUAUUCAAAAUUUAAAAUUUUGCAGGGGGAAUAUACCGCGGUUCCCCUUAGAACCGCGGUCUAUUCGCCUGAAAUUUUUUUUCAGAACUGCUUUUGUGGAAUGUCAGAAUUUUGCAGGGGGAAUAGACUGCGGUUCCCCUCAGAACCGCGGUUUAUUCCCCUGCAAUUUUUUUUCAGAUCUGACUUGGCGGGAAGUCAGAAAUUUAAAAUUUCAAAAAUUAAAAUUUUGCAAGGGAAUAUACAACGGUUCCCCUUAGAACCGCGAUCUAUUCCCCUGAAAUUUUUUUCAGAACUGCUUUUGGGGAAUGUCAAAAUUUUGUAGGGGGAAUAGACUGAGGUUCCCCUUAGAACCGCGGUCUAUUCCCCUAAAUUUUUUUUUUUCAGAAUUGCUUUUGAGAAUGUCAGAAUUUUGUAGGGGGAAUAAGUCGCGGCUCCCCUUAGAACUGCGGCCUAUACUGUCGAUAUAAUUUCAAAAAUGUCACCGCGCAAUAUUAUGCUUCGGUUUCUAUUGAACCGCGACAUAAUGUGCGCGGUAAAAGAUCAAUUUUUUACUAUUGUACUAAAGGUAUGUUCUUCUCACUGUCGAGUGAGCUUGUGUCUUGCUAGAUAAAAAAGAGACUUACUAACUGAGGUGGAUAUGUGAUUUUCGUUGAAUGAAGAUCUUCUAACUGAGUGAGAGAAUCUUGGAAAAGUUUUCCAAUUUUUUUCGAGUGUUCAAUACUCUACAAAAAUUUUAAAAAAAAGCUAAUUACUUCUUGUUUUAUAAUAAAACAUUUACAUCUAAUUUUUAUUAUUAGAAAGUGAGUUUGUAAGCCUAACUCAACCUCACAAAACCGGCUUGUAAGGUGAGGUUUGCACCUCACUUAUAUAUAUAUAUAUAUAUAUAUAUAUAUAUAUAUAUAUAUAUAUAUAUAUAUAUAUAUAUAUAUAUAUAUAUAUAUAUUAUAAAUUGGUCUUAUCUUUAGUCGAUGUGGGACUUCCAACACACCCCCUUCACGCCGAGGUAUAAACAUCUCGUGCGUGAUAAUAGAAAUUGGGUGGUCCAAUAGCGGCGCGACAACGGGUGGAAACAGAAAUGGCCACUUAGAACUCGCUAGGAUAGACUCUAACCAUAGCUCUGAUACCAUGUUAGAUAUCAGAGCCAUGAUUAGAACCUAUCCUAGCGAGUUCUAAGUGGACAUUUCUGUUUCCACCUGUUGUCGAGCUGCUAUUAGACCACCCAAUUUCUACUAUCACACACGAGAUGUCUAUACCGUGGCGUGAAGGGAGUGUGUUGGAGGUCCCACAUCAACUAAAGAUAAGGCGAAAUUAUAAUAUAUAACUGAGGUGCAAACCUCACCUUACAAGUCAGUUUGUGGGGUUGAGUUAAGCCUAAAACUCACUUCUAAUAUUUAUAAUGAAAUACACACAAAAUGCAUGGCACAAAGAUAAAUAAGAUAUUUCAGCAAAUAUAAAAAAUAAGUAAUUUUCACAUUUAUAAUUUCUUCCACAAAACAAGUUAAAUAAUAUUAAAAUGUAAAAAGAAACAUAGAAGAAAUUCUUUACAUGUUUUUUCUUUGGAGUAUUUAAGAAGUGUUUCCAUAGGUUGCAUAAAAAAUUCAAAUAUGAAAUUAGAAAUCUAACUAGUGAAAAUGAAUGAAAAAAAUAAUAUAUAAAAAAAUAUUUAUAAACUUUCUUAAUAUUUUAGGUCUUAAUAUUUUAAGUUGAAAGUGAUAAAAGUAUGUUUUUUUCAUCUUAAAUAAAUGAAAAGGUAACAUUUUUAUCAGUGUGACUUAAAGACAUUAUAGGUCUUACAUUUUAAUUCUCGGGUUCCUAGUUUGUCCCUGUCUCUCUUAUUGUCGUUCACCCUUAACCUCAUCCUUCGAACCUCGUCGUCCUCCGCCAUGAAUCCUUAUGAAGUGUUCAAUCACUAACGAGUUUAUGGUUGUCUAACUUUUACGAAAGAAGAAAGAGAGAAAAGAGGAAGCCAACAAAACUAAAAAGGCAAAGGCGAAAGAUAUUAUUUUACUACAUACCUUUAUGUAUAUAUGCACGGAUACAAUAUAUAUACAGAGUAGGAAAAACUGAAAAGAAACUGAACAGACGUUAUAACUUAAUAGCCUCCCUCAAGCUUGAGUAUGUAUACAGAAAUACACAAGUAAAUGCAUGGCACACAAAUAAAUUAGAUGUUUUAACAAACAUAAAAAAUAAGUAAUUAUCACCUGUAUAAUUUCUUUCAUAAAAUAAGUUAAAUAAUAUAAAAAUAUUAUAAAAAGAUUUAAAAAAUAAUUUUAAUGUAUUUUUUCAAAGAAUAGUUUACCAUAUAUGGAUCCUAUAAUUUCUUAUCUAUUAAAUGAAUGACAACUAGAUAAAUAUGCACAAAUUACCUCAUAGUUGUAAUAAUGCCUAAAUUACAGCCAAUACAAUAUUUAGUUGUCAAAUAUUUUACUAAUAGAAUAUUUCACAUAUUUCAACAUUUUCACUGAAAUUGAUGCAUCAAUAUCACAUAUUUUCAAAUUGAAUAGAGACUUAUUAAGCAUUCAGUUUUUUAAAGGUCUUAGUGUUUCCAUAAGAAAUUCAAAUAUGAAAUUAGGAGUCUCACAAUUACUGAAAAUGAAUGAAAAAAAAUAAUAUAUAAAAAAAUAUUUAUAAACUUUCUUAAUAUAUAAACAGAAGAGGAAAAACUGGAAAGGCGUUAUAACUUAAUAGCCUCCCCCAGCUUGAGUGUGUAUACAGAACAUAUUUUAAAGUCAGACGAUUGAACGAGCAGAAGAUUAAAGUCAGACGAACAAAACUCUUGUCCAUUAUAUGUUCUUAUUACCUUAGAUGCCUCUGUUAAACUGAUUCUUUAUUAACACAAAAUUAUUCAUCAAGUUUCUAGUCUCACCCUUAUUUUUCAUUGGAUAGACCCACGUAUGUCUUGUAUAGUCAUCAACGAUAGAGAGAAAAAACCUGUGACCAUACUAAAAGGACCUCAAAUGUAUGUCUAUGUGCACAAGAUAAAAAAUAUCAUUACUGCUAGUCUGACUAAGAGGAAAGGGGAGUCUGUGUUGUUUUGCUAAGUGACAUGCAGCGCAAACAUUAGUACUAUUAAAACAAAUAUCAUCAUAACUUUUGGAUAAUUGUUUAAGAAUCUUAUUUGAGGGGUGUACCAGUCUACAAUGCCUGAGAUCAAGAGAAUCAACAUGUUUAAAAGUCUCAUCAUUAUGCACAAGAAAUAUAGCAUUUUUCAAGCAGCUAAUGAAAUGGUAAAGACCAUUGAUAAGCCUUUGAACAGAUAUAAUAUUUAACGUGAAUUCAGGUAUAUAUAGUACUGAUGUAUGGUAAUUUGAUCAGUUAAUUAAACUACCCCUACACGUCUAGCAAUAACCUUAUUGUUAUUGAGCAAACUAAUAUGUAUAGGUUAGAUCUCAUAAUGACUCAUGAUCAGUAACACCAGUAUCAAGGAUUCAAGAUUUAAUACCUUCUUUACCUUUUUUUAAUUUGGUGUGUUGAGUGCUCACUGAAUGUGCUGUUGACAACUUUUUCAGGAUGUACAUUUCUUUCUGAUUGAGUUAUGCCAGCAAUUUGUUGUAUUUGCUCCGUAGUCAAGUUUUUAAGGAUUCGUUCACAAGUGGAUUGCUCUUCCAGAGGUUUUUCUUUUCCAGUGACCCGUUCAGUUUUGUUCUCCAGAGCCUUUAAUGUGUAAUUGUAUCUUUGCUUUGAAUAGCAUUCGUCUUCAGUGUGGUUCAUCUUUUUACAAUACUAACAUUGCUUGCCAUAUAGUUCUUUCUUCUUCCUCUUCCAUAACUCUUCCAUUGUAUGGUAUUUCAACUUCUGUAAUUCUUCCGAGUUUGAGUAGCGUUGUUCACCAUCACUUUCUCUGUACCAUUACUAUCAUUUAGUUGUCUUUCUUGUUGGAGAACCAAAGGAAAAACACGAUUGAUACUUGGAAUGGCUCCAUAAGCAAGAUUUGAGUUUUAACAGUGCUGUAGAUUUCACCUAGGCCUUUUAGGAAACACAUUAUGCGCUCAGAAUCUUUGUAGUCUGUAAUAAACUUGGUGAUAUUGUAGCUACAUCUCGCGUGAAAAACACAAGCUGGAAUAGUACUCUGUAACCGUUCUUUCUCCCCGUUUUGUCGAAUUAAUUUCUUGGAGGAGAUCAGAGACACGAAUGUGAUUACUCUUUGAAAAUCUUUCUUGCAAGUUCUUCGCAUAGCUCCCUUGCGUUGUCAAUAUAAAUACUGCUUUGAGCAAUUUGGCUUGCAAGGGUGCGUGUGAUCCAGGAUACCACCAUAACGUUGCAGCGUUCCUAGAUCACCAUGCGCUGGUUCUUGAAUAUCUCCAUUCACGAACUUAUACUUGGACACUAAGCCGCGCUUCAUCGAUCUACUCCAUGCAUGGUAAUUUGAUCCAUAUAUCCAAUUGUGGUGUAACAAGAACUGCUCCUGGAUUUUCGCCUGGAUCAAGACAGAAGAUGCUGGUGGGGUACUGGGAUCAGUCUCUCCGGUGAGUUUCUGAGUUGCUAAGUGCCCUAGGUUUGAUCAAUUACAUUGUGAUUUUGAUGUUAUAGGUGAACAUCACAAAAUCUGAAAUCGAGACAAAUUAUUCAGACGAAAAUGUCAACAAUGAAAAUGUUUCAAAUUUUAGGGCCAGUGGAAAUUUUGAAGUGGAUAUUACAACUGUUUUAAUUAAUAGUUUCAAUUUUGUUUAUUUUAUUUUAUUUCUACUGUGUUAGAAAAAAUAUAUCUUAUUUAAUAUUUUUAAAAUAAUAUUAAUAUAUGAUUAAAAAUAGAGUCUCCUAAAUAUAUAAACAAAAUUAUUACAAAAUUUAUUUAAAUAGAUGUAUUUUAAAUUUACCUUUACAUUUUAUUUAUUUAUUUAUUCAUAUUUAAUUGUCUAUUUAUUUAUUUAUUUAUUUAUUUUUAAUUAUGCAGGUUUUGUUUAUUCAUUUAAUUUAUUUUUGGUUAUGUAUUUAUUUGUGUAAUUUACCUAUACUUGUUAUUUUUAAUAUUUUUUAAUUUUAUUUUUUUAUUAUUUUUUAAUAAAUAAAUAUUUGAUUAUUGUAGUUAAAGGUGUAAAAGAUUUAAUUAAAUAAAUAUUAUUGGGUUAUUUUGUUGAUUAUGUUAAAACUUAUUUAUCCUAACUAGUUGUUUCGGAUGGGAACGAGAUAACAGUUGAUCACUGUGGCUCUUCUCUUCACUUCGGAAUUCUCUUCGUAGCAACCUUAAAACCGAACUGCAGGUUAGCACUUCAACGCUCAAGUCAGCAGAGUUACCACGAUAAUAAUAUUCAGAAAGUCAAUCUAACCUUUUACCUGAGCUAUGCUUGUUCUAUUUAUAGAGAAAUAUACCCACCAUAAUCGGAGCCACGUUGUGCCAAGUCAUGUACUCCGUAAAUUCCUCCAACAACUUAGCUUGUUAGUCGUAACCGUAGUCGCAACCACUUCCCACUUCCUAGAUUCUUACUUCGCCAUUUGCUCCGCUGAAUCCGCAAACUAUCUCCACUAACUUAGCAAUCACUAUAGUUCCUUUUCGGUGCAACCCUUACCCCGAUCUUCCCUGCAUAUUUCCCGAUCCACCAGACCUUUCUUACCUUUCUCCUGCUACAUUAUACAAGUCAACCAGUUAUCCCCUAUGACCGUGUCUCUCCCUAUCGGUAUAAGUUCACUCUCGAUCUUCUUCUUCAUAGCCCCGAUCGACUUAAAUCCUCUCUAUACUACACUAGUUAUUAUAAAAUUAAUCCAAAUUUUUAUAAAAUAUGCUAAAGUAGGGUUUAUGGAUAUAAAAAAAUAAUGAUAUUCUUACUUUCAUUUUUUACUAACUUUUUAACUCCAUCCAAUUGAAAAAUGAUGUGAAAAGAGAUGAAUGAGUGAUUUCGGGAGUUUUGUUGUUAGCGAGCUUCAUAUUUUGGACUCAAGUUUUAUUUACCAGUCUCGGUCAGAGUAAGCGAACUUUCACUGAAAUUAGAAAGUGUCAUUCACUGAACCUCUAAUUGUCGUCGUUCGUCAUUUGCCUUUAACCGCACGUUCGUCGUGGUUUCGAAGUACCGUUGAAGACUGAAACCAAGGUUUUUGUAGCUUCCUGUCAUUGGUUUUGGUUAUCCUUUGUUUUUCUUCGGUUAUUUUGACUUAUUUUAAAUUUUUUACUUUUUUUUAUUAUUUUAGAAUUAUUCUAUUUUUUUGGGUGUUAUUCUGAUUUUGUAGAUUUUAUUUGGUGUACCGUAGGUAAUGUUACAAUGGAUGAGAUUGGUGAACUAAGUAAAAACUCUUACUGCAGAAUUGAGUAGAACUUAAGAAUCAAAUAAUUAGGGACCUAAAGUAAAAUUUUUGCAUAACCAAGUCAACCCAUUUCAUGACAAAUUUUUAAGUGAAAAUAAUAUUCCUUAACAAAUUAAUGUAUAAUUAACUCAUCUUGAACGAAUGAUAACUACAUUUUUAACUAAUUCCAUCAUCAAACAAUCAAAAAGUGUAAAUUAACUGAGACUAAAGACUAAAGUUUUGUAAAAAAGAUCAACACAAGUCAUGUCAUAAAUUUUUAAGUGAAAAUAAUAUUAUUUUAAAUUUUAAGUAUGUUAUGAAUAAUUUUAUUUUUAAGUUUAAGAUAUGAAAUGAUAUCGUUUGACGGAAAAAAAACAGUUUCUGACAUAGGUUUUAAUGAUAUGGAAAAUUAGUUCUUCGACUCCAAGACCAAGGAUACAGCGGAUUCAAAUAGUUAAAAGAUGGUGAAGUAGGUGAAUGAGUUGAUGGAAGAAACAACAAAUGCAGAUAUUGAAUCAUUAAAUUUGUUUAUCCAAAGAGUAGUUGAUAUAUACAGACCAAUGUGUCGGUUGCACACAUAAUAAAUGAACAUGACUAAAUCAACAUCAUAUAUACUAAAGAAAUUCACACUUUCAUGCAUGAUACUUUAAUGGUCAAAGAUACACAAUGAUAAUAAUAACAAUAAUGAACACUUUUUGUUUUGGACAAUGUUUUAUGUUUGAAGGUUUAGAAACAGCCUAGGAGUUUCUUUGGAGCUGUUCCAGUUGCUCUAUACUUUGCAGCUGUCUCCUCUGCCUUCAGAAGUUCUUCUCCUUUCUUUGCCUCAAUUAUUGCUCUUUUCUCUUCAGCUUCCUUGUGAAUUUCAGCUAUUUUGUUCUUUAUCUUUUCUGCAUAUUCUGCUUUUUUCUUCUCCAAUUCUUCCUGUUCAUGCAAAAAUCAAAAAUCAACUUUAAUUUGUUCCUCUCUUUGCCCACAUUCAAUGCAGAAAGUAUUGAAUGUGAAAAUGUGAAAUAGAAGAAAACGAACACAUAAAACUUGUUAGAAUUUGCAAUGAAAUCGAUUCUCACUUCUUUUUUCUUUAGAUCUGCCUCCACUGAAGCUUUCUUGCUGUUUUCCCAUGCCGAAAUGGCUGAAAGAUUUUUAUGUGCCCUGUUCAAAAAUUUCACUUAGAUUAGUAUAUCCUACACUUUGUUAACCUCAAAUAUAUCUGUCAUUUAUGUUCUAAUUGAUUAUUUCUUACCAUGAGUUAAAUCAAAACAUCAUUAAAUAUGAAGCAAAAGGGAUGCACAUUCUUACUUGUUUUCAGCUUUUGAUUUUUCACUUUCCUCCCAUGCCUUGAUUAGUGAUAACCUCUUCUCAGUUGCAACUCUUGCAAGCACCGCAUCUGAAGAGAAAUGAAGAUGGUGGAUGACAUAAUAUGUAAUGUAAGAAUACAAAAGGGAAAUUAAAUGUCAUAAUGUCACGUCACAAACCUCUGUUUACAGAGCCCUCACUUGGUUUCUCUUCAGCAACUUCUUGAGUCUCUGCAAAUAUAUCCAAUUUAACAAUAAUAAACAUAACAACAACAAAAGGGGACAAAAAAGGUUAUGACAAGAAAAAUAUUGUAGUGGUGCUUUCUCUUUUGCCUCAAAAUUGAAGGCUGGAUAGCCUUUGAAAUGCUUGUAAUUGAGUGAUAAUGGUUUGAUAAAUUUAUGCCAAAUUAAGAUGUGCAAAACUUGGAUUCAAAGAAGGACCACUCUGUCACUUGCUAAUAGAAAUGGAAAAAAGGCAGAGCAAUACGAGAACAUUGUUUUGAAUAAAACUACAACAAGAAAGUUCCAGUAAAAGGAAUAUGAUAAAAUACCACAAAACGGAAUCAAGUACAAGUAACAACAAACGACCAAACAAUCCAACAUCAUAUUUUUUUUCUCCUAAAAGGGGUUAGAAAUAUUAUUAAAAAAAUAUAUUAAAACCGUUUCUCACUGAUUCUAUAUAACUAUUUAAGUUAAUUAUAAGGAAAACAAGUAUAUUGUUACCAGAAGCAUAUAUAUUCAAUCAAGUACUAAAGCAGUGAACAACCAUGUAACUUACAAUUACGAAAAAACACUUUUUUGCUCAUACAAUUACGAAAAAUAAUCAUUUUUUUUCUCUCAAGAUAAUACAACUAAAGCACCCUUUGGAAUAAACAAAAUACAGUUCCUCAAAGAAUUGGUUAAAACAAAACAAGAAGAUAAACAAAGCAAACAAAAAUAUGCAGAGAGAGUCCAUGAACACAGAUUUCAAUUUUUUCUUCUGCAAUCAGUUUUUCUACCAACCAAAUUCAACUAACCCCAACUUCCAGAACAUGAUAACAUGACAAGAAUCAACAUAACACUAUCUUAG